rnacentral:lncRNA from 1 species
CCUUGGGAGGUUUACCAAUUGGGGUUGGUGGCUUGUGUUCUGGGAGUGGUUUCUCUCCCUUGGGAGGUUUAGUGGGUGACUUGUGUUCUGGAGGUGGCUUCUCCACCGAAGGCUUGUGCUCCGGUGGUGGCUUUUUGGUUGGAGGGGGCUUGGGGUAAUCAGCAAGAGAUGGGGUGGUGAGAACCACCAGUCCAAGGAACAACACUAGCAAGUAUGUGGGAGACAUUUUUGAGUUUGGGCUGAUCAGAUGAUGCAAAACUAAAGCAUUACGUGACCUUUUAUAGCAAGUAGCUCCCAAUACCUACUUGACACGUGUUACUGUGACCCAUAAAUAUUAUGGGGUCUAUUUGUGCCCUACCGGGUUGAAAACUUGGACAAUUGGGCAAGGACCCGCCUGACUAUGGAGGACUACUGAGGUGUGAUCACAGCUUUAGGAUUUUUCUUCCUCUGCAGCCGUCUUGCCGUUGGCAUGAUUUUCUUAAUCUCAAAUAAAGGCAUAGUUAUAGAGUUGUUUAAUCUCUAAAUGGGAUUUUAUAUAUCUUCAGAUAGCCAUUAAUACAUUUGAUGAAGAAAGAAAGACAAGUGCAUACAACAUGUAUACGACUAGCUUUCAUGGAGUUCAUUUAUGAUCAGUUUUCCUGUACAUGUAAACCAAGAUCAUAUAUGUUUUUGUUCCACAACAAUUUUGGAAUCUUGUUUAUCCGUUUUUAUCAUUAUAAUGUCACAUAGGCUGCCAACUUGGGCGCUAAAUUAAAGAUCCAGUUGGGCAAGUUCGUUUCAGAAUUUCAAUGGUGGAUUCAGGAAUUGUUUUAUAAGAUAUGCAAAAUAGUAGAGGGAUGAAUAGUGUUUCAUUAAGAAAAGAGCCCUGUAAAAAUAUUGUUUAAAGGUGCCAUAGAAACUAUAAUCAAUAAAUAACUUUUUUUCCCCAUGGGUGGUGUUUCUUGUGGGGAUCAGUGACUGGUUUGAGUCAACGCCGUGUCUCUUUAGUCCAGAAAUCAACUAUUUUAUGCAUUGAAUACAUCAACAAAGAAAAUAUGAAAGCCAAAUGACACCUCCCCCGCAAAAACUAAACCCUGGUUGCUAACUUUCUAUGUUUCAGUUCCAUUCACACAAGAAUAUUAGUUCAAGUUUGAGAAAAAUGGCGACUUACCUAGUGAUAACUCGGUCUUGGUUUGCGAUUUGACUUUAACGUCAUGGGUUGAAGCCUCCUACAAUCAUCGUGUAUGCUAGUUCAAAGCUCGUGGAAGAAGUUAUACAGGGAGGGAGAAACCUCCACAGCAAGCUCCAAAAGAGAAUUAUCACAUUGAAAGCUCCAGUUGAACACUGGGUGAAAGCCAUAACAAGAUUGGUUUUCUAUCGCUCUUUUAAGUAAUGGAAGAUUAUUAUCUCUGCUUGUCACUACAACCGUGCAUGCUGCUAGAUCUUUCUAGACACUUCAAACAGUGAAACCAAGUAUGAUUCUUUUUCUCUUGAGUGGGUCCACUUGCAUGCCAAUGAACGAGUUGAAAAGUUGGACAAUUGGCCACAGCGCGCACUUACCUUCUGGAACCGAAGGUCAGUGAAGUGGGGUUCCUUUUGGCCCCUUGUGUUUCUGUUCCAACCUACUCCAGGAACCGAAGUUCAGUGAAGUGGGGCUACUUUUGGCCUCUUGUGUUUCUGUUCCAACCAAACAAAAAUGGGAGGGAAAAAUAGCAUUAUGCUUGUGCUAAAGAUCAACGCAUGAUAGCUGAAUAAGGGAGAAAAAGGCAUUGCUAUCUCAAUUUCAUAAACUUGAUAAGUAGUGACAUUAAUAGUCUUCCUCAUAGAUGGAUACAUGGUUUUAUUUUAUUUAUUUAUUUUUAUUUUUUUGUUUUAUGUCAAUGCUAAUGAAUGAAGUGCAUUAGCUUGUUUUGUGACUAGAACUACAAAUGUCCAAAUUGGAGCUUCUCCAAUAUAUUUCUCAGUGAGUUAUUGAUUAGAACUCUUGGAUUGAGUUCCAAGAUUUGAAUCAGACCCCUCUAGCAGCUUCAGGGGUACGUAGCAACCUAUAGCAUAUUAAUGAAGACUUAGGAUUUAGACUUAGGAAUACAAAUUAAUAUGUACCUCAUGCUCUGACUAGCUUCCCUGCGUAUGCACAAAAUGGAGAUGACUCCCAAAAAAAUAGCAGAAUCGCCUUAGUAUGUUUUUGUGGUUAAGAUGAUUCUCCACUUUAUAUAUCCACAUUGGUUCAUUAUGCAAAUUAAUCAACUAAGCUAUUUUUAUUUUUUCUUAAAUGUGAAAUAGGAGCUCCAAAUUAACCUAACCAUUGGCCUGAUUGAAUUGAUUUCACUUGCAUAAUGUUAUAGUAGAAGUCCGUAAUUUGAAUUUUAUUUUUGCAAAAGGUAACGUAAAUGAAGCAUUGUAAUUAAAUUUAUUUGUAAUUACAAACUAAUUUUAUUUUAUUAAGAAUUAAUUUAAUUACUCAUUUAAAAUAAAAAUCAGUUAUACUUUUACCAAGAUGAUAAUAUUCAUAUUUUUCUAGUUAACAUAUAUAAAAUAGUACACUUUUUCAUAUAAAAAAAUAAUUUAUGAUUUAUUAUAAUGUUACUAUUCACAUUUUACUAAAUUGAUGGUACAUGAUAGUGAGAGAAGGGGGUGUCACACUCAGCUAAAGUUCUUUUCAAAAUAUUGCAUGGUGUUUAAUUUUAUGUGUCGGCGCGCGUGUGAAUGGAACCUGCAAAAGUCCAAAUUGGCGUUUCUCCAUUUUCCACAUAGGAUGGUGACGUUAAUAGACAAAGAUACAAUAUCUGUAGACAUUGCUUAAAAAUCGAUGUGAAGUAUUAGAAAUUACAGGGCACUGUACUGGGGGAGCGGCUGCCCCGCCAAAGGAGGAAGAAUGUAGCAAUUUCUUCUGUUAGCCAGGCCUUAGGAUUUAUGCAUGGGAUGCCUAAUAACAAACAGAGAAAAUAUACUUUUGGGGAAGGUAUCCAACAACAGACACCAUCAUUCAGAUGGUGGGAAGGUAUCCAACAGAUGCCAUCAUUCAGAUGGUAACAUAUAUAUACAUUUAUUAGUGAGUUUUUUUAAUACCUAUAAAAAAAAAUAUACACUUUGAUAUUGUGGCUGAAUCCAUUACAUACUCAACUAACCUUGCUCAUUAGGGAUUUGACUUAACAAGGGCAACGUUGCAGUACAAGCUCAAAACUUUAUGCAGGUGACAUUACAUUUGGUAAAGAAGAGGAAAAUAACGAAAGCCAUCCAUAAAAGCAAAAUUCCACAUGGGAUGAAAUUCACAAGCUUCAUUUACGAUAGAGUCGCAUCCAGGCAAUUAAUUCCACAUUAGACCGCCUGUUGACAUGUGUACCAAUCUUUUUUCAAAAAAUAUUUAUAAAUAAUUGAUACUCACAAAAAUAAUUUAAUAUUUAUAAAGGAUAAAAAAAUAUUUUCAAAUCUAUAACAAUUUAUAAAAUAUUAAUAAAAAAUUAUCUCUUAAACUUAGUAUAGUUUUAUCAGAUUAAACUUUUAUUUUGAACAAAUAAUUUUAAUCUAAGUUUUAAAUUCUAAAAUUAUUUCCUUAAAAUAAAAUUUUAAAAUUCAACACUUCAAUUGAAAUUGUCUUUUUAAAAAAUAUCUUCUUAUUUUAAUCCUUAUAAACUAUAGUUGAUUGAAAAUACUAUUGAAGUUCUCUCUUAAAAAAAAGUCUUAUUUUAAUCUUCAUAAAUUGCCCUUGAUUUGAAAAUAAAUUUUCAGUUAUCAUAUUUUAAAUAAUAUCUAUAUUUAAAAUACUCUAUUUAAAAAAAAAUGAACUAAUUUUAAUUAUAUUAUAUUUUAUUUUUUUAUAUAUUUUUAAUGAUAAACCAAACAUAGAAAAUCAUUUUUCUAAAUAUUUUAAAAUUUCUAAGCAACCAAACAUAAUCUUCAAAAUAAAAGGAAAAUAAGGAGGGACAUUUGAGAAAUGGCGAUUAAAAAAAAGUGUACAAAAGCUCAAUUAAUUUUCUUCUAGUCUUUUAUAUAAAAAAGUAAAGGAAUUGAAAAGUAUUGAUAUGUAAAUUAAUAUUUGGAUUUUAAUAGUAUUUUAUUUGUCUUUCUCUAUCUCAUGUAAAAGAGAAUUUAAGAUAUUUCCUAAAGCAAAGCAUUAGUUAUCUGCAAUCAGUGGUGAUCAUGCCCCAUGUCAAUUUCGGACCCAUAUCUUAAAACUGUAUAAUUUGCAUUCAAACAUUACUGAUUUCUCAGAUGUUUCAUACUCCACAGAAGAGCAUUGUUUGUGAAAGCAUGCAUUUAUGUUGGAUUUUGGAUGAUGUGGGAACUGGGGCAAGGAUCAUAUGGAAGAGUGGUCGAUUUUGUUCUGUACUUUAACAUUUGAAAUAGGAGAAGCUCGGGCAUUUGUGGGGCUUAAUUGAUUUUGAAGCCUGAAAUUGCGUUUCUGUCAUUUUGUAAAAAAUAUGGCAGAUUCCAUGCUCUCAUAUGUUUGGUCUGUGGCCAUGUAUAGAUGCCCCUUAGUGACCAGUUUGUAACUGUCAAUCAUAGUGUUUUGACUCUGGCUCAACAACAUCAGCCAUUGACGGAUUUUCAUACUUGCAAAUCAAAUAGUCUUCUUCCUCCCUUAGGAAUUUCGGUUUAAAUGUUAUUAAGCAUACAUUUGGCUGACAAUUAUUAACCACUUCAUGAUAUGGUUUCUUACCCUUAAUCAAUGGUUUCUAAGUGAAUAUAUGCAGAAGGAAAUCUGAACUGUAGACAGCAGUAUUGAUAACUCUCAAUAUUCUUUAUAUAAGAGAAUAAACAACGUCAUAGUGAUCGUCGCCUACAAGAAAGGUACAUUUCCCAACAAGAUGUAGUUGUGACUGGUACAUGGACGCAAUUAACUCGUACAAAAGAAUAAGACCAGUGCACGGCAGCUCUUAUUUUACAUGCUAAUUAUGCUAACCAAAGUCACUCAGUUGGGAUGGGAGGGAGAUGGAGGUUUGUGCGGUGGCUUGUGGGGCGGAGUUGGUGGCUUCUUUUCAGGAGCUUGUGGCUUUUUCGGAGCUGAAGGAGGCUCAAUCUUAUGAGGCGGCUUGUACGAGUCUUCUUUACUCUCGACAGGAGGGUGGCCAGGGUUGUGACCAUAAUGUGGUGGCUUCUCUCCCUUAGGUGGCUUGCCAACUGGGGUUGGUGGCUUGUGUUCAGGAAGUGGUUUCUCUCCCUUGGGAGGUUUACCAAUUGGGGUUGGUGGCUUGUGUUCUGGGAGUGGUUUCUCUCCCUUGGGAGGUUUAGUGGGUGACUUGUGUUCUGGAGGUGGCUUCUCCACCGGAGGCUUGUGCUCCGGUGGUGGCUUCUCCACCGGAGGCUUGUGCUCCGGUGGUGGCUUCUUGAUUGGAGGGGGCUUGGGGUAAUCAGCAAGAGAUGGGAUGGUGAGAACCACCACUCCAAGGAACAACACUAGCAAGUAUGUGGGAGACAUUUCUGAGUUUGAGCUGAUCAGAUGAUGCAAAACUAGAAGAAUUACGGGACCUUUUAUAGCAAGUAUCUCCCAAUACCCACAUGACACGUGUUACUAUGACCAUAAAUAUUAUAGGGUCCAUUUGUGCCCUACCGGGUUGAAAACUUGGACGCUUGGCCGAGGACACACCUGACUAUGGAGGACUAUUGACGUGUGAUCACAGCUUUUGGAUUUUUCUUCCUGUGCAGCUGUCUAGCGGUUGGCAUUAUUUUCUUAAUCUUAAAUAAAGGCAUAGUUAUAGAGUUGUUUAAUCUCUAAAUGGGAUUUUAUAUAUCUUCAGAUAGCCAUUAAUAUAUUUGAUGAAGAAAGACAAGUGCAUACAACAUGUAUACGGCUUGCUUCAAUCGAGUACAUUUAUGAUCAGUUUUCCUGUGCAAGUAAACCAGUUUUUUGUUCCACAACUAUUUUGGAAUCUUGUUUAUCAGUUUCUAUCAUUAUAAUGUCACAUAGGCUGCAAACUUGGGCACCCAAAGAUCUAGGUGGGCAAAUUUGUUUCAGACUUUCAAUGGUGGAUUCAGUAAUUGUUAAAAGGUGUUUCUUCAUUAAGGAAAGAGUCCGGUAAAAAUAUUGUUAAAAGGUGUCAUAGAAACUAUAAUAAAUAAAUAACUUCUUUUCCCCAUGGGUGGUGUUUCUUCUGGGGAUCAGUGACUGGUUAGGGUCACCCAAAAUGAGUCCAGAUUAAAAUUGGUUCGAGUCAAAGCAGUCUCUUUUGUCCAGAAAUCAACUAUUUUGCGCAUUGAAUGAAUCGAUAAAGAAAAAAUGAAAGCCAAAUCACACCUCCCCUGCAAAACCUAAACCCCGGUUGCUAACUUUCUAUGUUUCAGUCCUAUUCAUAUAGGAAUAUUGGUUCAAGUUUGAGAAAAAUGGCAACUUACCUAGGGUUUACUUGGUUUUGGUUUGCGACUAUUUACGCAACCAACCAUGAGUUUGACUUUAACGUCAUGGGUUGAAGCCUCCUACAAUCAUGUAUGAUAGUUCAAAGCUCGUGGAAGAAAUUAUACAGGAAGGAAGAAACCUCCAAAGCUAGCUCCAAAAGAGAAUUAUCACAUCGAUAGCUCCAGAGAUUCCCAAGGGAACUGAAUCAAAGACAAGUUCCUCACUUUUUCUUCUUUUGAGGCCAAAUAUGAACCAAGGAUCACACGACCUCAUUCAACUUCAUAAGUUUGAUUUCAUGCAGUUGAACACUGGGUGAAGGCCAUGACAAGAAUUGAUUAAAAAAUUCUACCACUCUUUUAAGUAAUGGAAGAUUAUUAUCUCUGAUUGGCACCACAACAGCACAUGCUGCUAGAUCUUUCUAGACACUCCAUGCAAUGAAAGCACAAUGGAUCUUGUAAUGAUAGAAACUAAGCCAUGCUACAGUACUAGAUGAGGGGGUAAAACUAGUAGACAUCUUUCUAGACACUCCAUGCAAUGAAAGCACAAUGGAUCUUGUAAUGAUAGAAACUAAGCCAUGCUACAGUACUAGAUGAGGUGGUAAAACUAGUAGACAUGGCUGGCAGUUGAUUACUACUCAAAAAGUACUCUUUUAUAGCUUGAAACUAACUGUUUUAAACACUUUUGAGUAGUAGUUAAUACCUUUUAACUUAAUUGGCACAUUAAGGAACCUAGCAAGGGUUACUAAUCAACAUUUGGCAAGUUUUGAUGUUUUUGGUAGCUAUUUGAUCAUUGAAACAAGCCAAGAAUGAGGGGGAAUUUUGUGAAGUCCAUGGCAAUGCAAGUUAAAGCUCAAAUACAUGAAGAAUCCAAGCUUUGGAGCACUUCAUAGCCCUUUGCCAAGCCAAUCAAAGAUGCAAGGAAGAAAACCAAAGGAAGAAAUCCAACAAUCAGCAUUUUGGCAUGGCUAUGUGAAAUUUCGCACACCAUGCGAAACCACAAGAGGCAGCCAAAGAAUUUCGCAUGGUAUGCGAAAUCUUCUUGUGCACUGACUCUGUUAGAUUUUUAUCUUCAGAUAUUUUGUGUAAUUUCCUAGUUUCUCCUUGUAACCAACUUAGAUAUUUUCUUUUAUAUCUUUUUUUAUAUUUUUUAGGUAACAUCAUAUAUAAGAGGAGAGACAUAAGGAGGAUAUGGAUGUUUUUCAUAGAACACUUGUAAAUUUUUGGUAGUAAGAAAUAUACAAAGCUUUUUGCUCUGCCUUACCUUCUCAAGGGAUGAGUGGCUAGGUUUUCUUGGAGUGAGGGAAGCUAGGUGAAGGACCUGAAUGCAAAGGUGGGAGUUUUCCUUACUUUAAAUGAAAGUAGUUGUUAAACAUUAAUGGUUUUUAUUUUAAGGUUUAGCUUUAAAUCCCUGAAAAACACCUUGAAUGGCCAAUACUUGGUAAGCUUUUUAGAUUCUAUGGAUGCUUAUUGCUAGAUCCAUGGAUGUCUAUUAGUUAUCAUUUACGAGCCAUUGGAAGGUGAUUCAAGGUGAGGGUCUUUAGUGUUUGAAGCCAUUAAUGGGAAGCAAUUACCAUUUUUUCAUGAAUCCUUUGGAUCAAAUCUUAAUUGCUAAAUAUAAAACCGGUUUCGAGAGAUAACCACCAUCCUUUAUGUUAUUAUCCCCAACGCGAGGAGAAGAUCCGAAAUCUUCCUUUUUAUCUAAGGAACCCGAUCCUAGUGACCUAAAGCUCCAAGAUACCUUUUCUUUGUAGUUAACUUCAUUUAUUGUUUUUGCUUAACUUAAAAUCAAUCUUUGCAACCACAAUUCCAUUUUCUUUAAAAGCUAAUUUUUAUAAGGAAAAACACCAUUUUAUUUCCUUCACUAAGUCAACUGUACGAUGAAAACCCAUCCCUGUGGACGAUCCUAGAGCCACUAUACUAUGUUAGCUAUGCUACCCUAGUGUGAGGUGAUUUAGGUUUUAUAAAUUUUUUUGAUAACACCCAUCUGAGCCAGAAUCAAAUGGCACGACUGAACCAGGGACGAAUCAAAUGACGCCGCUACCAAGGAUGGUGCCAAAGUACAUUGACAUGACUUUUGGUGAACACUUGUGAUCUUCACCACAAGUUUGGUGAUUUUUCUUUUACUAAUUUUUUUUAUUUUAGCUUAUCUUUUAUUUAGUUUUUAGUUAACCUUAAAUUUUUCCUAGAAUUGUAUUUCUUUUGUUUUCUUUGUUUUUGUUUCAGUGAUCUUUAGUUGUGCAUGCCCUAUUGGAUAAGAGAUAUUGAGGGAAUACUUGUGAAGAUUGAAACUCCUCGAGAAACUGAGUUAGAAGUGUGCUUGAACAUCAUGGAUGUUCCACCUGAAGACCAGAAUAGCCAACAUGGUUAAGAGGAUAAUUUCAACACAUACCGAUCCAUGAGGAACCGCAUACAUCCACCUUGUAUGAGUGCACCGUCAGGCAUAAUGCCUCCCACUGAGCAGCUAGUAAUCUGACCUCACAUUGUGCCACUCCUACCUACUUUCCAUGGGAUGGAGAGUGAGAAUCCCUACUCGCAUAUUAAGGAAUUCGAGGAGGUUUGUAAUACAUUCCAAGAAGGAGGAGCUUCAAUUGACUUGAUGAGGCUCAAGCUAUUUCCUUUCACUUUGAAGGAUAAGGCCAAGAUUUGGCUUAAUUCUUUAAGGCCAAGAAGUAUCCAAACUUGGAUUGAUUUGUAAGCCGAGUUUCUUAAGAAGUUCUUCCCUACCCAUAGGACCAAUGGUUUGAAAAGGCAAAAUUUGAACUUCUCAGUUAAAGAGAAUGAGAAAUUCUAUGAGUGUUGGGAGAGCUACAUGGAAGCUAUUAACGUUUGUCCUCACCAUGGCUUUGACACAUGGCUCUUAGUGAGCUAUUUUUACAAUGGUAUGUCUUCUUCAAUGAAGCAACUCCUAGAAACUAUGUGUGGAGGAGACUUCAUGAGUAAGAAUCCGGAGGAAGCCAUGGACUUUUUGAGUUAUGUGGCUGAAGUUUCAAGAGGAUGGGAUGAACCAAAUGCUAGAGAGGUGGGAAGAAUGAAGUCUCAACCUAAUGCUAAGGGUGAGAUGUAUGUUUUGAAUGAAGACAUUGACAUGAAAGCAAAGGUUGCAGCUAUGGCAAGGAGAUUGGAAGAGCUAGAAAUGAAGAACAUACAAAAAGUGCAAGCCAUUUCUGAGACAUCAAUGAAAGCUAUGCCUUGUUCCAUUUGUCAAUCUUAUAAGCACCUAGUGGAGGAGUGUCCUACAAUUCCAGCAGUGAGAGAGAUGUUUGGUGAUCAAGCAAAUGUUAUUGAUCAAUUCAAGCCUAAUAACAAUGCUUCAUAUGGCAACACCUACAAUUCAAAUUGGAGGAACCAUUCAAAUUUCUCUUGGAAACGAAAGCCACCUCAAUACACACAACCUACUCAAGCACCUUAGCAAUCCUCGAAUCUUGAACAAGCUAUUGUGAACCUUAGCAAGGUUGUGGGAGACUUUGUGGGAGAUCAGAAGUCCAUCAAUGCUCAACUGAAUCGGAGAAUUGACAGUGUGGAGAGUACAUUGAACAAAAGGAUGGAUGAGAUGUAAAAUGAUCUGUCUCAAAAGAUAGACAAUGUCCAAUACGUAAUCUCAAGGCUUACCAACCUCAACACAGUGUAAGAGAAAGGAAAGUUUCCUUCUCAACCUCAUCAAAAUCCUAAGGGUAUCCAUGAAGUAGAGGCUCAAGAGGGAGAAUCUUCAAAGGUGAGGGAAGUCAAAGUAGUUAUCACCUUGAAGAGUGGUAAAGAGGUUGAUCAACCCACAUCCAAGCCAAAGCAUAAUGAAGAGAGUGUAGCAGAAAAAGAAAAGAGAGGAAAAUAAAGGAAUUAGAAUAGAGAAAAAUACAAAGAAAGAUGACCAUGAGUCUAGUGUGGAUGAAGAGCCCGAGAGGAUGGUGAUCAAGGAAGAUAUGAUGAAGAAACACAUGCCUCCACCUUUCCCCUAAGCUUUGCAUGACAAAAAAAGAACCAAUAAUACAUCAGAAAAUUUUGAAGUAUUGAGGCAAGUGAAGGUCAAUAUCCCUUUGCUAGACAUGAUCAAACAAGUGUCGACAUAUGAAAAAUUCUUGAAGGACUUGUGCACUGUAAAGAGAGGGUUGAAUGUGAACAAGAAAGCUUUAUUGACCGAGCAAGUGAGUUCCAUCAUACAGUGCAAGUCCUAGUGAAGUACAAAGAUCCGGGUUGCCGUACCAUCUCAGUGAGUAUUGGAAGGACUUGUGUGGAGAAAGCUUUGUUGGACUUGGGAGCAAGUGUGAAUUUGCUAUCCUACUCUGUCUAUAAGCAGUUGGGAUUUGGAGAGUUGAAGCCAAUAUCCAUCACUCUAUCUCUAGCGGAUAGAUCAAUGAAGAUUCCAAGAGGGAUGAUCGAAGAUGUCCUGGUUCAAGUUAACAAAUUCUACUAUCCAGUAGAUUUUGUUGUUCUUGAUAUGGAUCCGGUUGUCAAAUGAACUAAUUAUGUUCCUAUCAUACUUGGAAGACCCUUCCUAGCUACAUCAAAUGCAAUCAUCAAUUGUAGGAAUGGAGUCAUGCAACUCACAUUUGUCAACAUGACAUUAGAGCUCAACAUCUUCCAUUUGUACAAGAAGCAUAUCCAUCAGGAGGAAAAAGAAGGUCUAGAGGAAGUGUGAAUGAUUGACACUUUAGUGGAAGAGCAUUGUGAUCGAGAAUGCAAAAAGAUUUAGUUGAGAAUUUUGGGGAUCUUGAUGAAAGGUUACUUGAACCCUCAGAUUUGCUUGCUACCCUACUCCAUUGGAAGAGAAGAGAAGAAAUUCUACCCUUAUUCAAUGAGGAGGAGACGCAAAGAGCUGCAAAGGAGAAACCCCCAAAACUUAUUCUUAAGCCACUACCCACAGAGUUGAAGUAUGUAUACUUGGAAGAAGACAAGAAGUGCCCUAUUGUUAUAUCUUCAACUCUUACCAUUCAUCAGGAGGAUUGUCUACUUGAAGUCCUUAGAAGAUGUAAGAAGACAAUAAGGUGGCUAAUUUCUUAUUUGAAAGGGAUCAGCCCUUUAGUCUGCACCCAUCAUAUUUACAUGGAGGAUGAAGCUAAGCUAAUUCAUCAACCUCAGAGAAGGUUGAACCCUCACAUGCAAGAGGUGGUUCGAGCUGAAGUUCUGAAGCUACUUCAGACCAGUAUUAUUUACCCCAUAUCAAAUAGCCCAUGGGUGAGUCCUACUCAAGUUGCGCCAAAGAAGUCUGGGAUCAUGGUGGUGCAAAAUGAUAAGGGAGAAGAUGUCUCUACACGCCUCACUACAGGUUGGAGGGUGUGUAUCAAUUACAGGAGGUUGAAUGCAGUGAUAAGAAAGGACCAUUUCUCAUUGCCCUUUAUUGAUCAGGUGCUUGAGAGGGUCUCUGGGCUUUUUUUUUUAUUGUUUCUUGGAUGGCUACUCCGGGUACUUUCAGAUAGAAAUUGAUGUUGAAAACCAAGAUAAGACCAUUUUCACAUGCCCAUUUGGAACCUAUGCAUAAAGGAGAAUGCCUUUCGGCUUAUGCAAUGCACCCGCAACUUUCCAAAGAUGCAUGUUAAGCAUUUUCAGUGAUAUGGUGGAGCGUAUUAUGGAAGUCUUUAUGGAUGAUAUCACCAUUUAUGGAAGUGCAUUUGAUGAAUGCUUGGUCAACUUAGAAGCUGUUCUGAACCGAUACAUUGAGAAAGACUUAGUGCUUAACUGGGAGAAGUGCCAUUUCAUGGUACACCAAGGGAUUGUCCUUGGGCACAUUAUCUCCAAGCAAGGCAUUGAAGUUGACAAAGCAAAGGUUGAACUCAUUGUUAAGUUGCCAUCCUCAACAAAUGUCAAAGGAGUAAGGCAAUUCUUUGGCCAUGUCGGGUUCUAUAGGAGGUUUAUCAAGGAUUUCUCUAAGCUUGCAAGGCCUCUUUGUGAAAUAUUGGUGAAUGAUGUUAAAUUCAUAUGGGAUGAUGGAUUUGAAAGGAGUUUUGAAGAAUUGAAGCUAUUUUUGACAACCGUACCAAUAGUGAGGGCUCCCAACUGGCAACUGCCCUUUGAAGUAAUGUGUGAUGUCAAUGAUUUUGCUAUAGGAUUUUUUCUUGGGCAAAGAGAAAAUGGAAAACCUUAUGUGAUCUACUAUGCGAGGAAGGCAUUGAAUGAGGCACAAAGAAACUACACAACCACCGAGAAAGAAUUGUUAGCUGUAGUUUUUGCCUUGGAUAAGUUUCGCGCUUACUUGGUGGGGUCCUUCAUCAUGGUUUUUACUGAUCACUUUGCUUUGAAGUAUCUGUUGACUAAGCAAGAUGCUAAAGCAAGGCUGAUUAGAUGGAUUCUCUUACUUCAAGAGUUCAAUCUCCAUAUCAAAGAUAAGAAAGGAGUGGAGAAUGUGGUAGCAGACCACAUUUCAAGGCUAGCUAUCGCACAUAAUUCCCAUGCUUUGCCCAUUAAUGACGAUUUUCUAGAGGGGUCUCUCAUGUUGGUGGAAGUUGUCCCUUGGUACGCUCACAUUGCUAACUACCUGGUCACGGGAAAAGUUCCAAGUGAGUGGAAAGCACAAGAUAAGAAGCACUUCUUUGCAAAAAUUCAUGCCUACUAUUGGGAAGAGCCAUUUCUAUUCAAGUAUUGUAUGGAUCAGAUAAUAAGGAAGUGCGUUCCUGAAGAAGAGCAACAGGGGAUCCUUAGUCAUUACCAUGAAAAUGCAUGUGGAGGCCACUUUGCUUAUCAAAAGACAGCCAUGAGGGUGUUGCAAUCGGGUUUCUGUUGGCCAUCACUUUUCAAAGAUGCCCACACCAUGUGCAAGAGUUGUGAUCGAUGCCAGAGGCUUGGGAAGUUGACACGCAGGAACAUGAUGCCUUUGAACCCCACUUUAAUAGUUGAUAUUUUUUAUGUUUGGGGCACUAACUUCAUGGGACCUUUCCCUAUGUCUUUUGGCUACUCUUACAUCUUGGUAGGAGUAGAUUAUGUUUCUAAGUGGGUUGAGGCAGUCCCAUGCAAACACAAUGACCAUAGAGUGGUUCUCAAGUUUCUUAAAGAGAAUAUCUUCUCAAGAUUUGGGGUGCCCAAAGCCAUAAUUAGUGAUGGGGGUACUCAUUUUUGCAACAAGCCUUUUGAAACUCUCCUAGCCAAGUAUGGGGUGAAGCAUAAGGUAGCUACACCUUACCACCCUCAAACUCAUGGACAAGUUGAGUUAGCAAACAGGGAGAUUAAAAACAUAUUGAUGAAGGUGGUGAACACAAACAGAAAAGAUUGGUCAGUCAAGCUUCUUAAUUCACUAUGGGCAUAUAGAACAACUUACAAGACCAUUCUCGGGAUGUCUCCUUAUCGCCUAGUUUAUGGCAAAGCAUGCCAUCUCCCUGUGGAAUUGGAAUACAAAGCUUGGUGGGCAAUCAAGAAGCUCAACAUGGAUUUGAGCAGAGCUGGGUUGAAGAGGUUCUUAGACCUUAAUGAGAUGGAGAAAUUGAGAAAUGAUGCCUACAUCAAUUCAAAAAUUGCAAAAGAAAAAUUGAAGAGGUGGCAUGAUCAGUUGAUUUCCCGCAAGGAUUUUCAAAAUGGACAAAGAGUCUUACUUUAUGACUCUAAACUCCACAUCUUUCCGGGCAAGCUGAAAUCAAGGUGGAUAGGUCAUUUUACCAUUCACCAAGUGCAUUCAAAUGGAGUAGUGGAACUACUCAACUCCAACAAUAUCGAGAACUUCAAAGUGAAUGGCCACCGUCUCAAGCCCUUUGUGGAGUCUUUUUCUCACAACAAGGAGAAAUUCAUCCUCCUUGAUCCACAUCAAGCUUAACAAGACCAAUUUUCUUGAUGGACUUAGUCUUUCUAAAGACUAUCGAGUCCAUAACUUUUUGUUUUAUUUUUUAUUUGAGAUUUUUUCGGUAUUGUUACUUGUUUUGUUUUUUAUUUUUCGUUUUAAUUUUAUUUGGUUUGAUUUAACUUAGGUUUUUGAUGAUCAAUUACAGGGGGGAUUUCAAAUAGAGGAAAAACCAAGAUAAUUCGCACACCCUACGAAAAUUUCGCAAGGCAUGCGAAAUUUAUGGCUUAUUUUGCAUGGGGUGAAAAUUUUCGUACAUCUUACGAACCAAUUUCGAACACUUUGCGAAAAUAAACCAACCCUGCGAAAUCAUUUCGAUUACUCUACGAAAUUUUCGUAGAGCAUGCGAAAAAUUUAGCACACCAAACACCAUUUCGCAUACUAUGCAAAAACCUAAGGGGUCUGCGAAACCAUUUCGCACCUCCAAAUCCAUUUCGCACAUUGUGCGAAAACCAAGAGGCGCUGUGCGAAAAUGAAAAGUCGCCCUGUCAUCCCUUUUUAAACCCCUCGAGCCCUAAAAUCUCCAUUUCGCAAGCACCCCUGUCCUUGCGAAUCCCUCAUUUUCCUCUACUACCUUGCAACCUCGUCCCUUUCCAUUUGAUAUUGUGCCCCGCGCACAUCUCAUUUCAGAGACUCGCACUCCGCGCCCCCUCAAAGCAUGGACUCGAGACCCACCUUCCAUUUCCGACGUGGCACGGACCCAAGGAGCCCUUUCUGCCCCUUCACUAAGACACACACCAAGGCAGAAAGCCUCCUUUGCUCAAGUGCCUAGUGAUUCUCCAUCUUAGGCCUCAGAGGCCUCGGAGGCCCCGUGGAUUCCACCUUCCGAGGGUAGAGCAGCCAUUGGUCCUUCCUCUUCUACUCCUUAGCGUAGAUACGAGACGAGGAGACCACCUACUACACAAGGGGCGACUACUUCGAGCCUUGAGAAUUCAGUACGAUGCCUUCCUGCCAAGAGGGUCAAGACUUCAGGUCCAAGUGAGUCAUCCAGAGCUUCAUAGCCUAAGCCUCCUGUAGAUUCCAAGGUUCCUACUGACAUAUCACCGGAGUCUAUUAUCAGAAGCCCGAUGCUCAUAGCACCGCCCAUUGAGGGCAACUCAGAUUAUAGAGCGAGAUCUUUCCACUUGGAGCUAUAUUUUGAUCAGGAGGCCAUACGACAGCAGCCUGAGCUCCGAGACUCUUAUGGCUUACUGCAGAGGUACCAUCUUGAGGAACUUAUGACUCCUCGUGAGUUUUUUUAUCCCAGAGUAGCACUAAACUUUUACCAGUCCAUGACUACUCGUGGCGUCCCGAGUCCUACCACGAUUCACUUCACCAUUGAUAGACGUCAUGGUAUCCUCAAGGCCAGACAUAUUACAGAGGCUCUACAAAUUCCUUUCGAGCUAGAGGAUCCAUCUGUUUUUCGCUAAUGGUCCCCAGUAUCUCAGAGGGACAUGGUCCGUAUUUUAUCUAGGGGAACAUCUACAGAUUCGAUCUUUCUACGGAAGGAGCUUCGACCUGGGAUGCUCCUCUUAGAUGUGGUGCUAUGCUCCAACCUCUUUCCCUUACAACAUUCGGUACAUAGGUGAUGAGCUAUUUUGGACGCUUUAUUCCGUAUAUCAGAGGGCUUCUACUUUGGCCCGCACCACUUGAUCAUGGUCUCCCUCAUCCACUUUGAGGAGAAGGUUCAUAGGAAGAAGCUUCAGAGGGUGGACACCAUUCCAUUACUAUUCCUGAGGUUACUUUGCCAGGUCUUGGAGUACAUGGGCUUUCCUACUGAGCCUCGGCUCGAGCUUUGCCGCCUUUGUCGAGAGUGAUCCACUCUCGACAAAUGGAAUUAGUUGGCGGGCUAUUCUGCACCUCCAGGAGCCCCUCCCAUGGUAGCACCUCCAAUGUCCCCACAGGCAAAGUAGGGCGAGCUCCCGGCAAAGACUGUACCACCAAUGCCCACACUUGAGGCUAUUUCUGCUGCUCUGCCUAUGACUCCUACUGUUCCACCAGUUGGUCCUUUUACAUCCGAGCCUUCCAUCACCAUCUCGGCUUCGGAGUUUCGCGCCCUUGUGCAUACCUUUCAGACACUCACCACCACACAUACUCCUCUCUUCUAGCAAAUGGUUGAGAUGUGUGCCCAUCAGGACCGGAAGACUACUAUACUCUGCCAAAUUCAGCAGCACCUAAGACUUUUGCCUCAACCUCAACCUAACCAUCCCAUAUCAUCAGAGCCUCUAGCUCCAACUGAGGAUACUAUUCCACCUGAGAACACUACCACAGUAGAGGUCCGGUUUCCACCACCUUAAGAGGCCACCACAGCUACAUCAGAGGAUGUGUCAUCUCCACUUGAGGCUCCCACUACUUGAUCAUAGGACAUAUCUUUAUCUUAUUGUAUUUACAUAUUAUAUUACUAGAGAUUUGUCCUUGUUUUGAUACUUUAUAUUCUGGGAUUGGAUGUAUUGCCUGAUGAUAUCUCAAUUGUACUUUCUCAUAUUAAUAUAUAGACAUCAAUUUUUUUUAGUAUACUUAGCAUUUUUCUAUUUCCUCUACUCAUUACUCUUUUGUUUUUUUUUACUCAUGUGGUUUCUCUUAUACAACUCAGACUCCAUUUCACUCAGGAGGUACCACUUCCUCCCUUUAUUUUCAAUUGCUCUUGAAAUAUUGAGUGCAAUGUUGAUCUUGGUUGGGGGGAGAGUUGAGGAAGGAAGUUUUGUUAAUAAUGCUAGGUUAAUUUGUUAAUUUAGUUACUUUCUGCUUAAUUUUAAAAGUUUUCACUCUACUUUCCAUGGUUAUUAAGGAAAAAUUCUCAAAAUGAAAUGGGAGAAAUCGAAUUCUUGCAUUUUUACUUGAAUCUUAGAAUUUGUAUCAUGCUUAUUAAAGUUGAUGAAUUAUUGAAACUCCUAUUGAAUUCAACCUUAUUUUUUCCACUUUAAUCUUACCACACACGGUGCACAUUAGGUUCCAGUUAUAAGAUAAAAAACUAUCUCACCCCCUAAACUUAGAAAAAUUUACACUUGGUACCUUUGACAUCGUUUUAAUAGUGUUGGGACACCUUAUAAAAGGCCAAUGAGCCUUUAAAAAAAAAAAAAAAAAAAAAAAGAGAAAGAACAAAGUAUUGCACUUGCCUUGAAACCUGAGCAAGAUCCGAGGGGUAUACAGUGAAAGUCUUUAAAACCUGGUGCCCUAAGCCUUGAUUGGUUGGGAGUCACCGACCUCAAUGCUCGUUAUAAGGGUGAAUAGGUGGAGUUUAACAUAUUGUAGGUGCUUGGGUAUUGAAUUUCAAUCUCAAAAGUCCGGGAAAAAAUCUAAGGAGUUAGUGGUCAAAAGAUCCUUAAAGCUUGAUGCCCUAAACCUUGAUUGGUUGAGAGUCAUUGAUGGAUCCCCGCUACAUGGACAUUUUAGAAAACAAUACCUUUAGCAUUGCACGCCUACAAUGAAAAAAAAAUGUGAAAUAAAAGAGGUGCGUUCUUAGCCUAUUGGAGGUUGGUCAGUUUGCUAAAGUUUGAGAAAUCUAGGUUGGGGGGAGAGAAUAGUCCGACAUACUAUAAUAAAAAACUAAUAACCUUAACACUUAGAUUUUUGUGGAAGAGUAAGGAUUGGACCUUUAGGGGUGGAAAUUCUUUUGAUGCUUAAAUUUGCAUAAUGCCUACUCUUUAUAAAUUAUGAUUAGGCAAGAGAUUUGAUGACUCUUGUUCAAAGUUGGGUUUUUCCUCUUUGAUGUUCCAUGAGAGAGUAUAAUCCUCAUCAUGCCACUUGAAAUCUUUUUGGAGUGAUUAACAUGAUUUUGUAAAUUAUUUUACUGUCUAUUUUUCUUUAUCUCUCUUUUAUUGCUAAUGGACUAGCAAUAUGUCAGUUGGGGGGAGUGAUUACUACUCAAAAAGUACUCUUUUAUAGCUUGAAACUAACUGUUUUAAACACUUUUGAGUAGGUGUUAAUACAUUUUAACUCAAUUGGCACAUUAAGGAACCUAACAAGGGUUACUAAUAAGUUUUUGGCAAGUUUUGGUGUUUUUGGUAGCUAUUUGAUCAUUGAAACAAGCCAAGAAUGAGGGAGAAUUUUGUGAAGUCCAUAGCAAUGCAAGUUAAAGCUCAAAUACAUGAAGAAUCCAAGCUUUGAAGCACUUCAUAGCCCUUUGCGAAGCCAAUCAGAGAUGCAAGGAAGAAAACCAGAGGAAAAAAUCCAACAACCAGCAUUUUCGCAUGGCUGUGCGAAAUUUUGCACACCAUGCGAAACCACAAGAAGUAGCCAAAGAAUUUUGCACACCAUGCGAAAUUUCGCAUGGUAUACGAAAUCUUCCUAUGCACCAACUCCGUUAUAUUUUUAUCUUCAGAUAUUUUGUGUAAUUUCCUAGUUUCUCCUUGUAACCAACCUAGAUAUUUUCUUUUAUAUCUUUUUUUUAUAUUUUUUAGGUAACAUCAUAUAUAGGGGGAGAGACAUAAGGAGGAUAUGGAUGUUUUUCAUAAAACACUUUUAAUUUUCUGGUAGUAAGAAAUAUACAAAGUUUUUUGCUCUGCCUUACCUUCUCAUUUUGUUUUCACCUAUCUUUCUAGCCAAACAACCUCUGAGAAUGAUUUCUCAGGGGAUGAGUAGUUAGGUUUUACGUUUCUUGGAGUGAGAGAAGCUAGGUGAAAGACCCAAAUGCUAAGGUGGGAGUUGUCCUUGCUUUAAAUGAAAGUAGUUGUUAAAUAUUAAUGGUUUUUAUUUUAAGGUUUAGCUUUAAAUCCCUUAAAAACACCUUGAAUGGCCAAUACUUGGUAAGCUUUUCGGAUUCUAUGGAUGCUUAUUGCUAGAUCCAUGGAUGUCAUUAGUUAUCAUUUAUGAGCCAUUGGAAGGUGGUUCAAGAUGAGAGUCUUUAGUGUUUGAAGCCAUUAAUGGGAAACAAUUACCAUUUUUUCAUGAAUCCUUUGGAUAAAAUCUUAAUUGCUAAAUAUAAAACUGGUUCGGGAGAUAACCAUCCUUUAUGUUAUUAUGCCCAAUGCAAGGAGAAGAUUUCGAAUCUUCUCAUUUGUCUAAGGAACCCGAUCCUAGUGACCUAAAGCUCCUAGAGACCUUUUCUUUGUAGUUAACUUCAUUUAUUGUUUUUGCUUAACUUAAAAUCAAUCUUUGCAACCACAAUUCCAUUUUCUUUAAAAGCUAAUUUUUAUAAGGAAAAGCACCAUUUUAUUUCCUUCACUAAGUCAACUGUAUGAUGAAAACCCAUCCCUGUGGACGAUCUUAGAGCCACUAUACUAUGUUAUCUAUGCUAUCCUAGUGUGAGGUGAUUUAGGUUUUAUAAAUUUUGUUGAUAACACCCGUCUGAGCCAGAAUCAAAUGGAACCACUGAACCAGGGACAAAUCAACAGCCUAUAUGGGAGGGACACAAGUUUAAUUGAUUUGCAUUUCAGCGUUAUAGAUAAGUAUGUUUUGGAAGAUUUGUUCUGGAAAUACUGCACCAAGUACGAUUCUUUUUCUCUUGAGUGAGUCCAUUUGCAUGCCAAUUAACGAGUUGAAAAGUAGGAGCACCUACCUCGUGCUCAUGGAACCGAAUGUCAGUGAAGUGGGGCUCCUUUUAGCCUCUUGUGUUUCUGUUCCAACCAAGGCGGCGUAGGGAAAAACAACAAUAUGUCUGUGCUAAAUAUCAACGCAUGAUAGAUGUUUUUUUUUUUUUUUUUGGUAUGUCAAGGCUAACGAAUGAAAUGCAUUAGCUUGUUUUGUGACUAUAACUGCAAAUGUCCAAAUUGGAGUAUCUCCAUUUCUCACUUCGGAUGGUUAACUUUAUAAACAAGAUAUAGGAAACAUGUGAACAUCUUGAGGAACAAUUCAAAUUAUUCAUUAGAAGUCCUGGGUUAAGUUCCAAGAUUUAAAUCAGACCCUUCUAGCAGCUUCAAGGGUACUUAGCAACCUAUAACAUAUUAAUGAAGAUUUAGGAUUUAGACUCCGGAAUACAAAUAAAUAUGUAUCUCAUGCUUUGACUAGCUUCCCUACAUAUGCAUAAAAUGGAGAUGACCCAAAAAAAAUAGCAGAAUCUAGCUUCCCUACAUAUGCACAAAAUGGAGAUGACCCAAAAAAUAGCAUAAUCGCCUUAGUUUCUGUGGUUAAGGUGAUUCUCCGCUUAAUAUCCACAUUGACUCAUUAUGCAAAAUCAACUGAGCUAAUUUUAUUUAUUUAUUUAAUGUCAAAUAGGAACUCCUAAUUAACUGAUUACUGUCGAAAAGUGCUAUUUUGUAGACCUAAUUAUAAGGGUUUUAAGCACCUUUGAGUAGUAAUCAUAUUCAUUUAACCUAAUUAAUUCAUUAAGCUCCUUAGUAAUUAGUUCUAACCAUUUUUAGUGGCAAGUUUACAUGUUUUUCAUCAGCUUAUGAACCAAUUCAAGCAUGCCAAUUGAUGGAGGAGCUACUUGGGCGAGUUAAGCAAGGAUUUUGGACGUUUACAGGCUUGAAUUUCAAGUGGAAACACGAGCACAAGCAAUGGGAACACCAUUUCGCAAGGGGAGGCAAUUCACCUUGCCAAAUGACCAAUUUCGCAAGGGGAUUUUCCUCAUGGUGCAAAAUUUGGUCAUUUCGCACCAUGAAGAAACCACCUUGCAAAAUUUCGCAAGGUGGAUUUAGGCACCUUGCGAAAUGCCAAAUUUCACAAGGUGGCUUUUCACCUUGCGAAAUUUGGACCUUUCAUCUUCCCCCCUUGCGAAAUGCCUUUGAAAUCCCCUGUUUUGAGACGCUGUUGAUGAUAUUCCACUGCCGGUUCUCCAAGAUAUUUUGCUUGACUUUUAGCUUUAUAAAUACCUAUUUUACCCUUGUAAUCAACCAAUGAAAAGGUUGCUUUUGUAAUAGCUCUUGUAAUUUAGCUUUUUAUUGUCUUUAAAUAGAGGUGAAGAGCCUCAGACACGAUCAUCUUGUAACCUGUAACUUUAUAAGUUAUAAGAGCACUUUUGUUCAUACGCUUCUUUUCUCUUUUCUUUCUCAUUUUCUUAGUAGCCAAACAUCCUUGGAGGAUGAAAUCCCCAAGGAUGAGAGGCUAAAACCUUUUAGUUUCUUGAAGUAAUGGAUGCCAUGUGAAGCUCCCGUGUCAGGAUGGAGAUUUCCAAGCCAUAAAUGUAAGUAGCUGAGCGUCAUAAAUGUUUUCAUUCAAAGUAAAGCUUUUAAUCCCUCUGACUUGCUUUGAAUGGCCAAUACUUGAUAACCUUUUGGUCUCAAUGGAUUCUUAUUGUUAGAUCCACUGACGUUCAUUAGUUAUCUCCUACGAGCCAUUGUAUUGCAAGUCGAGGAGAUGACCUAUACCAAUAAAAGAGCAUUUAUGAGGUUCAACUACCCUUUUUGUAAGUUUUCAAGGACUAAAACUCAGUUGUUAAACUCAUACCGGUUCGAGAAGUAAGCAUCACCUUAGUUGCUUCCCCAACUCGAGGUGAAAAGUCCCAAAAUCUCCAUUUUUACACAGUGAGUUAAGCAUGGCUAUCCAAAGCUUUAAGAAACUUCUUUUUCCAUCUUUUAACCUAUUUUCAUGUUAGUUUAGUUUACAACACCUUCAUCUUUUUAUGUUUUCAUCUUAACCUAAUUUUUAUUAAGAAAAGUUCACUCCAUCCUCCGAACUUCACCAGUUAAAGUAAAAACCCUUCCCAGUGUUCGAUCCUAGAGCCACUAUGCUAUAGUAGCUUUGCUACUUUAGUGUAAGGACCUUAGGUAUAAAUUUUGUUGAUACCCUUACAUGCCAAGCUACCAAGAGUCGGGUUAUCAUUAACCUAACCAUUGGCCUGUGUAAAUUGAUUUCACAUGCACAAUGUUGUAGUAGAAGUCCAUAUUUUGAAUUUUAUUUUUGUAAAGGUAAGGAAAAUGAAGCAUUGUGUAAUUAUAAAAAUAACUUCAUUGGAAUUCACAAGGUUCACCCAAAAUGGAGCUACAUCUGUAUUCUAUCCUACAGUAGACUAUAUAGAUUGUACAAUAGUAAAUUGCAAAUACAAUUAAUAAGUCUUGUGCUUCCUUACUAAUAAUCCUUUGACAUGAACAUUGCAGCACUAAGGUCCUCUUGGGAAGACACCUUGCACCCAUGAGAGCACUAAGAGGAAGCAAGGCAGAGUCAUGGGUGCAAUGUCAUGACUUGUUGUUGCACCAAGAGAGGCUUGGUGAUGCCAUGGUGUUGCAGUAGCAAGAAUGUUGCCUUGGCAGGGACACGAUCUAGGGAUAGAUGCCAAGAAAGGCUUAGCACUCACAUGAGUUGCACAAAGAUGAAUGUAAUAGAGCAUCAGAGAGACGUCUUGGCAAGUAAAUGAAUGGAUCCAAGAGACAACAACAUGAGGAGUUUCAAAUGGAUAAGGAAUGACUCAAAGACAUUUGAAAGCUACAAGUUGGAUUCUAAUUACGAUUGCAAUUUGAGUUUGAGUAGGAGUUUAGAUUUUGAUUGUAAUUGUAGUAUGAGUUGGACUAGGAUUGCUUAUCCUUAGUCAAUAUAGGAGCGGUUCGUGUCACCCUAUGAAAAGAGUUUGAGUAGGGACUAGGAUUGCUUACUCCUAGUCAAAUAUGGAGUAGGUGGUGCCACACCUAUAAAAAAAAGGGACAACAUGAGAGAGAGAGAGAGAGAGAAAGAGAGAGUGAAUUCACUAAAGAUAUUGUGGGAGUUUUGCUUUGUUACGUCUUGUAUUAUUACUUAGAAUAGGAAUAAAAUACAAGUUGGGGCUAGAGCCCCAUAAUUAAUCUCGUGUGCCUUUGUGGUUAUUCUUUAUUUGUCAUCUCGUGUGGAUUGGAUUAGGUUGACUUAGAGGGCUUCUAAGCACCACCUUUGUGGGUUAUUAUUUAUUUUCCAUCUCUUGUGGAUUAGAUUAGGUUGACUUAGAGGGCUUCUGAGCACCACCUUUGUGGGUUAUUAUUUAUUUUCCAUCUAUUGUGGAUUAGAUUAGGUUGACUUAGAGGGCUUUUAAGCACCACAUUUGUGGGUUAUUCUUUAUUUUCCAUAUCGUGUGGGUUGGAUUAGGUUGACAAGGAGAAAAAUUAUGUGGGAAAUUUGUGUUGGGACACUUACCAUAACCAAGUAAAAUCUACCAAGUCCUUUGUAAUAUCUUCAACAAAUAUUUUAGACUAGUUCUUUCAGUUAGUGUAAAGGAGGAAGAAGUGGUAUUGAUUCUAGAAAUAGGGUGUGUGUAUUUGAACUACAAUCCUUAUGAUCCUUAGGUCUCUAAACCUUCGUGAUGGGCUCCCUGACAUUUCAUAGGUUGUGCUACACAUGCGUUUGAAAUUUAGAGUGCGUUUGACAGUGAUUCCGGGAAGUGUUUUUGGCCUUUCUUACACUUGAAAAUUUUUAUUUUUCAAGUAUUAGAAAUGCUACAAACACUUUUGAAAAUUACUGUCAAACACACUCUUAGGAGCGCACAUAUAUAGUAGAAAACUAGAAAUUGUGGUUUUUUUAGGAUUUACUGUAAUGUCAUUAGGAGGGUAGUAAGUUGAAAUUGAGUAUGAACAAAUAUUUCUUUCUUUGGGAUGUUCUUCUAGUAGGUGCUGAUGAAACUGUUCUUUCUACUGCCAAUGUCACAUAUCAGCCAGAAAUUGAAAAUUUCAGUCAAGGUGUCCUCUGUUUUAGUGGUGAGGAAAGCUAGAAAUUUUAAGGUGAAGUUUUGUUAAAAACCUUAAGUAGCUGGGAUAUCAGGCCUGUUUUGCUUGAAAAAAAAAGUUGCAAGAUAACUCAUAUGCCAAACAGGUUCUGAUAUUGUGAAUCUAUCGGCAGACAUCAGUAAUCUCAUCUUCUGAGAUGGAUGUUGGGGGUGCAUGUGGUGGUGGAGGGGCAAGGUUUCAUUUGGUUUAUUUUGUUGAUGGAUAUUGUCUAGCCACCUGCGCCAAGUUUGAGGGGUGGUGGGUUGUGAUGACCCUACAAUUACUAUUAAUUUCUUCAUCUUUUACCGAUUAAAGUGUCCGAACAGUCGAAGUUACCCUUAUGCAUGUCAACUUGAUCACUUACCUCUUCAAUGGAGUUUAUGCUGGUUCAUUUAGGAACUGAUUUUUAUUGUUAUGUAUUAUAUGCUGAUGUUUAGGUCUCUCCAUCAUCACUAUAUACAAAAAUUCUAGGUUGAUACUAUAGGUUGAGAUUUAUUUUUUAAAUAAAAAAUAAUAAAAAUAAAAAUUAUGGUGAUGUUUAGUUGUUUUAUGGAAAAUUUUAACAAGUAAAAGUUAUUUUUGGGCAAGUUUUCAAACAAAAAGAAAAGUAAAAGUUGUUUUGACAAAAACAUAUAGAAAAAAAAAUCAUAGAAAAUAAAUAAUUUCCCCAUAUUCUAACUUUUUUGAAUUUUUCUCAAUGGGCAAAGGAAUAUCAAAUCAAGUUUGAGUAGGAUUUCUUAAUUUUUAAAAUAACUUACAAUUAAAAAAUUUUGGUGUUUUCAUUUUUGGACAAUUUUUUAUUAAGCAAAUGGACUCUGAGUCAUGCAAGAGAUAUGGUUCAUUAACCGGUCGAACAAUUUUUUUAAAUUAAUUUAAAAGUCAAAUACAUAAUCAAUUUCACAAAAUUUAUAAACAAAAAUAGGUUUAGAGAAGAUCUACACAUAAUUUUACUUUUCUAAUUUUAUUUUAUUUUAUUUUUUGUUGGAAAAUAGUCUUCAAAUCAUGUAAGAUUUAAUAGGUUAAAUUUGUUAACAAUAAAUUUUAAAUUAUAAAAUAUAAUCUGGAACUCAAAAAUCAAUUCAAGUAAUGCUAAAAAAAAAUCAAAUUUGGUAUAGAAUGACUUUGUAAAUUUUUUUACAAAACAAAUGAAUUUUAAAUCAAGUGAGAUUUAAUGCAUUAGAUUUUUAUCAAAUAUAGUAAUUUUAAAAAUAAAUUUGGAACUCAACAAUAGACACAAUAAAUACCAAAAAAUAAUGAACCAAAAUUGGUUUGGAAUAACUCCACAACCUUUUUUUUUUUUUUUUGGUGCACACGAAUUUUCUUACUAGGUAUAUUGCUUUCAAAUUGAGAAAGAUUUACCAUUUAGAUUUUUUUUUAAUGAGUUUAAUGGUAUUUUAAAAUAAUUCAAAAUUUAAAAAAUUGACUAAUUAAUAUUAUAAAUUGAUAAACCAAGACUAUUUCAAAAUGCAUUGGGGGCUAAGGGGGUUGAAAAUAGGGACAAUGGGAUGGGUUUGGGACAUGACACUCAUAUCUCAUUUCCAUUCCAAUUACACAGUUAUCUCCCAUCCUUAUCCCAAACUUGUGUUGGAGCAAGUUGAUUUGUUCCCAUCUUUGUUGACGAAAUGACUAAUAACCUCAUCCCCUCCUUAUCUUAGAUGUACAUUUUGUCAAAUUUGAUCAGGUAUGAUUGAUCCAAGCCCUAACCCUAAUUGGUAAUGAGUGAAUACUACACCUAAUUGCAUUCUUCUUUCAUUGCAAAAUAAUGAGAUUAUAAUAAUCUAGCAAAUAAGAAAAAAUAGUAUGGAAGUUCAAAUUAACACCAUAACUAUCAAUAAUUUUAAGCUUAUAGAUGACUUAAAUGAUUAAAAACUAAUGCAAAAUCCUAAAAAAAAUAAAAAUCAUAUAAAGAAUUCACAAGAGAACAGAAUGAACAAAAACCAAAUAUGAACAUGGGUCAACAUUAGUUAUGGAUUUGGAUUCCUUUCAAGGCCAAUCUUUGAACCAAGACUUCAUCAAAUCAACUACUUCAAAGGCUUUUGUGUUCUUCUUGGGUUGUGCUCUCAAACAAAGACUUCGAGGUGAUGUUCUAGAUGAUUGAAUUACACAUAUUUAGGGUGGAGAGAUUGGAGAAGCUUGAAGAUGCCAACGAUGGGUACAAUUGAGUGGUCAAUAAGAACAAUGUAGCCUAUGACUAGUUUGAUGUCAUGGUACAAGAGUUUUAGGCAUUGAGGUUAAAGCAAGAGCAACAUGGAAUUGAUUUCGGAGUCUUUCAGUUAGUGUAAAGGAGGAAGAAGUGGUGUUGAUUCUAGAAAUAGGGUUUUAAGUGGUGCGUGAUUACUACUCAAAAAGUGCUAUUUGAUAGCCUUUAAUUAAUCCUUUUUAACACUUUUGAGUAGUAGUUUAGGCCUUUUAACUCAAUUGGCAUGUUAAGGAUCCUUUAAAGCAAUUUUGAUCACUUUGUGCAAGUUUUGGUGUUUUUGUUAGUAUUUUGAUCACCAAAGCAAGUCAAGAAUGAGGAGAACUAUGAGGAAUCAUGGGCAAAGCUUAGAAUUCAAUUGCCAAGAGUGAAUCCGGAUUGCAAGGAGAAAAAGCAAAGAGAAUCUGUCAUGAAGCCUAUUCUUGAUGACAGUCGUAGCAGCCACUUUUGGAGCACUUUCUGAAGUCCAAAUGAUGCAAGCUAUAUACCAUUUCAAAGAUCAGGAAGUCAACAAUCCAAUGCUUCAAACGGUGCGCGAUUCGGAGUUGAAACGAAGAAGUUGCAGCCAUUACAAGCCAGUCACUCUAAAGUGUUGCGGAAUCAGCCUUUUGUUGCGAGAAUUUCGCAGCACUUUUGUACAGUAAGGUGUUUCUCCUUCUGACGAUGCACGAACCAUGCCGCGAGAGGGAAGCUAGGAACUUCAAGAUGGAAGCCAACUUUGCAGCCUGGUGAAGAUAGCUUGGUCUUGCGAAAUAAUUUCGCAGCCCUCUUGGGUGUCUGCGAAAUUUCGCAGGCACCACUUUUUUCCUGCGAAAUGGCUCCGGAAGCCUCCCGAAGCUUGCUACCGACAUUGGGAGAUAUUUUCCAUUAGAUUUUUGUUGUCUAAAUUCCAAAAUACUCCUUGUAAACCACCAAUUACAUGAUUCCUUAGUUUUUAAGUUAGUAAAAAGACCAAAUAUCUAUGUAAUAAUUAGUUUUAUAUUAGUUUGCUAUAAAUACCUCUCGGGAGCAUGUUCUCAGAGAGGAGUUCCUUCUGUAACCAUUUUGGUAAGCAAGUAAAGUCUUUUCUUUCUACUGCCUUACCUUCUCACUUUGUAUUUUCAUUUUAUUUCUAAGUUAUGAAUUCUCUGAGGAGCUUUCCCCAGAGAAUGAGUAACUAAACCUCCAAUUCCUUGGAGCUAAGGUUGCCGGGGAAGGUUCCAAGUGCAAGAAUGCAAAGCUCUGUGGUUUUAGCUAGUAAUGAAGAGGAAGUGAAAUCCUUUAGUGAUUUCAAUGUUUUUAGUUAACUUAAAACACCUUGGAGUCACCUGGGCCAACACUUGGUAAGGCAAGUGAUUUCCAACCGUGGAAAUGCACUAGUUUACCCCUUGCGAGCCUCUGGUAGGUGACUUCAAGGUAGGAUUUUCUGGAAUUACCAACACUUGGUAAGCUUUUGGACUCCUAGGAGACAUCCAUUAGUUAUCUCUUGCGAGUUUGUGAAGGGGAAUCCAAGGUUAAAGAUCACCUUGAAUGGUAAGUGCUCGUGAGAGGCAUGAACCAUUGCAAGUUGUAUCAGUGAGAGAAUUAAAGUGAAAUCUAAUUGAAGGAGUCUCUGUACAUCACCGGUUAGAGAAUUGACUAUAAGUUGAAUCUCUAAUGCGAGGAAAUGAACCAUCUGACCGGAGCUAUGUCUUUUGCAUGAGGAACCACCCCAGUGAACCUAAAUCUCCAAGGAAUGCUUUUCUUCCUAAAUUAUUCCAAACUUCUGUUAAGUUAGUUAGUUUAAGUCUAAACCUUUACCAAUCAAACUUUGUGUUUUAUUUCUUAAGCUAACCGUGAAAUGAAACAAAACCAAUUCACUUGGAAUUGGUAUCCUUGAUUGCUUGCAAAUCAUUCCCAGUGAACGAUCCUUAGAGCCACUAUACUAUAGUAGCUUUGUAUUUGCUACCCUAGUGUAUGGUGUUAUAGGUAUAAAUUUUGUUGAUCACUUCCUCAAUCAAGGAACACCAGCUGAACACAAAUCAGCUGAGACACCAAUUGGGCAUGAGUCAAAUGGCGCCGUUGCCGGGGAAUGAGUGUCAAGAUCAUUGUGAUACCAUUUUUGAGCACUUGUGAUUUUCAUCACAAGUUGGUAAAGUUUCUUUCACUUUACUAAUUUUCAUUCUCUCUUUGUUUAUUUACAAUCUAAGUUUAUCUUUUUAAAAUUUAGUCUAGUUUAAUUUUGCUAUUGUAGCCUUGUUUCUCUUGUUGUCCUCUGUUCUUGUUGUCCUCUGUUUUCAUUUUAGUUGCAGCUGAAUACUAGUUGUGUAUGCCAAAGUGGAUACGAGACAUUGGAGGUAGGCUUAUUAAGUGUGAUACACCUCAGAGAGGAGAAUUGGAAGUAAUCUUGAAUAUCAUGGAGGCUGCACCUGAAGAUCAGCAUAGUCACCAAGGUCGUCAAGACAAUCUCAAUGAAUUCAGAUCAAUGAGGGACCGUAUGCAUCCACCUCGUAUGAGUGCACCAUCAUGUAUAGUGCCCCCUACAGAGCAACUAGUGAUCAGACCAUAUCUUGUUCCACUUCUACCAACUUUCCAUGGGAUGGAAAGUGAGAAUCCGUAUGCACACAUCAAGGAAUUUGAAGAUGUUUGUAAUACAUUCCAAGAGGGAGGAGCUUCAAUUGAUUUGAUGAGGCUUAAGUUAUUUCCUUUUAAUUUAAAGGAUAAGGCCAAAAUUUGGCUUAAUUCUUUAAGGCCAAGGAGUAUCCGCUCUUGGACUGAUUUACAAGCUGAAUUCCUCAAGAAAUUUUUUCCUACUCAUAGAACAAAUGGCUUGAAAAGGCAAAUUUCAAACUUCUCAGCUAAAGAGAAUGAGAAAUUCUAUGAGUGUUGGGAAAGAUACAUGGAAGCUAUAAAUGCUUGUCCUCACCAUGGCUUUGAUACUUGGCUACUGGUGAGUUAUUUUUAUGAUGGUAUGUCCUCCUCAAUGAAGCAACUCCUCGAGAAAAUGUGUGGAGAAGAUUUCAUGAGCAAAAAUCCAGAGGAAGCUAUGGAUUUCUUGAGCUAUGUAGCUGAUGUUUCAAGGGGAUGGGAUGAACCAACUAAAGGAGAAGUGGGAAAGAUGAAGUCUCAGUUGAAUGCUUACAAUGCAAAGGCUGGGAUGUAUACUUUAAAAGAGGAUGAUGACAUGAAAGCAAAGUUGGCAGCUAUGACAAGAAGAUUGGAGGAGCUGGAGCUGAAAAGAAUGCAUGAAGUGCAAGCUGUUGCUGAAGCACCAGUGCAAGUGAAGUUGUGUCCCAAUUGUCAAUCGUUUGAACAUUUGGUAGAGGAAUGCCCUGCAAUUUCAGCUGAAAGGGAAAUGUAUAGAGAUCAAGCAAAUGUUGUUGGACAAUUCAGGCCCAAUAACAAUGCUCCUUAUGGAAAUACCUACAAUUCAAGUUGGAGGAAUCAUCCAAAUUUUUCAUGGAAGGCCAGAGCAACUCAAUACCAACAGCCGGAUCCACCAUCUCAACAAUCUUCAAGUAUUGAACAAAUAAUAGCUAAUCUCAGCAAGGUAGUGGGAGAUUUUGUGGGAAAGCAAGAAGCCACCAAUGCUCGAGUGGAUCAAAGAAUGGACAGAGUGGAUCAAAGAAUGGACAGAAUGGAGAGUAUGUUGAACAAAAGAAUGGAUGGAAUGCAAAAUGAUAUGAAUCAAAAAUUUGAUAACAUCCAAUAUUCAAUUUCAAGGCUUACAAAUUUGAAUACACUGCAAGAAAAGGGAAGAUUUCCUUCUCAACCUAACCAAAAUCCCAAAGGUGUCCAUGAAGUGGAAAGCCAUGAGGGAGAAUCAUCACAGGUGAAAGAUGUGAAAGCUUUGAUCACUCUAAGGAGUGGUAAGAAAAUUGAGCAGCCAACACCCAAGCCACAUGUUGAGAAAGAAGAAGAGAUGAAGAAAGGGAAGGAAAUGGAAGAUAAAGGCAGUGAGAUCAGUGAAGAAAAGAAGGACUCUGAUGCAACAAUGAAAGUAAUUCCAGAGAAGGAGCUUCUGAAGGAAGAAAUGCUGAAGAAAUCAACUUUUCCACCUUUUCCUCAAGCAUUACAGGGGAAAAAGGGGGUUAGAAAUGCAGCUGAAAUCCUAGAAGUAUUGAGGCAAGUGAAAGUUAAUAUUCCACUGCUGGAUAUGAUCAAACAAGUUCCAACGUAUGCAAAAUUCCUAAAGGACUUGUGUACUAUCAAAAGAGGGUUGACUGUAAACAAGAAAGCCUUCUUGACUGAGCAAGUAAGUGCAAUCUUACAGUGUAAGUCUCCUUUGAAGUACAAAGACCCUGGAAGUCCUACCAUUUCAGUCAUGAUUGGAGGAAAGGUAGUGGAGAAAGCCUUGCUAGACUUGGGAGCAAGUGUGAAUUUGCUUCCAUAUUCUGUCUACAAGCAACUGGGACUUGGAGAGUUGAAGCCAACAGCAAUCACUUUGUCUCUGGCAGAUAGAUCAGUGAAAAUUCCAAGAGGGGUAAUUGAGGAUGUAUUGGUUCAAGUAGAUAAUUUCUACUAUCCUGUAGAUUUUGUUGUUCUUGAUACAGAUCCUACUGUAAAGGAAGCUAAUUUAGUUCCUAUCAUCCUUGGAAGGCCAUUUCUUGCAACUUCAAAUGCAAUCAUCAACUGUAGAAAUGGGCUUAUGCAACUCACUUUUGGUAACAUGACACUGGAUCUAAAUAUUUUCUAUAUGUCUAAAAAGCAAAUCACUCCAGAAGAAGAAGAGGGUCCAGAAGAGCUAUGUAUUAUUGAUACUUUGGUGGAGGAGCACUGCAAUCAACAUAUGCAAGAUAAGUUGAAUGAAAGUUUUGUGGAUAUUGAGGAAGGUUUUUCUGAAUCUCCUAAUGGGCUUGCUACUCUACAAAGUUGGAGAAAGAUAGAAGGAAUUCUACCUUUGUUCAAUGAAGAAGAGGAGGCAGCUGUUGAAAAAGAAAUUCCAAAACUCAAUCUGAAGCCUUUACCUAUGGAGCUGAAAUAUACAUAUCUUGAAGAAAAUAAUCAAUGUCCUGUCGUAAUAUCUUCAUCUCAAACCAAGUCUCAAGUGAAGGAUGCAAGCUUCAAAUGGGAUCCGGGCAAACUGAAUCAGGAAGGGCAAAAAGUUUUGAUGUAUGACACAAGACUCCAUAUCUUUCCUGGGAAGCUCAAGUCAAGGUGGAUUGGUCCAUUUGUUAUUCACCGAGUAUAUUCCAAUGGAGUGGUGGACUUAUUGAAUUCCAAUGGCAAGGACAGCUUUAGAGUCAAUGGAUAUCGUCUUAAGCCGUUCAUGGAGUCAUUCAAAUCAGAAAAGGAGGCAAUCAACCUCCUUGAACCUCAAAAAGCCUAAGUGAAAUGGGUUUGCUGGACGUGGUUUUACCACAGUCCAAAAAUUUUUGUAAAUUUUGUAAAUUUUCAAGUUGUUUCCAUGCUUUUAAUCUUAGUUUUUGAUUUUAAAUCAUGUUUUUAGGUGUGUUUUAAUCGUUUUAUAUGAUCCCAGGCGGAAGAAAUUUCAAGGGGAUUGAAAAGAAAAAAAUCGGGUCGAAAUUGGAGCCGAAACAGAGCAAAAACAGGGGAAAAACAGAGCUCUGCGAAAUUUCGCAGGGUGAAGGAAACUUCUGCGAAAUUGGCAUUUUGCUGCCAAACCAUUCCGCAGCACUGUAGAAGCCUCUGCGAGUGUAUUUCGCAAUUGCGAAAGUGGAUUUGGCACACGAGUGCCACUUCGCAGCACAGUGACAUCAAUUUCGCAGCUGCGAAACUCACUGCGAAGUUGCUGCGAAAAUGGCAAGUUGCUGCGAAAUUGGCGUUUUGUUGCGAAACGUAAUCUGACCCCUGGGCUUCCGUUUUUCCUAUUUAUACCUGUCAAAAGUGCUGCGAAAAAGGUUUCAAAAAUUAGAGCACCAUUCUCGCAGCCCUUUCAUCUUCUUCGCCAAGCCACGCCGUCCGUUUCUCCGGUCGUCUUCUCCGUUUAGCAGCGCCGGCCAAAGAUCGAUAGCCCAAAAAUGGCACGAACGCGAGGGGCAAAGUCUUCAUCCCCUUCGAACCGCAAAAGGAGUCUGCGAAAGGAGCCAAGUUCAGGCUCUGUUCCAGAACCUGCUCCAAAGCCUUCGCCGUCGAGACCACAACCUUCUCCAGUGAAGCCGGCGCCACCAAAGCCGCCGGCAAGGCGAUAUUUAACCAGGUCAGGUGGUCAGCCAUUGAAGAAGAAAGCCAGAGUUGAGAGCUCUGAACCAAUCGAUUUGACUGAGCAAUCCCCUGAGAAAUCACCAAAUCCUUCACCGGUACAAAUUCCAGUGCCAUCACCGGUUCCCUCGCCAAUUCCCUCACCAGAAGCAACUCCAAUUCCAUCGCCGGUACCAUCUCCGGCACCCCAAGAAAAAGCUCAGGAGCCUCAAGCGCCAAUUCCAGAGCCCCAAAUUGCAGCUGAAGCACCUCUGGAAGAAGUGAUCCGAAGGCCAAUGCUGCCUCAGCCCCCAAUCGAAGGAAACCUGGAUUGCCGAACUCGGGCAUUCCAUUCUGAGCUUUGCUUCGAUUUAACAGCAUUCAGAGUGAGGCCAGAGCUUGCCCAAUCCUUCCAACUGCUGAGGAGAUAUCAUAUGGAGCAUCUGCUAGCUCCAAGGGAUUUUUUCUAUCCCCGGGUAGUCACGGAUUUCUACCAAACCAUGACAACCAAAGAAGUAAGAAAUCCAACUCUGAUUCAUUUCAUAAUUGAUGGAAGGCAUGGUAUUUUGGGAGCAAGACAUAUUGCUGAAGCCCUGCAAAUUCCUUUUGAGCCAACUCAAUUCGACAAUUUUAAAGCUUGGACAAAUCCUACUGAGUUAGAGAUGGUUAGCACACUAACCAGAGGAGCUGCAAAUCGAUCGCAUUUGUUGAGGGGGGAGCUACCUCCAGUUAUGUUUUUGAUUGAUGCCUUUUUGAGGCAUAAUAUCUAUCCCCUGCAGCAUUGGACCCAAAGAAGGGGAAUUCUCCUAGAAGCCUUGUACAAAAUGUCUGAAGGAUUCUUCUUUGGGCCUCAUCAUCUGAUCAUGGCAGCCCUUCUAUACUUUGAGGAGAAGGUUCACAAGAAGAAGCUUCAAAGAGCAGAUUGCAUUCCACUCCUCUUCCCAAGGCUGCUAUGCCAAGUUUUGGAGCAUCUCGGAUACCCCUCUGAGCCUCAGCAGGAAAGAAAGAGAAUAUGCCGUGAGCCUUUUACCCUUGAUAAAUGGAAUAAUAUGACGGCCUACAAAAUUGAUCAGCCUGGGCAGCCUCAGCCAGCAGCAAGGAGAGUCUCCCCAAGACAUAUACCUGAAGGUAUAACACUUGCUACUCCUGCCAUCCCUCGAGCUCCACCAGCUGCACCUGCUCCAUCACAGCCAUCCACAUCAGCUGAGCCGAGGAUGGCCAUCCCUAUAUCCGAAUAUCGAGAGCUGUGCCGUGCAUUGGAGACUCUUACAGCUUCUCAGAGCAAUCUUGCUCAGGAGUUGGCAGCCAUUAAAGCAUGCCAGGAGCAGAUGUUAGCCUCUCAGACUCAACAAGCUGCCAUCCUAAGGCAGCUUCAAGUCCAUUUCGAUCUGCCACAAGCUGUAGAGCCCUCUAUUCCUACUCCACCAGAGCCACACUCUCAGCCUUCAGAGUCUCAUCCUCCAGAACCCGAAGCACCAGCUGAUCCACCUACUGAGGAGGCAGAUCCUUCUGCCUAGCACCAUCACCCCCCUCAUCAGACAUUAUAUAUAUAUUUGCUGUUUAUGUUUUUAUGCAUGUUUGUUUUGUUUUAGUUGAAAAGAAAUCCCAGUAUUUUGGUACUAUAUAUGGGAUUCCUUGUGUUACUUGUCUUUAGUAUUGUAAUCACAUGAACUCAAAGUAAUACAAGUUGACUAUUUCUUGUUAAAAGUUAGCAUUAAAGUUUCCUUAUUUCCUUUUCUCACAUAUUCUAUUCUUUUUGAAACAUGUGGUUUUCCCCAAUCAAUAUUCGAAUUUGAUAUCAGCAUGGAGGUACCACUUCCUCCCUUUUAUUACAGUCACUCAAAUCACAUUGAGGACAAUGCUCAGUUCGGUUGGGGGGUAUGAGGAAGGAAGUAUUCUAAACCUUUUUGGUAUUGCAAUUAUAUUGGUUAAUUAGUUGUAGAUUUUACUUUUUACUAGUGUUACUCUAUUCUCCAUGAAUUUUGAGGAAAAAUUUUCAAAUUAAACCAAGAGAAAUUGAACUGUUGUUUUUCACUUGACUUAGAGUAUGGAUUAUGCUUACUAAAGUGGUUCAAUUGUUGAAACUUCUACUGAAAUUGAAUUGAGUUCUUCCACUUUAAGCUAUCCACACACUGUGCACAUUAGUUUCCGAUUAUAAGAUGAAAAGCUAUUUCCCUCUUGACUUAGUAUAUUUUUGGGACUUGGUAUAUUUGACCUCAUUUGAUAAAAAUUGAAACACCCUGCAAAAGGCCAAUGAGCCUUUGAAAUAAAGAAAGUUGUUUGCUUGCCUUGAAACCCGAGCAAGGUCUGAGGGGUAUAUGGUGAAAAUCUUUAAAGCCUGGUGCCCUAAGCCUUAAUUGGUUGGGAGUCACCGACCUCAAUGCUCGUUACAAGGGUGAAUAGGUAGAGUUAGCAUAUGGUAGAUGCUUGGGUAUUAGAAAUUCAUUCUUAAAAGUCCGGGGAAAAAUCCGAGGAGUUAGUGGUUGAAAGAUCCUUAAAACUUGGUGCCCUAAACCUUAAUUGGUUGGGAGUCAUCGAUGGACCCCCAUUACAUGGACAAGUCAGAAAGAGUACCCCAUAAAGCUACCUUAAAAAAAAAAAAAAAAAAAAAAAAAAAAAAAAAGAUGAAAGUGUGUUCUUUUCUUAUUGAUUUUGGUCAGUUUGCUAAAGUGUUGAAAAGAGAUAGGUUGGGGGGUGAGAUUAGUAGCAUAUUAUUCUCGGAACCUAAGGAACCAAUACACAUAGAUUUUUGUGGAAGAUUGAAGUUUAGUUCUUAGAAAAUGAAAUGAUUUUAAAACUUCAGUUUGCAUAAUGCACUCCCUUGAUUGACAGUGUUUAGCAUAGGUGUUAUGACUCUUGUUGAGAUUUGGGUUUGUAUUUCUUUAAUGAUUCAUGUGAGAAAUAGAUCAUCAUGCCACUUGAGAAUUAUUUUCCUUUUAGCAUGAUGUUGUAAAUUUUAGAUUAGUUUGCUAUUUAUUUUUUAUUUUCUCUCCUAUAUUGCUAAGGGACUAGCAAUAUGUCGGUUGGGGGGAGUGAUUACUACUCAAAAAGUGCUAUUUGAUAGCCUUUAAUUAAUCCUUUUUAACACUUUUGAGUAGUAGUUUAGGCCUUUUAACUCAAUUGGCAUGUUAAGGAUCCUUUAAAGCAAUUUUGAUCACUUUGUGCAAGUUUUGGUGUUUUUGUUAGUAUUUUGAUCACCAAAGCAAGUCAAGAAUGAGGAGAACUAUGAGGAAUCAUGGGCAAAGCUUAGAAUUCAAUUGCCAAGAGUGAAUCCGGAUUGCAAGGAGAAAAAGCAAAGAGAAUCUGUCAUGAAGCCUAUUCUUGAUGACAGUCGUAGCAGCCACUUUUGGAGCACUUUCUGAAGUCCAAAUGAUGCAAGCUAUAUACCAUUUCAAAGCUCAGGAAGUCAACAAUCCAAUGCUUCAAACGGUGCGCGAUUCGGAGUUGAAACGAAGAAGUUGCAGCCAUUACAAGCCAGUCACUCUAAAGUGUUGCGGAAUCAGCCUUUUGUUGCGAGAAUUUCGCAGCACUUUUGUACAGUAAGGUGUUUCUCCUUCUGACGAUGCACGAACCAUGCCGCGAGAGGGAAGCUAGGAACUUCAAGAUGGAAGCCAACUUUGCAGCCUGGUGAAGAUAGCUUGGUCUUGCGAAAUAAUUUCGCAGCCCUCUUGGGUGUCUGCGAAAUUUCGCAGGCACCACUUUUUUCCUGCGAAAUGGCUCCGGAAGCCUCCCGAAGCUUGCUACCGACAUUGGGAGAUAUUUUCCAUUAGAUUUUUGUUGUCUAAAUUCCAAAAUACUCCUUGUAAACCACCAAUUACAUGAUUCCUUAGUUUUUAAGUUAGUAAAAAGACCAAAUAUCUAUGUAAUAAUUAGUUUUAUAUUAGUUUGCUAUAAAUACCUCUCGGGAGCAUGUUCUCAGAGAGGAGUUCCUUCUGUAACCAUUUUGGUAAGCAAGUAAAGUCUUUUCUUUCUACUGCCUUACCUUCUCACUUUGUAUUUUCAUUUUAUUUCUAAGUUAUGAAUUCUCUGAGGAGCUUUCCCCAGAGAAUGAGUAACUAAACCUCCAAUUCCUUGGAGCUAAGGUUGCCGGGGAAGGUUCCAAGUGCAAGAAUGCAAAGCUCUGUGGUUUUAGCUAGUAAUGAAGAGGAAGUGAAAUCCUUUAGUGAUUUCAAUGUUUUUAGUUAACUUAAAACACCUUGGAGUCACCUGGGCCAACACUUGGUAAGGCAAGUGAUUUCCAACCGUGGAAAUGCACUAGUUUACCCCUUGCGAGCCUCUGGUAGGUGACUUCAAGGUAGGAUUUUCUGGAAUUACCAACACUUGGUAAGCUUUUGGACUCCUAGGAGACAUCCAUUAGUUAUCUCUUGCGAGUUUGUGAAGGGGAAUCCAAGGUUAAAGAUCACCUUGAAUGGUAAGUGCUCGUGAGAGGCAUGAACCAUUGCAAGUUGUAUCAGUGAGAGAAUUAAAGUGAAAUCUAAUUGAAGGAGUCUCUGUACAUCACCGGUUAGAGAAUUGACUAUAAGUUGAAUCUCUAAUGCGAGGAAAUGAACCAUCUGACCGGAGCUAUGUCUUUUGCAUGAGGAACCACCCCAGUGAACCUAAAUCUCCAAGGAAUGCUUUUCUUCCUAAAUUAUUCCAAACUUCUGUUAAGUUAGUUAGUUUAAGUCUAAACCUUUACCAAUCAAACUUUGUGUUUUAUUCCUUAAGCUAACCGUGAAAUGAAACAAAACCAAUUCACUUGGAAUUGGUAUCCUUGAUUGCUUGCAAAUCAUUCCCAGUGAACGAUCCUUAGAGCCACUAUACUAUAGUAGCUUUGUAUUUGCUACCCUAGUGUAUGGUGUUAUAGGUAUAAAUUUUGUUGAUCACUUCCUCAAUCAAGGAACACCAGCUGAACACAAAUCAGCUGAGACACCAAUUGGGCAUGAGUCAGUGCGUUAGAGGAUCAAGAAGAAGAAAAAGAAGGAACUGUUGGAAUUAGUAUGAGUGUGAAGAGAAAAGUAUAUAAAUAAGGGGAAGUAAAAGCAAAGUUCAAAAAGCUAUAUUUUUUUAUUGUUGGUGUAUGGUUGCAUGAUUAUCCCUAUAAAUAAUAGGAGUUUUUUGGUAUUCUACUAGUAGUUGAAGCAUAAUUUCAUAAAUUAAUAUUUAGAGCGGGGUGGGGUGAGUUGUGACAAAAUUCAUACCCGUCCCAAACCUUGGUUCAGAUUUUUAAAAUAUUCUCAAACUUAUCAUAUACCCAACUUUUAUAUUUCAUACUUGUCCUAAUAGAGGCACGUUAGGCCGGGUUACUUGAGUAACCUACAUAAUUGUCAUCCCUAGUUGAAAUACACUUUUUGGCAGUGGCCACCAACUGAGCUAGAAGCUUGAUUGAUUGACCUACAAGAUUAGUUCUCAUCAUUUUAAAAAAAGUUCUGGCUUUGGUUGUGAGUGCAAUUGAAUCUAAACUGGCAUUUGCUUAAUGCAUCUACUUCAAUCCUAAACUUCUUACUUCUUAAGCCUCAAUUGUUGUUAGGAUUUUGGAAAACCCAUUUCCUUAAAUUGUAAAUUUAAGAUAAAAUAAAAUAAAAGUGAGACAUUUCUUGAUUGAAUAUUGUUAAAGGUCCCUUGGCAUUAAGACUUGGUUGAAGCCUUGGAAGAUUAGUGGAACUCUCAACAUGUGUUUGAAUCUUGAGGAGAGUGGAUGUAAGCCAAAAUUUUGUCAAACCAUUAUACAAAUUGAGUUUGAAUCCUCAUUUCUUGAUUUCUUAUUUAUUUGCUUUUUCUUAUUAUUACUUGAAUUGUCAUUUGCAUUCAUUAAUGUUAAAAUUGGUUAUAAUUAACCAACACUAAUUCUCUUUCCCCUUCCCUUUCUUGGGUGUAAACCUAGGUUGGAUUAACUAGAUAAAUCUAUUAAGAUGGUAAAAGAAUAAUUAUUCUUAACAUACAUAAGAUCAUCUUCAAUCAAAUGACUCAUUGGCUAAUAUGUUGAAUUUGCUUAUUACUUGCAACUCAAAAUUGUGUUCUAGUUGUGUCAAGUCCCCAGUGUAUGGACAUUAAAUUUGUAGUACGUGAUGAGUAAUUAGAUGGUCCAACUCCAAGAAAGUGAUUGAAAAGUAGUUCAAGAAAGGUGCAAAAGGGAAUUGUUUUGGUAUUUUCGUUUUUAUUCUUGAAGGUGGCAGAGCUAAAAUUUGAGAAAUCAAGCAAAACAUACUGAAAUUACAUUGAAAGAAAGAAGAUGGGAGUUAAUGUCUUGCAGUACAUGAUAAGGACUUCAUGCAUGUAGUGUGACCCAUGUCUUGGACUGAUGCCAACUCACGGUUACACUUAUACCCUUGGUUCUCUCUUUACUACCUUGGCUAACCUAGAUCAGGCUAUGAGAUAGGCUCCUCACCACACCAUUACUUGCCCAUUAAUUAGAGACAUUUUCAAGCAAUGAGGUAACAUGGUGACACCAAGAGGGUCUAUUCCUCGCCCGGAACAAGUCUAGACUUGGUCUCAAAAAAAUGGAGAAAAAUGAGGUGUCGUUAUGUAGAAAUACAACAACCAUGCCUUCCUCAUUACUUAGAUUCAGAAUGUGAAGGUGAAAUUGAGAAACAGAAACUCUUGAAACCAAAAUGAAAAUUGAUACUUUUACGAAGAAUUACAACAACAUUAGAGGAAGACUACAUUCUUCCUCUUUAUUCCUACAUUUCUACACUACUUCUACUCCACUCCAUAUUUCUACAUACAUCUUUAAUCAGUCUUCCCUCCUUUAUAUAGAGCCAUCUUCACACAAAUUUCGCAAGGUAGAAAAGAGGAAUGAAACUUGGAGCAAGGUUCGACUACUGGUUGUAGCUUGUCAAGGCUGGAAGUGAACUUUUCUUGGCUUUCUGGGCAUGGGUAGUAACUUGUGGGUUCCUGUUUGGCAUAAAAAUGGCUAGAACAUGUGGCACUAUCUUGUUGGAUGAUGUGUCAAGCAUGUGGCAGCCAUCUAGUGGCGAUUAUGUCAAUUUUGGGAUGGAGAGUUGGCAUCCAAUUGCAAAGAAAUAUGACGUCUACCAACAUGCAAUGUAAACCUAUGUAGAUCAUAUGAAGAUAGAGAGGAAAAAUAUAGAAAUGGAUAUAUACCUAGAACUAGCUUUUUAUUAAAUGAAACGGAGAGACAACAAUGAAGGAAAAUAAAAUUUUUUGGCUUAUAUCAAAGAGUUCACAUUGUGUUACCCUAGGUUUUCUUAAAACUUACUUUUAUGAUAACAAAAAAGAAAAAACCAUUAUUGUUUAAUCCUUUGUUUUAAACGCAUGUAAGGUGUAAUUAAGUUAGUUCAAUGCAUUAAUUUAAGAAACUUGACCUAUCAAAAGUACAAAAUUAGAUGAAAUCCAUUUCAAUGGUUAAAAUGAUCAAAAUCAAACUUUUUCUAAGUAUUUUUUAAAAGCAUCAAUAGUGAAAGACAAUUUUAUAUUUAGUCGGAGUUUGGACAAAACUGAAAAACACACAAAAUCCAAGCGACCAUCUCUAGCUUGGAUGGUCGCUUGAUCCCACCUAGAGAUGUGCAUGAGUAAAAGGAUUUGAAAAUGGAAAUUGACUAUGUAGUCGAUCAAUUAACUUUGCAACAUCAUAUGCAAUCCUAAUUGCUAGUCAUCUAAUCAAUUAGGUAGUCAAUCAACAGGCCAAAAAUAUGUUUAUAAUGACUAUUUUGUACAAAAACCACCUGUAUAGUUAAAUAUAAUGCAUUUCAUUUAUAAAUCUUCUAAUUCUUGAAUAACGAUCCUAUCAUCCUUUGAAAGUUUUUAUUACACUUUUUUUACUUUUGUUCUAAAACUUACACAUCACCCUUAAUUGUACCAUGAGAACCUAGCUAUUUUUUAUUUUUUUUUUUGUAAUUCAUCAAAGUUAGCUUUUGUAUUCAUUGUUGUAUUAUUUUUAGUAUAACUUAGAAAGCUAGUGUUUUCAAGUGAGUAAAAUUAACUUGUAAAUAUUGUAAAGAUUCAUCGACAUGUAUCUUAAACUAAGUGUACAAGUUAAAACAUUUGCUAGUAGAUUUUCUCAAAAUUUAGAAUAGAGCUUGAGACUAUUGAAAUAGGUGGGGUUGCACCAAACCACAUCACAUCGUUGUUUGCACCUUUUUUCACUCUCUUUUACUUAGUUGCUCUAUAUUUGUUGUCUAGUAAUAUCCUAUAGGCUUGAUGGGUUAGGGAGCAUCCCUUUGUGAAAAAAUUUUAUUCAAUCCUUAGUUGUAUCACGCAUAUAUAAAAUGCCUCAUUGUUUUAAUGGUAUUCAGUCGUGGCAUCACAGAUAUGGGCAUCUAAAUUUUAAAAGUUUGAAACUUUUAUCUAAAGAAAAUAUGGUGCUUUGCCUUUUUGUAAAGCAUGUUGAUGAAAUCCAUGAGAAUUGUGUACUUGGGAAGCAACACCGAGAUGACUUUUUUUUUUUUUUUAUAAUAUUGUUUGUCCAAAUUCCCUACAAAUUAGGCCACCAGAUGUUCAUAAUUCUCCCUUCUUGAAUUUGAAAACUCGGACAAUUGGACAAUGCGACACCUAAGUCCGGUUUCUAAAUGCUAAAGUGAAAGGGUAGGUAUGGACCAUUGAAAUGUGAUCACAACUUUUCUCUGUAGCCAUGUUGUCUCUUUUUUCUUUUGCAUGAUUUUCUUACCUUAACAGAAUCAUAGACUUGUUUAGUCUCUAAAUGGGAUUAAUUUCAUCCAGCUUUAAGCUACUAUAUUAUAUCUAGGUGGAGGACUUUUAAGAGUGCAACCGACAUAGAGCACAUGGAAGUGGGUAUAUGGGACAUGAAAUUUCUUCUUAUAAAGAUUGCAUGAUUUUUAUAUUAGAGUUGUUGAGGCGCUAUGUAUUUAGCUUGUUUUGCAGUUAAAUUAAUUGGAUAAGUAGACAUUGGCGUUUCUAAAUCUACUGUGAAGUGCUUCAUGUACGUGUGAAGUAUUAGAAAUUUCUUUCUUGGCAACUUGUUUUUCUUUGCGGUCUACUGAUAGGUUUGACUAAAAUUAUAUUCCCUGUCAUGCUAAUUAAUUUUCACGUGCAUGCUCAAAAGAAAAGUAUGACCUUAGUGCACCAAAAUCACUUUGAUUAAUUUGUGAUAGGUUUUUGUGCAUCAUGACAUUAGCCUUAUUCAUUUAGAUAAUGUUUAGUUUUUAGAAAGUAUUAAGAAAAGGAAAAUAAAUAUUAAGAAAAAUAUUCUUAUAUUUGAUUGUAUUAUGAAAAAUAUCAUAAAAAAAUCAAAUAUAAUUUAAAUUAAUUAAUAAUUUAUACAUUUUCAAAUUAUUUAAUCUUUAUAUUGAAGAUAUAAUAUAAAUGAAAUGAGUUUUAAGUAUUAUAUAAAAGUGAUUUAUUGAUCUUACAUAUAUAUAUUUCUUUUUUUUUUCCUUCUAUUUUUUCUCUUUAUUUUAUUUUCCUUAUGUUUUCCUCAACAUUUUCCGGAACCAAACAUAGCCUUAGGAAAUCCACAAUUACCUUCAACUGAGUAGAUUCUGUUGUUUUAGCAAUGUUAGGCUGCUAACUUGUGUUGGUACGAACCUAUUAAGCCUAAAGAUGUAAUUAGUUAGGAUAUUCUUUUCCCUCUAGUCUUGUAGCUCCACGUGUACAGUUGGUUAGGACCUCAUUGUAUAUAAUGCUUGCCCUGUUAUUGUAGAAGACAACAAAGAUAAAUAAUAUUAACAUUUUUCCUCUCAUCUCUCUCUGUUUCCCUCUGUUUUCAUCUCCUCUCUCAUCUUGGUAUCAGAGCCUCCAUGGCUUCUUUCAAAGAAACCUCCGAAUCACCUUCUGCUAGCAUUGUUAAUGUGCAAAACCCAUUAUCUCAAUCAAACAACCUUCCUUCACCAGUAGCCACACCCUCUUUUUCUUUCUCGUCUAUGAAUCAACCUCUCACAGUGAAGCUGGAUAAUGGGAACUACCUCAUAUGGAAGAAUUAGCUUCUAAAUGUCAUCAUUGCUAACGGACUCGAUGAUUUCAUUGACGGAUCUCGACCCUGCCCUCCUCGAUUUCUCGAUCUGCAACAACAAACCCUCAAUCCAGAGUACUCAGCUUGGCAGAGAUACAAUCGACUUCUGAUGAGUUGGCUGUACGCAUCCUUGUCCAAAGAUAUAAUGGCUCAGAUUGUUGGGUAUUCAACAGCUAUGGAGAUUUGGAAUGCCCUUAAUCAGAUUUACUCUGCCUCUUCUAUGGCGCGGUUUACUGAGCUUCGCACCAAGCUUCAAACGCUCAAGAAAGAUGGACUCUCAGUUGGUGAAUAUAUUCAAAGGCUCAAAUCCAUUUGCAAUAGUCUUGCAGCAAUAGGAGAACCAGUUUCUGAGAAAGACCAUCUUAUCUAUUUGUUCAAUGGAUUAGAUUGUGAGUAUUAUUCUUUUGUUACCUCCAUUCAAAAUCGAUCUGACCAACCAACUAUUGACAAAAUCCAUAGCCUAUUGCUUAGCUAUGACUUCCGGCUUGAACAACAAAACUCUGUUUCUCUCCAUUCUGCCCAAGUCCAUAUGGCUCAUCUGAACAAGAAACCUUAUAAAUCAACUCCUCAACCUACAUUCAAUCAUAUUCACAUUCAACCUAGAUACUCUUCUCCACCUUUUAAGCCAACCACUAGUCAAUAUCAACCCAACAUUUUGGGCAAACCACAACCACAACCAUGACAGCCUCAACCUCAAUGGAAACCACAUUUUUCAAUCUAAAAUCAAAAGCCUCAGCGCCAAAUUUGUGGUAAAUUUGGACACACUGCUCUUAUUUGCUUCCAUCACACAAAUUUGAACUAUUCACCCCAACCUUCUCCUAAAUCUUUCAAUACUGUUCUCACCACAAAUUCCCAGCUCCCUAAUCCUCCAAAAUUUUCUUACCCUACAAUGGCUCAUCCUGCUGCUACGCAUAACACGGUUCCCGAUACAAAUUGGUACAUGGACUCAGGUGCUACACAUCACUUUACUCUGGACAUCAACGUGCUUGACACUGUGACACCAUUUAGUGGUUCAGAACAGGUGACAGUUGGGAAUGGUAAGCAACUCUGUAUCUCACAUCUUGGUACUGCAAAACUACCAUCUUCGUAUUCUCCUCCUGUUCUACAUCAGGUAUAUCACACUCCAAAAAUUUCAAAUAAUCUUAUUAGUGUUAAAAAAUUGUGUUCUGAUAAUAAAGUUUUUGUUGAAUUUUAUGCCACUCAUUUUCUUGUCAAGGAUCAGGUUUCGAAGAGAGUUCUCCUUUAGGGUCAACUUGAUAAUGGCUUAUACAAAGUUCAGUCGUCAUGCUCUCCUUCUGCUGUUUCCUUUCCUCCUCAAGUUUUCAUAGCCAACAUCAAGUAUCCAAAUCUGUGGCACAAGAGACUAGGCCACCCAGCUUUAUCUGUUGUUAAUCAAAUCUUGGAUUCUUGUAACAUUGCUCGAACACAGAAAAUUUGUUUUAAUUUUUUAAAUUCUUGUCAAUUAGCAAAGAGCCACAGGCUUCCUUUUUCUCUGUCUCCAUCCAUUGCAGAAAAACCUUUUGAGUUAAUUCAUACAGACCUAUGGGGUCUUUCGCUCGUUCGCUCUAUUUCUGGUGCUCUUUAUUUUUUACUUUUCAUUGAUGAUCAUACUCGUUUUACUUGGUUUUAUUUGCUCAAAACAAAAGAUGAAGCAUAUCCUACUUUUCUCAAGUUUCAAGCUCUCAUUGAAAAUCAAUUUAAUACCAAGAUUAAGGCUGUCCAAUCUGAUUGGGGAGGUGAGUUUCGAUCUCUCUCCAUACCGUUUUCAAAUAUGGGCAUUGUCUAUUGUUUAUCGUGUCCAUACACCUCACAACAGAAUGGGCGAGUUGAGCGAAAAAAUCGCCAUGCGAUUGUCCUUUCUUGCUUGCUCUAUGCCCUUAUCUUAUUGGCCUUAUGCCUUUCAAACUGCCACUUACCUUAUUAAUCGUCUCUCUACCCCUGUGCUGCAUCAUCAAUCCUCUUACUUCGCACUCUAUCACAAACUCCCAACUUAUACUCAUCUUAAGGUCUUUGGUUCCUCUUGUUUUCCGUAUUUGCACCCUUAUAAUACCCAUAAACUCCAAUACAGGUCACUAGAGUGUGCUUUUCUUGGUUACAGUUCACACCACAAAGGUUAUCUAUGUCUUGACAUUCAUUCUAGCAGGGUGUAUAUUUCUCGCCAUGUGAUUUUUAAUGAAGAUUCUUUUCCAUUCAAGAAUUUGAAAUCUUCUCUCUCUCAGUCUAUUUCUUCUUCCUCUUCUUUAUAAGUUCCUCUGUUCAUUCUCUUGCCUCCCCUUUCCCCAUCUCCUCUUAUUUCUUCAUCUAUACCUCAUUCUUUUCCCUCUUCUUCUUCUACCUCUAGUACUUGUUCCCCUCUCGUUGCUCCUACCUCUCUUCCUUCCUCUUCACACUCUGUGUCUCCAUCUAUUCCACCUCCUUCUCCACCUUCUCCGAGUGUGGACCUGCUUGCACCUUGUGUGAAUACAAAUUUACAUACUUCUUCUCGCACUCACAAUAUUCAUCCUAUGGUGACUAGAUCUAAGGUUUGUAUCUAUAAACCUAAGUUGUUGUUGAGUGUCUCCAUAGGUUCUCUCACUAAGCCUACUUCCUUUCUUCAAGCUAUUAAAGAUCCUUCAUGGAAGCAAUCCAUGGAAUUCGAGUUUGCUACCCUUCAACACAACAAGACCUGGCAUUUGGUUCCUUCACCUUCCUCAGGCGAAGUAAUCGGUUGUAAAUGGGUCUAUAAGCUAAAGCUUCAGCCUGAUGGCUAAAUUGAGAGAUACAGCCUGCUUAGUAGCUAAGGGUAUCAUCAAAUUGAAGUAUGGACUACUUCGAAACAUUCAGCCUGAUNNNNNNNNNNNNNNNNNNNNNNNNNNNNNNNNNNNNNNNNNNNNNNNNNNNNNNNNNNNNNNNNNNNNNNNNNNNNNNNNNNNNNNNNNNNNNNNNNNNNAGCUUCAGCCUGAUGGCUAAAUUGAGAGAUACAAGGCCUGCUUAGUAGCUAAGGGUUAUCAUCAAAUUGAAGGUAUUGACUACUUCGAAACAUUCAGCCUGAUUGUCAAGCUUUCUACUAUCUGUAUUGUGCUCAGUCUUACUUUUUCCCAGAAUUGGUGUAUUAGACAGCUGGAUGUUCAUAAUGCCUUCUUACAUGGUGACUUAGCUAAAGACGUUUUCAUGGAACAACUGCCUGGAUUUGUUGAUCCUCUCUAUCCUACUCAUGUCUGCAAGUUGGAUAAGUCUCUCUACUGUCUUAAAUAGUCACCUCGGGCUUGGUAUACUAAGCUGAGUACUUCUCGCUACACUUGGGAUUUGUUACUUCUAAGAAUGACUCUUCCUUAUUUAUUUGUCAUUCGUCUCAUGGGUUACUUCUUGUUCUUGUCUAUGUGGAUGAUAUAAUCGUCAUUGGGAGCCACUCUCCUCAGGUUACUCACCUUAUCCAACAGUUGCAUCAUUAGCUUUCUUUAAAGGAUCUUGGUCCUUUACAUUAUUUUCUGGGCUUGGAGGUUCAUCACACCCCUACUGGUAUUCACCUCAGCCAAGCAAAGUAUAUCACUGAUCUCCUUACCCGGGCGGCUAUGUUGGAUGCCAAGCCAUGUCCCACUCCUAUGUCCUCCAACACAUAUCUCUCUUUUCAUGAUGGAGUGGCUCUUGAAAAUGGUUCAGAUUAUCGAAGUUUUGUUGGUGCCCUUUAGUAUUGUACCAUGACACGCCCAGAUAUAGCUUUUGCAAUAAAUAAAGUGUGUCAAUUCAUGCACCAUCCCUCUAAUGUUCACUGGCAGGCUAUAAAACGUAUUCUCCGGUACUUAAAGGGCACAUCUCAUUUUGGUCUCUUCCUACAGCCUUCCUAUGACUUCAACAUCACUUGCUAUACAAAUGCCGACUGGGCUUCCUGUCCUGAUGACAAGUGUAGCACCAGUGGCUACUGCCUCUUUCUUGCCUCUAAUCUGGUUUCUUGGUCAUCUUCCAAACAAAAAGUGGUCUCCCGCUCCAGCGCCGAAUCAGAGUACCGAGGGGUAGCAAAUGGGGCUGCUGAAAUUGCUUGGACUGAAUCUCUUCUUUGUGAACUUUCCAUUACUCCCCCUCCCCUCAUUCUCUGUGACAAUAUCAGUGCCACGUACUUAGCUGCCAAUCCUAUUUUGCAUGCCCGCACCAAACAUGUGGAAAUCGACUAUCACUUUGUCACGGAACGUGUUCUUCAAUGCUCUCUUUUUGUCCAGUUUACACCUUCUGAUGAUCAACUUGCUGAUUGCAUGACCAAGCCUCUCUCCACCCAACGUUUCAUCACUCUACGCUCCAAGCUCACUGUUCUCACUAGACCAAUGAGCUUGAGGGGGGAUGUUAAGCCUAAAGAUGUAAUUAGUUAGGAUAUUCUUUUCCCUCUAGUCUUGUAGCUCCACGUGUACAGUUGGUUAGGACCUCAUUGUAUAUAAUGCCUGCCCUGUUAUUGUAGAAGACAACAGAGAUAAAUAAUAUUAACAUUUUUCCUCUCAUCUCUCUCUCUGUUUCCCUCUGUUUUCAUCUCCUCUCUCAUCUGAACCAAAUGAUCCAUGUUAACCUUGGCUUGGUUUGAUUUGGCUCUAUCUUAGAGAGCUCAAGGAUCACGUCAACUCUGGUUUCUACUAUUCAGGUCCAUUCCCAUAUGAACUGGUUCAAAUUUGAGAAAAUGGUAACAGACCUUUAGUGAUGUUGGUUUGGAGCCAGUUGCCAAACCCGCCCUGAGCUUUACCACUAAUGUCAAGGGAGAAAGCCAUUUGAACAAAAACAAUAGCUUCAAGGGACUGAAUCGUGGAUGAAAUCUGAUCCACAUUUCUUCUCAUUUUGGAAACAAAUGAGAACUUAACUAAGAAGAUUCUACGGCCUCAUAGUGCUUUUCCUGAUCUAAGGUUGGUUCGUUUCCCAAACUGUGAGAUGCACGUGCCAGACUUCAGAACUCUCACGCUCAGGAGUGUAUCCACGUGGUGGACAUAAGAUGGUGGCUUAAGAUCUGGUGUCGGUGGCUUUACUUUACUAGGAGAGUAGUGUGUCUUCAUCUCAUUCACUGCCGGAGGGUGGCGUAAGCAGUGACGCUAAGGUGGGGCACAGUCAAUAUCAUUUGCAUUUGACCAUUAUAGUUUUCUCCCGGCUUUAAAGUAACCUUAUCGUGAUAAAGGAUUACUAGCACUAGUUCAGAUGAUAGUCAUGUUAAAUUCGGACCAUGUUUGUGUCACAUUAUCAGCAACCAUGUGUUUAUGGUUCAUGCUUUCUGCAACUAAAAUUGAUAUAUAACCAGGUGAACUUCAAUCUAAAUUCUGAAAGUACUCAUGUGAUAGAUGGUGCCCGUCUGCAGAGUCCAUCAAUUGAAAAAUGGAGUGAGUGUAUCUAUAAGAGGGAAGGCUUGGAAAAUGUUCAGUUUUCUGGGAAUUCAACAAGGAUCUAAAAUAGAUUGUUUUCUUUGCUGAUUUCAAUGGUUGAAAUUUGAGAAGAUUGUGUCCACAUAACACAACUAUUACUGGUCCUUCUGUUGCAAUUUAUCCUCUAAAGCUCUAGCAUGUCUUCCAAUUCCCACUUCCCUGUUACUCCAGGAAAGCUAUUUCUGUCAUUGUGAAGAAGAAAAGAGAAUGUACAUAUCGAUGCUUUUAAGUGACUGGAGCAUUUAUAUCAGGUGGUCUGCAGCCAUAUAUGCCACUUUGUGAAGAUUGGAACAGUCAAUCACUAGGCUAUAUAUUAGUGUGGCCCAGCCACUUUAAUCAAGGACAAGUCUUCAUACUUAAAGUCAAAUUCUGCCUUUAGUCUCAUUAUAAAUUUCUGUUUAAAUAUUAAGCAAACAUUUGUUUAAUGCGAUUAAGACAGUACUAACUCAAUACCUGUUCUAUUUUUGGAUGCAAAUGCUUGAUGGUUUCAUCAUUGGAUGGGAUAAAGGUGCAUUCAUGAUUAGGAAUACUAGUAGUUAUAUUUUAAUUCUCUUUUUUCUCAAUGAGACUUGUUGGCACAAUUUUGCUGUUGAGAAACCUACCUCUCCAUGGAAAAUAAGUUGUGAUUGAUAGUACUGGAUAUAUUCAAGAAAUCUAAAUAUAGAUAGCACAAAAUAUUAUCGACAUAAAUAGCAUUAACAGCGUACGUAUGUCUCAGUGCUCAUCAGCUAUAAGCAUGGGGCAAACACUUACUAUGAGCAACUUACGUCAAAAUUCCAGAAUAGGACAUAGAAGUGACAGAUAUAGAACAUUGCAUAUGAGUCACAAGAAAGGAAAUUACGGGUGCAUAGCAGCUCUUAUUUUACAUACUACUACUCAUACUGAUCAAAGUCACUCAGUUGGGAUGGGUGGGAGUAGGAGGUUUGUGGGGUGGCUUGUGCGGAGGAGUUGGCAGCUUCUUUCCAGGACCUGGUUGCUUCUCUGCUGGAGUUGAAGGAGGCUUAAUCUUCCGAGGUGGCUUGUAUGAGUCUUCAGCAUUCUCAGCUGGAGGGUGACCAGGGUUGUGACCAUAAUGUGGUGGCUUCUCUCCCUUAGGUGGUUUGCCAACUGGGGUUGGUGGCUUGUAUGAGUCUUCAGCAUUCUCAGCAGGAGGGUGACCAGGGUUGUGACCAUAAUGUGGUGGCUUCUCUCCCUUAGGUGGUUUGCCAACUGGGGUUGGUGGCUUGUGUUCUGGGAGUGGCUUCUCCCCCUUGGGAGGUUUUUCCAAUGGGGUUGGUUUGUGUUCAGGAGGUGGCUUCUCCACUGGAGGCUUGUGUUCAGGAGGUGGCUUCUCCACCGGAGGCUUGUGUUCAGGUGGUGGCUUCUCCACCGGAGGCUUAUGCUCUGGUGGUGGCUUCUCGAAUGGGGGAUGCUUAGGAUAAUCAGCAAGUGAGGGGGCGGUGAGAACCACCAGGCCAAGCAACACCACUAGCAAAUAUGUAGGAGACAUCUUUGGGUUUGGGCUCAGAUGGUGCAAAACUAGGAGAAUUGGCUAGCCUUUUAUAGCGGAUCGUACCCAAUAAUGAAAUGACACGUGUCAUUAUGACCCAUGUGUAAUGGGGUCGAUUUGGGUCCUACAGUGUUGAAAACUUCGACAUCCACUUUUGGCCUUUUGCUUUCUCUACAGCCGCCUUGCUUUUUCCCUCUUUCCUUUUGUUUUCCUCCUGCCCCAUUCUAUCAACUAAACACAAUUAUGUAGUUGUUUAAUUCUUAAAUGAGAUAUUAUCCGUCAAUCGUAUUAUAUUUUAUCAAGAGAGAACGGAGUGCAAUGUGGCUGUAAUUUUAUCGUUUAGUUUUAUCUCUUGGACCACUGCAUUUUUGUUAAGAGGUGCAAUAAUACACGUCUUUAUCUGCCAUUCAAUAUUUACAGUAAAGAGAGGGCACAAAACUCUUCACUUCGCACCAUAAUUAUUUUGUUUUCUGGACACCCCGGGGCCCUUUGGUUGGUUUGGGGGUCAGAAAGUGAACAUCAUAGGGGGUUUUUCCCUUAUGUGCAUUUGUAUCUGAUGGCUUUAACUCGCCUUGUUACUACAAAGAAACUGUCACAGAUAGGAACUUAUUCCAGGCUGAGUAUCUCCUCAUAGACCCUAUAAAAGAAGACAAGUCAUAAUGAACAUCUAACCUUUGUUCAAUUUGAUUCAAUGCCCCCAUUGUGUCCAUCUCACAAAUCUGAAUUAUUAUAUCCAUUGAAUACAUAAAUUAAUGAAGAAAAUAUGAAACCCAAGAUACAUCUCUGCACAACCUCAACCCUGGUUGCUAUGUUUCCCUUCUAUUCACAUGAUUUGAUGCUAAUUGCCAAACUUGCAACAAGCCCUGAGUUUGACACCUAGUAUCGAUGGGCGAAUUUAAAGUCUCCUCCAAACAUAUAUUCCACAGCUUGAAGCUCACAGAAGAUGUUACAGGCAGGGAAAAACCUUCAGAGUUCGCUACCAAAGAUAAUUAUUAAGGAGAUAUCACAAAGAGAAUUCCAAGGGGUCUGAAUCAAAGACAAAUUGGUCGUUCGUGGGGGUUCUUACUUUCUUUUGGGUAUAACUCACUGAGGGCACUGUCUUUGUUAUUUGCAUUUCACAUUUAGAGUUCUGUUCUGGAAACAUAUAAAAGGAGCAUCAUUUUGUUCUUGGGUAACCCAUAGUCGUGAGUGGGUCCAUUUGCAUGCUACUUAGUUGAAAAGUUGGACCAUUUGCUCCGACGCCUACCUCCCGGAUUCCAUGCUCGGAUAAAACAAGAAUAAAAAAAAUAUUUAUAAUUUACAAAUGGGGGAAAGAAAAAAAUGUCAACAACAAACCAGGAAAAAAGAGUAGUAAAAUUCAUGUCACAUGCUAGUGAGAGAAGGGGUUGUUACACUCACUCGAAGUUCUUUCCAAAAUAUCGCAUGGUAUUUUAUUUUAUGUGUCAGCGCAGUUGUGAAUGGAACGUGCAAAAGUCCAAAUUGGCGUUUUUCCUUUUCCCGUGUAGGAUGGCGACCUUUAAUAAAUAUUUAAAACAAAAAACGAAAAAAAGGAGGGAAAAGGGAUCAGAAAAGAUAAAACAAUGUGUACAAGAGCUCAAUUAGUUUGCAAAUUACUGUUUGGAUUUUGAUAGUAUUUUAUUUGUCCAUCUAUAUUUGAUGGAAAAGAGAAUUUAAGAUAUUUCUGAAACAAAAGCAUUAGUGUAAAACUAAAUUAAGGUAUAAUUAAGUUAGUUCAAUGCAUUAAUUUAAGAAACUUGAUCUAUCCAAAGUACAAAAUUAGAUGAAAUCCAUUUCAAUGGUUAAAAUGAUCAAAAUCAAACUUUUUCUAAGUAUUUUUUAAAAGCAUCAAUAUUAAAAGACAAUUUUAUAUUUAGUCGGAGUUUGGACAAAACCAAAAAGCACACAAAAUCCAAGCGACCAUCUCUAGCUUGGAUAGUCACUUGAUCCCACCUAGAGAUGUGCAUGAGUAAAAGGAUUUGAAAAUGGAAAUUGACUAAAUAUUUAGUUGAUCAAUUAAAUUUGCAAUGUCAUAUGCAAUCCUAAUAGCUAGUCAUCUAAUCAAUUAGGUAGUCAAUCAAGUGUUUGUAAUGACUAUUUUGUACAAAAAACCACAUGUAUAGUUAAAUAUAAUGCAUUUCAUUUAUAAAUCUUCUAAUUCUUGAAUAACGAUCCUAUCAUCCUUUGAAAAUUUUUAUUACACCUUUUUUACUUUUGUUCUAAAACUUACAUAUCACCCUUAAUUGUACCAUGAGAACCUAGCUAUUUUUUUUUUUUUUGUAAUUCAUCAAAGUUAGCUUUUGUAUUCAUUGUUGUAUUAUUUUUAGUAUAACUUAGAAAGCUAGUGUUUUCAAGUGAGUAAAAUUAACUUGUAAAUAUUGUAAAGAUUCAUUGAUAUGUAUCUUAAACUAAGUGUACAAAUUAAAACAUUUGCUAGUAGAUUUUCUCAAAAUUUAGAAUAGAGCUUGAGGCUAUUGAAAUAGGUGGGGUUACACCAAACCACAUCACAUCGUUGUUUGCACCUUUUUUCACUCUCUUUUACUUAGUUUCUCUAUAUUUGUUGUCUAGUAAUAUCCUAUAGGCUUGAUGGGUUAGGGAGCAUCCCUUUGUGAAAAAAUUUCAUUCAAUUCUUAGUUGUAUUACGCAUAUAUAAAAUGCCUCAUUGUUUUAAUGGUAUUCAGUCGUGGCAUCACAGAUAUGGGCAUCUAAAUUUUAAAAGUUUGAAACUUUUGUAAAGCAUGUUGAUAAAAUCCAUGAGAGUUGUGUACUUGGGAAGCAACAUCGAGGUGACUUUAUUUUUUUUUCCUUUUAUAAUGCCACACCUAAGUCCGGUUUCUAAAUGCUAAAGUGAAAGGGUAGGUAUGGACCAUUGAAAUGUGAUCACAACUUUUGGCCUUUUCCUUUCUCUGCAGCCAUGUUGUCUCUUUUUUCUUUUGCAUGAUUUUCUUACCAAAACAGAAUCAUAGACUUGUUUAGUCUCUAAGCUACUAUAUUAUAUCUCGGUGGACUUUUAAGAGUGCAACCGACAUAGAGCACAUGCAAGUGGGCAUAUGGGACAUGAAAUUUCUUCUUACAAAGAUUGCAUGAUUUUUAUAUUAGAGUUGUUCACGUGCAAUGUAUUUAGCUUGUUUUGCAGUUAAAUUAAUUGGAUAAGUAAACAUUGGCAUUUCUAAAUCGACUGUGAAGUGCUUCAUGUACGUGUAAAGUAUUAGAAAUUUCUUUCUUGGCAACUUGUUUUUUCCUUGCCAUCUACUGGUAGGUUUGACUAAAAUUAUAUUCCCUGUCAUGCUAAUUAAUUUUCAUGUGCAUGCUCAAAAGAAGAGUAUGACCUUAGUGCACCAAAAUCACUUUGAUUAAUUUGUGAUAGGUUUUUUUGCAUCAUUUAGAUAAUGUUUAGUUCUAAGAAAAAUUUAUAUAAAAAUGGUUUAUUUAUCUUACAUAUAUAUAUAUAUAUAUAUAUUUUUUUUUUUUUCAUUUUUUUUUCUUCUAUUUUAUUUAUUUAUUUUAUUUUCCUUAUGUUUUCCUCACAUUUUCCGGAACUAAACAUAGUCUUACGAAAUCAACAAUUGCCUUCAACUGAGUAGAUUCUGUUGUUUUAGCAAUGUUAGGCUGCUAACUUGUGGUGGUACGAACCAAAUGACCCAUGUUAAUCUUGGCUUGGUUUGAUUUGGCUCUAUCUCAGAGAGCUAAAGGAUCACGUCAACUCUGGUUUCUACUAUUCAGGUCCAUUCCCAGAUGAACUGGUUCAAAUUUGAGAAAAUGGUAACAGACCUUUAGUGAUGUUGGUUUGGAGCCAGUUGCCAAACCCGCCCUGAGCUUUACCACUAAUGUCAAGGGAGAAAGCCAUUUGAACAAAAACAAUAGCUUCAAGAGACUGAAUCGUGGAUGAAAUCUGAUCCACAUUUCUUCUCAUUUUGGGAAAAAAUGAGAACUUAACUACAAAGAUUCUACUGCCUCAUUCAUAGUGCUUUUCCUGAUCCAAGGUUGGUUCGUUUCCCAAAUUGUGAGGUGCACGUGCCACUCUCACGCUCAGGAGUGUAUCCACGUGGUGGACAUCAGAUGGUGGCUUAAUAUCUGGUGUCGGUGGCUUUACUUUACUAGGAGAGUAGUGUGUCUUCAUCUCAUUCACUGCCGGAGGGUGGCGUAAGCAGUGACGCUAAGGUGGGGCACAGUCAAUAUCAUUUGCAUUUGACCAUUAUAGUUUUCUCCCGGCUUGAAAGUAACCUUAUCGUGAUAAAGGAUUACUAGCACUAGUUCAGAUGACCGUCAUGUUAAUUCGGACCAUGUUUGUGUCACAUUAUCAGCAACCAUGUGUUUAUGGUUCAUGCUAUCUGCAACUAAACUUGAUAUAUAACCAGGUGAACUUCAAUCAAAAUUCUGGAAGUACUCUUGUGAUAGAUGGUGCCUGUCUGCAGAGUCCAUCAAUUGAAAAAUGGAGUGAGUGUAUCUAUAAGAGGGAAGGCUUGGCAAAUGUUCAGUUUUCUGGGAAUUCAACAAGGAUCUAAAAUAGAUUGUUUUCUUUGCCGACUUCAAUGGUUGAAAUUUGAGAAGAUUGUGUCCACAUAUCACAACUAUUACUGGUCCUUCUGUUGCAAUUUAUCCUGUAAGGCUCUAACAUGUCUUCCAAUUCCCACUUCCCUGUUACUCCAGGAAAGCUAUUUCUGUCAUUGUGAAGAAGAAAAGAGAAUGUACAUAUCGAUGCUUUUAAGUGACUGGAGCAUUCAUAUCAGGUGGUCUGCAGCCAUAUAUGCCACUUUGUGAAGGUUGGAACAGUCAAUCACUAGGCUAUAUAUUGGUGUGGCCCAGCCACUUCAAUCAAGGACAAGUCUUCAUACUUAAAGUCAAAUUCUGCCUUUAGUCUCAUUAUAAAUUGCUGUUUAAAUAUUAAGCAAACUUUUGUUUAAUGCGAUUAAGACAGUACUAACUCAAUACUUGUUCUAUUUUUGGAUGCAAAUGCUUGAUGGUUUCAUCAUUGGAUGGGAUAAAGGUGCAUUCAUGAUUAUGAAUACUUGUAGUUAUAUUUUCAUUCUCUUUUUUCUCAAUGAGACUUGUUGGCACAAUGUUGCUGUUCAGAAACCUACCUCUCCAUGGAAAAUAAGUUGCGAUUGAUAGUACUGGAUAUGUUCAAGAAAGCUAAAUAUAGAUAGCACAAAAUAUUAUCGAUAUAAAUAGCAUUAACAGCGUACGUAUGUCUCAAUGCUCAUCAGCUAUAAGCAUGGGACAAACACUUACUAUGAGCAACUUACGUCAAAAUUCCAGAAUAGGACAUAGAAGUGACAGAUCUAUAUAUAUAGAACACUGCAUAUGAGUCACAAGAAAGGAAAUUACGGGUGCAUAGCAGCUCUUAUUUUACAUACUACUACUCAUACUGAUCAAAGUCACUCAGUUGGGAUGGGUGGGAGUAGGAGGUUUGUGGGGUGGCUUGUGCGGAGGAGUUGGCAGCUUCUUUCCAGGACCUGGUUGCUUCUCUGCUGGAGUUGAAGGAGGCUUAAUCUUCCGAGGUGGCUUGUAUGAGUCUUCAGCAUUCUCAGCUGGAGGGUGACCAGGGUUGUGACCAUAAUGUGGUGGCUUCUCUCCCUUAGGUGGUUUGCCAACUGGGGUUGGUGGCUUGUAUGAGUCUUCAGCAUUCUCAGCAGGAGGGUGACCAGGGUUGUGACCAUAAUGUGGUGGCUUCUCUCCCUUAGGUGGUUUGCCAACUGGGGUUGGUGGCUUGUGUUCUGGGAGUGGCUUCUCCCCCUUGGGAGGUUUUUCCAAUGGGGUUGGUUUGUGUUCAGGAGGUGGCUUCUCCACUGGAGGCUUGUGUUCAGGAGGUGGCUUCUCCACCGGUGGCUUGUGUUCAGGAGGUGGCUUCUCCACCGGAGGCUUAUGCUCUGGUGGUGGCUUCUCCACCGGAGGCUUAUGCUCUGGUGGUGGCUUCUUGAAUGGGGGAUGCUGAGGGUAAUCAGCAAGUGAGGGGGCGGUGAGAACCACCAGGCCAAGCAACACCACUAGCAAAUAUGUAGGAGACAUCUUUGGGUUUGGGCUCAGAUGGUGCAAAACUAGGAGAAUUGGCUAGCCUUUUAUAGCGGAUCGUACUCAAUAAUGAAAUGACACGUGUCAUUAUGACCCAUGUGUAAUGGGGUCGAUUUGGGUCCUACAGUGUUGAAAACUUCGACAUCCAGUUUUGGCCUUUUGCUUUCUCUACAGCCGCCUUGCUUUUUCCCUCUUUCCUUUUGUUUUCCUCCUGCCCCAUUCUAUCAACUAAACACAAUUAUGUAGUUGUUUAAUUCUUAAAUGAGAUAUUAUCGGUCAAUCGUAUUAUAUUUUAUCAAGAGAGAACGGAGUGCAAUGCAGCUGUAAUUUUAUCGUUUACUUUUAUCUCUUGGACCACUGCAUUUUUGUUAAGAGGUGCAAUAAUACACGUCUUUAUCUGCCAUUCAAUGUUUACAGUAAAGAGAGGGCACAAAACUCUUCACUGCUCUGCAUGUGUCCCAAAAAUGCGAUUGGACAAAUUAUGAUUUGCAUGCUAAAAAGAGGCAAAUGAGGUUAAUUCGCACCAUAAUUAUUUGGUUUUCUGGACACCAUAAAAAGAUGUUAUACAGGCAGGGAAAAACCUUCAGAGUUAGCUACCAAAGAUAAUUAUCAAGCAGAUAUCACCAAGAGAAUUCCAUAGAGUCUGAAUCAAAGACAGAUUGCUCGCUCGUGGGGGUUCUUACUUUCUUUUGGGUAUAACUCACUGAGGUCACUGUCUUUUUUAUUUGCAUUUCACAGUUAGAGUUCUGCUCUGGAAGGUUUGUUCUGGAAACAUAUAAAAGGAGCAUCAUUUUGUUCUUGGGUAACCCAUAGUCGUGAGUGGGUCCAUUUGCAUGCUACUUAGUUGAAAAGUUGGACAAUUUGCUCCGACGCCUACCUCCUGGAUUCCAUGCUCGGUAAAACAAGAAUAAAAAAAAAUAUAUAAUUUACAAAUGGGGGAAAGAAAAAAUGUCGGAAAAAAUAGUAAAAUUCAUGUCACAUGCUAGUGAGAGAAGGGGUUGUUACACUCACUCGAAGUUCUUUUCAAAAUAUCGAAUGGUAUUUUACUUUAUGUGUCAGCGCAGUUGUGAAUGGAACGUGCAAAAGUCCAAAUUGGCGUUUUUAUUUUUCCCAUGUAGGAUGGUGACCUUUAAUAAAUAUUUAAAACAAAAGACGAAAAAAAAAAGGAGGGAAAAGGGAUCACAAAAGAUAAAAUAAUGUUUACAAAAGCUCAAUUAGUUUGCAAAUUACUGUUUGGAUUUUGAUAGUAUUUUAUUUGUCGUUCUAUAUUUGAUGUAAAAGAGAAUUUAAGAUAUUUCCGAAGCAAAAGCAUUAGUUUGCUCUGUGAUGUCCCACAUCGAAUAGGGGAGAAAGUUUCUGGCGCUAUAUAUGUAGAGGCUCCUCUUAACCAAGUAGAUGCGUUUUAAAACCAUGAGGGCCCCCUUAGGUCCAAAGCGGACAAUAUCUACAUGAUUGGGUGUAAGUCAUUACAAAUGGUAUCAGAGCCGAUCCCCGACCCCGGUGUGGGGGUUUGUUUGGCCCUGUAAGGGGUGUUUGUCUGUUUGACCCCACAAUCCCAUGGGACACAACGAGGACGUUGUGUCUGCAUGGGGGGGCGUUUGUGAUGUCCCACAUCGGAUAGGGGAGAAAGUUCCUAGUGCUAUAUAUGUAGAUGUUUCUCUUAACCAAGUAGAUGCAUUUUAAAAUUGUGAGGGCCUCUUUGGGCCCAAAGCGGACAAUAUCUACAUGGUUGAGUGUAAGUCAUUACAUGCUCCAUGUCAAUUUCAGCAUUUCUCAUAUGUUUCACACAUACACAGAAGAGCAUCGUUUUUUAAAGCAUGCAUUUAUGUUGGAUUAAUUUGGAUUUUGUGGGAACUGGGGCAAGGAUCACAUGGAAGAGAGGUUGACUUUUUUCAGUACUUCAAUGGUUGAAAUAUGUGAAGGCUUGAUUGAUACUAAAGCUUGAAAUUGCGACUCUGUCAUUUGUAAAAAAAUAUGACAGCUUCCAUGCUCUCGUUUGGUUGCAUUGUCCGGUCGAGAGGUGCAAAAAGCAUUCUCUCUCUUCUAAUAGUCUUUUCGUUUAAAUCAAGGGAUUUGCCUUCCCGGUCGAGGUCCAAUAGAGGGUAACGGUCACCUACUAAACAUUAAAUGCUCCAACAACUAGUGAACUGAUCGACCCCAGCUCGACUAGUUGAGGUUACUUUUUGGUUUUCUUGUCUCCCGAGGUUAGAAACCUAUAAAUAGAGAGCUUCACUUCAUUUAUGAGUAAGAGAACACCUAAAUUUAUUUGUUUACCUACUUGUUUUUGCCAUAAAAGCUCUCAUUUCUUUUCUUGGUGUAUUAAAUCUCCAUUUGCAUAUCCUUUAGUGCACCUUUGUGAUUCAUUCUAGCCUUGAGUUGUAUUUAAGCCUUUGUUGAGCUAGGUUGAGAGUUUCAUACUUGUUUAUUGAGUGUUAAAGCCUUCAAGUGAGUUAAAACUUGAAGAGAUUGUGUAAGAGCCCAUUGGAGUCGGAAUCCAAGUGUAAAGGUGAUUAAAAGCUUGGUUGAAGCUUCAAGUUAGUGGAACUCUCACUCGGUUAUGAGCUUGAGAAGAGUGGACAUAGACAAGGCAGUGUCGAACCACUAUAAAAUCUGAGUUUGAUUUCUCUAACCUUAUCUCUUUAUAUUUGCUUCUCUUGUGCUUAAAUUUUUUGUGUUUAAAAAGAAUUUUUAAAAACUCAAUUCACCCCCUUCUUGGGAGUUUUUCUCUUUUAAGAUCAGCUUUUAUUUUCUCAAUUGGUAUCAGAACUAUGCCUCUUGUUUAAGACUUAAUCGUCUAAGAGGAAAUGGCUAAUCCAUCAAGUUCAUCUCACAUUGAAAGUUUUGCAACCAAUAGACUUCUUUUUUUUUUUUUGCGGGAACUGAUUAUCCCUAUUGGAAAACUAAAAUGACUUGGUUUUUACAAUCAAUUGAUUUAGAUGUAUGAGAUGCCAUUGAAGAUGACCUAACUUUUCCUUCAAAACUAGUUGAUGGAGUCAUGGUUCCAAAACCUAAGCAAGAAUGGGAUGAGCGUGAUUGAAGAAAUUUUCAAUUAAAUGCUAAAGUCGUUUAUACUUUGCAAUGCUCUAUGGACAGAAAUGAAUAUAAUAGAAUAUGUCAAUGCAAAUCGGUUAAAGAAAUUUGGAGAUUGCUUGAAAUAACUCAUAAAGGAACAAAUCAAGUUAAAGAGUCAAAAAUCAAUUUACUUGUUCAUAGAUAUGAAUUGUUUUUUAUGAAAGAUAAUGAAACUAUUGUUAAGAUGAUCACUAGGUUCACCAACAUUGUUAAUGGUCUUAAAGCCUUGGGAAAGACCUACAAGGAAUCCGAAAACGUGAUGAAGAUCUUGAGGUCACUUCCAUCAAAGUGGCAUACCAAGGUCACCGCAAUUUAAGAAGCAAAAGACUUGAUCAAGCUACCUUUGGAGGAGUUCAUAGGGUCAUUGAUGACAUAUGAAAUCAAUUUGGCAAAGAAGUAACAAAAAGGUGAAGACAAAAAGAAGAAGAACAUAACUCUCAAAGCUACAACUAAGGAAGAAGAAGUUGAAGAAGAAAAACAAAUUGAAGAAGAUGAAGAUUUAGCCCUCAUCACAAGAAAGUUCAACAAAUUCAUGAGGGGUGAAAGGUUUAGAAGAAGAAGGUUCACUUCUAGAAGAGACUUUUCUAAAAAGGAAUCUUCAUCUAAUGGUGACAAAAAGAGAUGGGAAGAGAAAAGAGACUUGGUGUGUUUCAAGUGCAAGAAACCGGGACACAUUAAAUAUGAUUGUCCUCUCUACAAAAGUGAAGUCAAGAGGAAAAAGAAUAAGGCAAUGAUGGCCACUUAGAGUGAAAGUGAAGAUGAAUCAUCCGAAGAAGAAAAUGAGAAAGAAGUGGCAAACAUGUGUUUCAUGGCAAUAGAUGAACUUGAUGAGGUAAAAUCUAACCUUAGUGAUUAAGAUAUACAUGAUGCAUUUGAAGAAUUGUAUGAGGAUUUUUAAAAACUUAGUUUGAAAAAUAUUUCUCUUAAAAAGAAAGUUCAACAACUUGACAAAGAACUUAGAGAAGUAAAAGAAAAAUUUUCAAAUGUUAAAGUUUCUAAAACUCAUCUUGAAAAAGAAAAUGAGAUUCUAAGAAAGAAAAAUGAAUAGUUGAACUCCUCUCUUUCAAUCUUUUCUUCUAGACAAAAAUCUUUUGAAAUGAUUCUAACUAGCUAAAAAUGUGUUUUUGACAAACAAGGGUUAAGAUUUAAAUCUUCAAAAAAUCAAAAGUAUUUUAAAAACUAUUUUGUAAAGGAAUCCACAAGUGCAAGUCCUUCCACUACUUGCAACUUUUGUGGAAGAGAAUGGCACAUUAGUAGUACGCCCUUUAAGAAAUGGUUCUCAAAAGAAUUUAAAUGCAAAAACUAAAAAAGAUUUGGAUUGAGAAAUCCAAGGUCACUAACCCUCAAGGACCCAAAAAGAUAUAGGUACCUAAAUCAACUUGAGUUUUAUGUUGUAAGGUUCAAAGAAUGAUAAGUGGUUCUUAGAUAAUGGUUGCUCAAGACACAUGACCGGAGAUGAAUCCAAGUUUGCUUUUCUUAAAAAGAAAAAUGGAGGAUAUGUUACCUUUGGAGACAAUGCAAAAGAAAGGAUGAUUGGUCAAGGCAACAUUGGUAAUGGCACAUCCUCUCUCAUUGAAAGUGUUUUAUUAGUAGAUGGUUUCAAACAUAACCUUUUAAGCAUUAGUCAAUUUUGCGACAAAGGUUUUUAAGUGAUUUUUUAAGCAUCUCAUUGCAUCAUCAAGGAUAUUCAAAAUGAUAAAACCAUUUUCAUGGGCCAUAGAUGUGAUAAUGUUUAUGCUAUAAAUAUUUCAAAAUAUGAUGGCCAUGAUAGAUGUUUUUCAAGCAUGCAUGAUCAAAGUUGGUUGUGCCAUAGGAGAUUGAGACAUGCUAACAUAGACCUCAUUUCCCAACUCAACAAAGAUGAACUUGUUAGAGGCCUUCCCAAAAUAAUUUUUUAAAAAGAUAAAGUUUGUGAAGCUUGUCAAGUGGGAAAGUAAAUCAAAAACUCUUUUAAAAACAAAAACUUCAUUUCCACAUCUAGGCCACUUGAGUUGUUGCAUAUGGAUUUAUUUGGUCCCUCUAGGACACCAAGUCUUAGAGGAAAUUCUUAUGCAUAUGCUAUUGUGGACGACUUCUCUAGAUACACAUGAGUCUUGUUUUUUAGUCAAAAGAAUAAAGUUUUUUAUGAGUUUUCAAAGUUUUGCAAUAAGAUUCAAAAUGAAAAAGGUUUUUCAAUUACUUAUAUAAGAAGUGAUCAUGGGAGAGAAUUCGAAAAUAUUGAUUUUGAAGAGUAUUGCAAUGAGCAUGGAAUUGACCACAAUUUUUUGGCUCUUAGAACUCCUCAACAAAAUGGGGUAGUUGAAAGGAAAAAUAGAACUCUUCAAAAAAUGACAAGAACCAUACUAAAUGAAAACAACUUACCAAAAUAUUUUUAGGCCAAAACGGUUAACACUUCUUGUUAUGUUUUAAAUAGAGUAUUAUUGAGGCUCAUACUUAAGAAAACUCCCUAUGAGCUUUGGAAAAACAAAAAACCCAACAUUAGUUAUUCCAAAGUCUUUGGAUGCAAUAUUUUAUAAUAAACACCAAAGACAAUCUUGGAAAAUUUGAUGCAAAAUUGGAUGUUGGAAUUUUCCUUGGUUACUCAACUUCAAGUAAAGCUUUUCGAGUUUUAACAAAAGAACCAUGGUUGUAGAGGAGUCCAUCCAUGUUAUUUUUUAUGAAUCUCCAAGAAAGAGAGAGGAUUGAUGAUGAUUUAGGUUUGAAGACCUCUAUAGGAAGAUUGCAAAUCGAAGAUAGAAGACAACAAGAAGAAAAUGGAGAGAAUCCAAAGAAAGAAGGAUCACCAUUGGCACUACCCCCUCAUCAACAAGCGCAAGGUGAAUCAAGUCAAGAGCUUCCUAAAGAAUGGAAGUUUGUCAUCAAUCACCCACAAGAUCAAAUUAUAGGCAAUCCAUCUAGUGGGGUAAGAACUAGAUCCUCUCUUAGAAAUAUUUGCAAUAAUCUAGCUUUUAUCUCUCAAAUUGAGCCUAAAAAUAUAAAUGAUGUUUUAGAUGAUGAAAAUUGGAUAAUUGCAAUGCAAGAAGAGUUAAAUCCAUUUGAAAGAAGUGGAGUAUGGGAAUUAGUACCAAGACCUUCAAAUCAAAGUGUUAUUGGAACUAGAUGGAUCUUUAGAAAUAAAAUGGAUGAAAAUAGCAUAAUUGUUAGAAAUAAAGCAAGAUUGGUAGCCCAAGGUUUUAAUCAAGAAGAAAUGAUAGAUUAUGAAGAAACCUUUGCCCCCGUAGCUAGGUUGGAAGCCAUUAGGAUGCUACUUGCCUUUGCAUGUUUUAAAGACUUUGUUUUAUAUCAAAUGGAUGUGAAAAGUGCUUUUUUAAAUGGUUUUAUAAAUGAAGAAGUAUAUGUUGAACAACCACCCGGUUUUCAAAGUUUCAACUUUCCUAACCAUGUUUUUAAACUUAAAAAGACACUUUAUGGUUUGAAACAAGCACCUAGAUCAUGGUAUGAAAAAUUGAGUAAAUUUCUUUUGAAAAAAAUGUUUUAAAAUGGGAAAAAUUGACACAACUCUUUUUAUAAAAACCAAAGAAAAUGAUAUGCUCUUAGUUCAAAUAUAUAUUGAUGAUAUCAUUUUUGGUGCUACUAAUGUCUCUCUUUAUGAAGAAUUUUCUAAGUGCAUGCAUAGUGAGUUUGAAAUGAGCAUGAUAGGAGAACUCAACUUCUUCCUUGGACUUCAAAUCAAGCAACUAAAGGAAUGAACCUUCAUCAAUCAAGCAAAGUAUAUAAGAGAUCUUCUCAAAAGGUUCAACAUGGAAGAAGCCAAAACAAUGAAGACUCUAAUGAGCUCAUCCAUUAAGCUUGAUAAGGAUGAGAAAGGUAAAUCCAUUGACUCUAUUAUGUAUAGAGGCAUGAUAGGUUCUUUGCUCUAUUUGACCACUAGUAGACCUUACAUUAUGUAUAGUGUGUGUUUGUGUACUAGAUUUCAAUCUUGUCUUAAAAAAUCUCACUUAAGUGUCGUGAAAAGAAUCCUCAAAUAUUUGAAAGGGACAAUGGACAUAGGCUUAUGGUAUCCUAAGAGUGAUAACUUUGAAUUAAUUGGUUUUUUGGAUGCUGAUUUUGUCAGUUGUAGGGUUGAAAAAUAAAACACUAGUGGCACUUUUCAUUUCUUAAGACACUUACUUGUCUCAUGGCAUAAUAAGAAGCAAAAUUUGGUAGCUUUGUCAACAGCAGAAGCUAAAUACAUAGCAACUGGUUUAUGUUGUGCACAAAUCCUUUGGAUGAAAUAAACACUUAGUGAUUUUGAUUUAUCUUUUGAGCAUAUUCCUAUUAAAUGUGAUAAUAGUAGUGCCAUAAGUAUAUCAAAAAAUCUCGUGCAACACUCUAGGACUAAGCAUAUAGAGAUUAGACAUAAUUUUCUUAGAUAUCAUACACAAAAGGAUGAUAUAACACUUGAAUUUGUAAGCAUAAAAGACCAACUUGCCGAUAUCUUUACAAAACCUCUAAGAACAUUUUGUUGAUAUUAGAGGACAAUUAGGAGUGAUUUCUUUAUGAUCUAAUGUGAUGAAUUCUUGAUGAAUAUACUUUUUGAUUGCAUGAAUUUCAUGUCAUAUAUGCAUCAUAUAGAAAUAUACUUAGAUAAUGGUCAAAUUUCGACCAAAAAUCAAAAUUCCCAUGGCAUUAGGCAUAAAAAUUUUGGAAUUUCAACUGAAAAUGGUAGGAGGAGGAUCACAAAAUGAGAAAGUAUGCAAAAAUUGAAAAAUCAAAACGUUGACCAAGCGGUCAAUCGGACUAGACCGAUCGACUAGUUUGUCGAGAUUUAGGAUUUUUAAGAGACUCCAACGCUUCAAUUUUUGCACCGUUCUCCUCUAUUUCUUCACGGUUUCUCUGAUUUUGUCUUUUAGAGACUAAUUUGAGUGCGUUUUGGAUCAAUUGAAGCAUUUUGGAUUGGAUUUUAGGAAGAUUGAAAGUUAAGGUUUCGGAUUUGGGUCGCCUUCUCUUCCUCUCGCGUGUCACAAUCAGCUUUAGCAUUGUUCUCUUUCCAUUUUCACACACCUAGGGUUUCAGUUGUGAGCAUCUCUCUCUCUUUACCAACCACUACUCCCUUGCUUCUUCCAUAUGGCUCCUAGGCGAGAGUCCGCUACUUCUAGGGCACAAGGCAAGCACCCAACUGAGUCGUCUCAGUCAAAGGCACGUCGAAAAGUGAGAUUUGACAUUGCCUUGUUCAGUUCCAUGGAGGACUACCAACUAUACAAGCAACACUUUGCUUAGAGACGAGUAGUUCCCAAGAGAAAUAUUAAUUUUCCUCAACUUCAGCAUUUCGAAUUUAAGGGUCUAUUUACUAGGAUGGUUGGUUGUCUAUUGUCACAAUUUCGGAGCCGGUUUUCCUGACCUUAGUGCGAGUUUUUUACUCGAGGGCGACUUAUGGCAUGGGUGGCAUGAUCAUUUCUACUGUUGGAGGAGUUGAGAUCUGUCUGGACCCAGAGAGCAUCUGCCAUAUUUUCGAUAUUGCUCUGGUUGGACUCAAAGUAUACAAGUCCAAAAUGUGGCCCAUUGUGCCAGGAUUUGAGCUUAGAGAGGUCAUUCAGAGGAUUUGUGAACUUCCAGACGCCCAGGAGAUGGGCAAACCAUUGCCACACAGUUUGACGGUCAUCAACAGGGUGCUACACCAUAUAUUGUGCUCUAUCUUUCUACCACGAAGUGGACAUUGAGAUGAGGUCUCUUAUUAUGAGGCAUUCCUUAUUGACUCCAUUCUAACGGAGAGACGAAUUCAUCUACUAUGUCAUCAUUCACUAAGCCUCCUCACAGUGACAUACCACCUCAUCAGGCACCUCUUGCUCCUGACCAUGCUCCAUUGAUGGAUUUAUUUACUCAUAUUAGCUCUCUAGGCACUCGCAUGAAGGAGUUUGUUGUAGUUAGUGAUACAUGGUUCUACUCCAUAGAGGAUCGCAUGGAUCAGUAUCAGACUGGCUUCACGUCACAGUUUGAGUAUCUCCAAUAGAGGAUUGAGCAUAUUGAGGAUCACUUGAGCAUGAGAAGAUGAUGGCUUUUCUAUGCUCUGUGUUUCCACCUCCACCUCGUCAACCUUGAUUUCUUAGAGACCCAUUGUUUUCAUUUUGUAAUGUUGCCAAAAGGGGGAGAUAUUUAGGAUCUAGGACUCUAUAGGAGACUUACAUGCAUAUCAUUUUCAUAUCAUUGUUUGGAUCGUACAUAUUGGAUAGUGAUACUUUUUACUUAUAUAUGAUAUGCCUAUAUGUUUCAUGUCUUACAUUGUUUCUUAUUGCAAAUUAUCUCUAACAUGUCUUGAUUAUCUUUUUUUUAACUUCAUAAAUUUUGAUUGUUAACCCAUGAUUGGUUUGAGGGGAAGAUUCUUCUUCUCCUAGAUAACCAAGGUUUGUCAUCAUAAAAAAAUUGGAGAUUGUUAGCCCAAGGGUUCUCCUAAUCAUGUUUUGAUGAUAACAAACCAUGCUUAAGUUACUAAUUGGUUUGAAUUAUAAAGAAUUUCAAGUGUUAAUUUGAAAAUUCAUCAAAGAACCUAAUGGAUGCAAGAUCAAGAUUUUUGGAAGACCUUUAAUCAUAAGAAACAUAUGUAAGAUGAAUGCAUGGGUGCACUUAAGAUUUGCAUAUCAUUUCAUGCAUAUUUGGAAAACACGGUUUAUGCUUUAAAGUUACAUUUCCAUCAAAAUUUGAGAUCCAUCAAAUGAACCUUAGGAAAAAUGUUUUAAAAUUGGCAUAUAAUUUUACCUAAAGACCUUGCCUAAGUGUUAGAAGCAAAAGGACAAAAAAAAUAUAGGUUUUCUGGUCAAAAAUGGUGAACCAGUCAAGGCAUUGUCUAAAUCAGCUCAAUCGGCCAAGGUACCGGUCGAUCGGUUUCCCUUUCCCUGUCGAGAUCUAGUCAAGAGGUACAAAAAUCACAAUCUCUGUCUCUUUCUCUCUUUGUCUAUCUUCCAGUAGUCUUUCCUUCCCGGUCGAGGGAUUUGCCUUCCCGAUUGAGGUCCGAUUGAGAGUAAUAGUCACUUGCCAAAUAUUAAAUGCUCCAACAGUUAGUGAACUGGUCGACCCCCACCUUGCCCAGUUGAGGUUACUUUUUGGUUUUCUUGGCUCCCGAUGUUAGAAACCUAUAAAUAGAGAGUUCCACUUCAUUUAUGAGCAAGAGAACACUUGCAUUUAUUUGUUUACCUACUUGUUCUUGCCUUAAAAGCUCUCAUUUCUUUUCUUGGUGCAUUAAAUCUCCAUUUUGAUAUCCUUUAGUGCACCUUUGUGAUUCAUCUUAGCCUUGAGUUGUAUUUGAGCCCUUUUUUUAGCUAGGUUGAGAGUUUCAUACUUGUUAAUUGAGUGUUAAAGCCUUCAAGUGAGUUGAAACUUGUAGAGAUUAUGUGAGAGUCGAUUGGAGCCGAAAUCCAAGUGUAAAGGUGAUUAGAAGCUUGGUUGAAGCUUCAAGUUAGUGGAAUCCUCACUCAAUUAGGAGCUUGAGGAGAGUGGACGUAGCCAAGGAAGUGUCGAACCACUAUAAAAUUUGAGUUUGAUUUCUCUAACAUUGUCUCUUUAUAUUUGUUUAUCUUGUGCUUAAAUUUAUUGUGUUUAAAAAGAAUUUUUAAAUACCCAAUUCACCCCCCUCUUGGGUGUUUUUCUCUUUUAAAAUUAGCCUUUAUUUUCUCACAAACUAUUGUAGUAUAGUGGUUUUUAGGUGUCAUCCAUUAGGAUGAAUUGUUCUCGGUAAUUAAGGCGUGAAUGAGAGGAGAAUUAAUGAUUGUGAUUAAGUAAAAUUGAUUUGAAAAUUCAUGGUGAAAAAUCAAUUUAACAAUGGUUUCUAAUUGAGAAAAACAAUGAAAUGUGAAAUAAAAUAAAAUUAAUAGGAAAUGAAAUUCUCGAAGUUAGAAUUUUCUAAAAAACAAAUUCCAUGGUGAAUGGAUGUUGAGAUCUAAUUUUCAUCAAGUUAGAUUGAAAACCGAAAUUUUCAUAUAAACUGAUUUUUUAUUUAGUUUUAGGUCUAGAUUUAAUUUCCCUUAAAAUUAGGUUAUUUAAUCCAAGAAAUCAAUUCAAAUCAUAUAUUCAAUUCAUCUUAAAUUAUCUUCCAAUUAUUCACACAAUGCAACUAUUCAAUCUCAUCAAAUCUAGCUUUUAAGAAUUUAAUGAAUCUACCUAGUUUGCAUUGUAAUAGUCAUCCAUGACAAUUUGAAGAGAAAAAUAAUUCAAUUAAUCAAUCACUUGGAUCAAAUUACCUUUGCAAUUAAAGUUCAUUUCUCUAAUUCACCACAGAUUUUGUCUCUAGAUCCUCCUUUCUCAAAGAAAAAUGAGAUUUAGCCACACAUGAUUGGAGAUUUGGUCUCAUAAGGCAUGUUUAGCUAGUGAUAAAAUGAGAGAAAAUAAAGAAAAAUAGAGAAUUCGAUUAAGAAAGAAAAUCUAAAAAAUUCUACAAUUAGAAAUGUCCAAAAAGCUUUUUCAUGAGAAAAUCAAGUUUCUAUUUAUAGGCCAAGGUCAAGUGGACACUUGACAUCAUCUAAGAGGUCUUCCGGAAGCUUCUUCAUCAAGAAAUCUGGAGUUUAAUAAUAAAAUGGUCAUUUCACAAGAGCUCAAACAAUUUCGCAUGAUUAUGUGAAAUAAAAAAUGCAACAACAGCAAUUUACAUCUUCUUGGAGCAUUUCGCAUGACUGUGUGAAAUUUUCACAUGAUCAUGUGGAAUCGACUUGACAACUCUCAUUUAGCCUACAACAUAAUUCCACCUUUUGGUCCAUUUUUCAUAGUCAUGCGAAAUGGAAAUAUUUGAUUUUUAAGUUUUCUUUUGUCAUUUCUUUCAUUUCCUUCUCUUGAUUCCACUUCAACUACCUCCGAAUCCUGGUCCAAACCAAUUGCAUUACUUCUUUCAUUAUGCAUUUGGAUCAUCAUCAACAUUAUUUGUUCUCUUCAAUUUGAUUCAUCUCUUUUGUCACCAAUUUAUCAAAAUCAUACCUUGAAAUGACUCCAAAACUUCAUAAAACUUGUUAGUAACUCUUGCAAGGGCAACAACAUAUUAAUUAAGUGUUUUAGGCAUAGUUACUACUCAAAAGAUGCGAAACUCAUGAUAAUUAUUAUAUAAAAUAUGCUCUUUUUGAGUAGUAAUCAACUUUCUUGCAUAAGCAGACCUUUUAGGGUGGAGUACUAAAGACCAAUAUGCUUGUCCUUGUUGUAAUAAAGAAACUUGCUCUUAUUGAUUGCACCAUGGGAGAAAAUUUUGCUACAUGAGUUAUCAUCAAUUUCUUCCCACCAAUCAUAGAUUUAGACGUGACAAGAGGCCUCUUAAUGGCAAGGAGGAACUGACACUCACACUUAUACAAUUAUCGGGCAUUGAUGUGUUGCAACAAUUAGAAUAACUUACACCAAUUAUGUUGGGGAAGUCACAAAAGGCAAACAUGAAAACUAAAAGGAAAAAAGAAAAAUGUUACAUAUCACCACAACUGGAAAGAAAAAAGUAUUUACUUUCAUUUGCCAUAUUGGAAAGCACUUAUUUUACAUCAUAAUAAUUUAGACAUAAUGCAUAUUGAGAAAAAUGUGUGACAAUAUAAUUGAGACAUUGUUCAGUAUUGACGAAGAAACAAGGACAACCUAAAUAGUCAUCUCGAUUUACAAGCUCUAACUAUUAGAAAUGAGAUUCACCCAAUAGAAAGCAGGACCAAAUUUAUUUUGCUUGCAACAUGCUACUCACUCACCCCAAAUGAGAUUAAGGAAUUUUGCAAGUUUUUGAAAUCAAUAAAGGUCCCCAAUGGCUAUUCUUUCAAUAUCUCUCGUUAUGUGCAACUCAAUGAAAGGAAGAUAUAUGAGCUCAAAUUGUAUGAUUGUCAUGUCCUAAUGCAACAACUUCUCUCACUUGUAGUUCGUGGAGUUCUACAUAAGAAUGUUUGUGGAGUUAUCAUAGAAUUGCGUAAUUUUUUCAAGCAAUUGUGCUCAAAGGUGUUAGAAACAAAUCACUUACACCAACUUGAGAACAAUAUUAUUGUCAUACUAUGUAAAAUGGAGCAAAUAUUUCUUCCAUCAUUCUUUGAUAUUAUGGUGCAUUUACUUGUGCAUCUAGUAAGGCAAAGGUUGCAAGACUUGUGCAAUAUUGUUGGAUGUACCUAAUUGAACGAUAUUGUUAUAAUUUCAUAUGAAUCAUUUAAUUUUAUUUUAUAUUAUGUUCAGUUCAUUAACAUGUACAUUGGUCUACAUAUGGAUGAUGAUAGGUACCUAAGCACUUUAAAGUCAUAUGUGCGUAAUAGAACUUUUCUAGAAGGUUCUAUUGUAGAAAGGUACCUUGCAAAAGAAUGUACAACAUUUUAUUCUAGGUACUUGAAUGAUGUGGAAAUAAAGUAUAAUCACAAUGAUAGAAACUUUGUUGGUUUCAACACUAGAGGAGAUGAAAGGGGUUAUCUUUAAACAUAUUGGACAUGCAUUGGGAAAGCCCAUAUUUCAUUAACUUAGUUCAAAAGAGUGGUCACAAGCACAUUUAUAUGUGUUGACAAAUUGCGAAGAUGUCAUACCAUUCAUUGAGUAAAAAAUUUAUUUGAAUUUUAAUUAAAGCUCUAGUUUAUAUCCUUAAUCAAUGUUUUUUAAAUUCACAAGGAGCACAAGCAAACCAUCAAGGCUAGACCACAUAUACGUGUUUGAGACGUAGAUUUAAUUCAUAACAAGGAAUUUAUCAAGUGGUUUGAAAGACAUGUAAGUAUAUUCCUUAUUAUAAGGGAUUUAUUUCACAUUAUGUUUAUAUUGAAUCCAAACCUAUUAUUGAAUUGUAGGUUGAACAAUUACAUAAUGAAGGUCAUAUAUCUGAACACCUUCUCACAUUAUCAUGUGUUCCAAAUUCAUUAGUUACAUGCUUCAAAUGAUAUAUUGUCAAUGGAUUUAGAUCCCACAUUAAAGAACGUGAUAAAAAAGUUUUUAAAAAAAGACUCAGAAUAAUGGAAUUGUUGUAGUUGCAAAAACGUCAAGCUUUACAAGUGCAUGUGAUAUGAGUCCAAUUAUUAGUGAUGCUCUCUACUAUGGUGUUCUAACUAAAGUUGUUGAGUUACAUUAUCUUGGUGAAAAUAAGGUUGUUUUAUUCGAGUUUGAUUGGUGGGAUGUUACAAAUAUUGGAAAAUUGAUAAAAGAUGAUGAGUACAAUUACACAUUUGUUAACUUUGCAUGAAUUCUAACCACGAACGAACGAUUUGUACUUGCAUCUCCAGCAAAGUAAGUGUUCUAUGUGAAGAAUGCGAAUGAAUCAGAUUGGCAUACUAUCAUGGAGAUGCAACCUCAAGACCUCUAUAAGAUGAACGGGAUAGGAUCCAAUGGUGAUUUUGAACCAUUUCAACAAAGUGAACUACAUGAUCACUAAUAUAUCUCAGAUUUAGUUGAUGAAGAUAUAAUCAAGUGGAACAAAAGUGAUGUUUUAGGACUAAUCAUCCUAAAAAAUAUUGUAGUUUCUUAAAAAAAAAAUGAAAAUGAAGAAGAUAAUUGAACCUUUGUCAUACUUUAAAAAGCAACUAUGCAUUGUUCAUUUUGUAUGUUUUGGUUUUCUUCAUUUAAUUUCCUGAUUUUUGUGAUUCAAUGUCAUAUUAUUGAUCUUGAAAUAUUUUUCUAAUUUUUCAUUCUACGAUGGUUUCAACAAGGAUGACAUCAAGUCAAAAAAGGAAAUGUGGUCCCACACACAAUAUUGCAUUACAGGGAUUAAGGUCAGGGAAGAAGGUAAAAGUUGCAUUUAAUGAGUACAAUCAAUUGGUUAAACAGAAAAAUGGAAAACACUUAUCGAGCUACAUAGGGACACUUGUAUCUAACCAACACAAUGUACCUCUCCAAGCUAGUGAUUGGAAAAAUGUUCCAAAUGAUGCAAAAGAGAAAGUAUGGCCUUUGUUUUGGUAUGUUGUAUUUCUCACUAUAUGAUGUCAUUUCACUGUUAUUCUAUUUUGUGACUAACGUUUGAAUCAUAUGUAAGAAAAAUUUGAAGUAGAUAAAGACUGAAAAGAUUACAUGUUGGGUAUAGCCUCAAAUAAAUAUAGAAGCUAUAAAAAUAUGAUGAAUGCAAAAUACUAUGACCCUUGGCAUAAGGAUGCAUGAGGAGAGGUUAAUACAUAAAUCACCAUUUGUCUCUGAUGUUGAUUGGAAGUGGCUUGUCUCUGAUGCAUAAACCAAAUCCCCCACUGAAUGUUUGAUAUUUGAUAGCAGGAAAAACACACCCGCAGCUAUACACCUCCAUCAUUCAGAUAAUUAUAGUGGGGGAGAUGAUUCAUGGUUGCCCUUAUACCCUUUAUUUGCACCAUCUAUUGAGAUUCUUUAUCAUGGCCAGGUUUUACUGCAGCAAUAAGAUAUGGUGGCAACAAUUUUAUCUAUAGGUGCGGUUCCAGACCGCCUCCAUAGGUGCGGUUCCUGACUGCCUCCAUAGGUGCCUCUUCUUGUAAUGUUUGUUCUGGGAAUUACACUUGAAAGCCUUAUCGUGAUAAGGGAUUACAAACACUAGUUCAGAGGACAGCCAUGUUAAACUUCCACUAUGUUUGUGUCACAUUAUCAGCAGCCUAGUGUUUAUUGGUCAUGCUAUCUGCAACUAAUAUAACCCGGUGAACUUCAAUCUAAAUUCUGAAAGUACUCAUGUGACAGAUGGUGCCUUUCAGCAGAUAUCAUCAAUUUAAAAGUAGUGUGUGUGCCUAUAGGUGGGAAGGCCUUGGCAAAUGUUCAGUAUUCCGGUAAUUCAAGAAGGAUAUAUCUAAAAUAGAUUUUCUUCUUGCCCAUUUCAAUAGUUAAAAUUUGAGAAGAUUGUGUCCACAUCACACAAAUAUUAUUGGUCCUUCUGUUGCAAUUUACCUCUGAACAUGUCUUCCAAUUCCCACGGUCCUGUUACUCCAGGAAAACUAUUUCGGUCAUAUUGAAAAAAAAAAUAUUAAAGAAGGUACACAUGCUUUUAAGUGGACUGGGGCAUUCAUAUCAGGUGGUCUGUAUCCACAUAUGCCACUUCGUGAAAGGUGGAACAGCCUAAUCACUAGGCUAUUUAGUGUGGCCCAGCCACGUUAAUCAAGCACAAGUCUUCAUACUUAAAGUCAAAUGGUGUCUUUAGUCUCAUUACACAUCGCUAUUUGAAGAUUAACUCAUCACUAGUGUAAUGCGAUUAAGACAGUCCUAACUCAAUAUUUGUUCUAGUUUUGGAUGCAAAUGCUUGCUGGUUUCAUCAUUGGAUGGGAUAAAGGUGCAAUCAGGACUAUGAAUACGUGCAGUAAUACUUCAUUCUCUUUUUUCUCAAUGAGACUUCUUGGCACAAUUUUGCUGCUCAGCAACCUACCUUUCCAUGGAAAAUCAGUUGUGACUGAUAGUAAUGGAUAUAUUCUAGAAAGCUAAACAUAGAUAGCAUUCAAUAUUAUCGAUAUAACAUUAACAGCGUAUGUCUCAAUGCUCAUCAGCUACAAGCAAUGGACAAACACUUUGAGUAACUCACAGCAGUCAAAAUUCCUAAACAGGACAGACGUGACAGAUCUAUAUAUAGAACACUGCAUAUGAGUCACAGGAAAAGAUAAUACGGGUACAUAGAAGCUCUUAUUUUACAUAUUACUCAUACUGAUCAAAGUCGCUCAGUUGGGAUGGAUGGGAGAAGGAGGUUUGAGGGGUGGCUUGUGCGGGGAAGUUGGCAGCUUCUUUCCGGGAGCUGGUUGCUUCUUUGCUGGAGUUGAAGGAGGCUUAAUCUUCCGAGGUGGCUUGUAUGAGUCUUCAGCAUUCUCAGCAGGAGGGUGACCAGGGUUGUGACCAUAAUGUGGUGGCUUCUCUCCCUUAGGUGGUUUGCCAACUGGGGUUGGUGGCUUGUUUUCUGGGAGUGGCUUCUCUCCCUUGGGUGGUUUGCCAACUGGGGUUGGUGGCUUGUGUUCUGGGAGUGGCUUCUCCCCCUUGGGAGGUUUUUCGAAUGGGGUGGGUUUGUGUCCUGGUGGUGGCUUCUCUCCCUUGGGAGGUUUACCAAUUGGGGUCGGUGGCUUGUGUUCUGGGAGGGGCUUCUCUCCCUGGGGAGGUUUAGUGGGUGGCUUGUGUUCUGGAGGUGGCUUCUCCACCGGAGGCUUAUGCUCUGGUGGUGGCUUCUCGAAGGGGGGAUGCUCAGGGUAAUCACCAAGUGAGGGGGUGGUGAGAACCACCAUGCCAAGCAACAACACUAGCAAGUAUGUAGUAGACAUCUUUGGGUUUGGACUCAGACAGUGCAAAACUACGAGAAAUCGCUAGCCCUUUAUAGCGGCUCGGACCUAAUACUGACAUAAUAUAAAAUAAAUAUUAUAUUUUAUCAAGAGAGAACAGAGUGUAAUUUUAUCAUUAAUACCGAUCGAGGCCAAAGAAAGAAGACCCAUAAUCCAUUUCCCACAAGCAUACACAAUGCAGCUGUAAUUUUAUCAUUUACUUUUAUCCCUUGGACCACUGCAUUUUUGUUGAGAGACACAAUAACACAUUUUUAUCUGUCAUUCAACAUUUACAGUAAAGAGAGGGCACAAAACGCAAUUAGAUAAAUUAUGUUUUGCCUGCUAAAAAGAGGCAAAUAACUUUAUUUGCAACAUAAUUAUUUUGGUUUCUAGUGACCCCGGGGCCUUUCGGUUGGUUUGGGAUCGGAAAAUGAACAUCAUAGGGGGGGUUGUGCCCUUAUGGGCAUAUAUAUCUGAUAGCUUCAACUGGCCUUGUUCCUAGAAAGAAAUUGCCAAAGAUAUAAACUUAUUCCAGGCUGAAAGUAGAUGAGAGUCAUAAUGAACAUCAACCUUUGUUCAGUUUGAUUCAAUGCCCCCAUAGUGUUCAUUUCACAGAUCUGAAUGAUUAUAUCCGUUGAAUACAUAAAUUAAUGAAGACAAAUAUGAAACCCAAGAUACAUCUCUGCAUAACAACCCCAACCCUGGUUGCUAUGUUUCCCUUCUUCUAUUCACAUGAGGAUACUGGUUAUAAUUGUCAAACUUGCAACAAGCCCUUUGACACCUAACGUCAAUGGACGAAUUAAAAGUCUCCUUCAAACGUCUAUUUCACAGCAUGAAGCUUAUAAAGGAUGCUGACAACCUUCAGAGUUAGCGACAAAAGAUAAUUAUCAAGGAGAGAUAGUUCCAUGAGAAUUCCAAGGAGUCUGAAUCAAAGACAAAUUGCUCACUCAAGGGUUCUUAUUUUCUUUUAGGUACAAAUCUCUUGAGUGUUGUUAAAGAAACACGUCACUGUCAUUUUGAUUUGCAUUUAACAUUUCACUUUUGUUCUGGAAGGUUUGUUCCGGAAACAUAUCAAAUGAGCAUCAUUUUCUUCUUCGGUGACACAUGGUCGCGAGUACGUGGGUCCAUUUUCAUGCCACUUAGUUGAAAAGUUGGAAAGAAAAAACAUGCCAACAAGAAGAUAGUGAGAGAAGGGGCACUUCAAGCCUUUAACAUGAACAAACAGUAAAUAAAAGAUGUUUCUCCACUCAUAAAAGUGUGUUAGAUAGCAAUAUAACGAAUCACAUCCAAAAUCUUUACUAGGCUCAAACAUAAAGAAGACUCAUUUUUAAGAAAAGAUAAAAAUGGCAUUGUCUGAUAGUAUCCAAUACACGAGAUGGCACUUAAUUUGUACAAGAUCUGUCAAUGCUGACGCACAUUUUCUGAUUAAAAAAAAACUGAUCAGUCAAAAGCAAUGAAGAGAAGUGAUGACAAUGAAUGAUGCUUCCAAUAUUUUCACCCCUUAUAGUGUUCUUCAUGAUUCAGAUAUAUAAUUGGAAAUAGAACAACCCUAUGCCAUACAUUCGUCUAAGUAUGGUGUCUAAUUUUUUGUGUCAGCGGUUGCGAAUGGAGCGUGCAAAAGUCCAAAUUGGCGUCUCUCCAUUUCCACAUAGGAAGGUGACCUUUAUUGACAAAUACCCAAUAUUUGUAGACAUUCCUUAAAUAUCAUAACUUCUUGUUGAUUUGAAAAUCAUUUUUCAACUACCAUGUUUUAAUAAAUAUUUUUUAAAAUGUAUUUUUAUCAAAGUCCACCAUGAUGGAUAAUAUUCACCAUGCAAUAAUUAAUAAAGUACAAACUAAGCGAAAUGAAAAGCAUUUUCUUUGCUUUGAGUUGAUUUUGGUUGCAUUGAGUUGAUUUUGGUUUCAUGGUUUUUUCAACUCUUAUUUUGAUUGGAAGAUGUCAAGAAAAGAAAACAUAAAGAAAAAUUAAAAGGGAAAAAAGAAGAAAAAUAAAAAAAAAUAGAUUUAAAAGUUAAUAAAUUAUUUUUUAUAUUUAUUUUAAUUCAUUUCACUUAUUUUUCUUUUACUAUAUAAAAUUUAAAUAAUUUAAAUUUUAUAAUUAAUUUAAUUACAUUUCAUUUUCUUCUAUAUUUAAAUAUUGGAAAAAUAUUUUACUUAAUAUUUUUUUCUUUAAUUUCUUUGGCAUUUUGGGAACCAAACUUAGCCUUUAAAAUAAAAAACAAAAAAAAAAUGAAAAUAAGGAGGGAAAAGUGAGAAAAGAUAAAAACAAUAUGUAAAGGAUUUGAAAAGUAUUAGUUUGUAAUUACUAUUUGGAUUUCAAUAGUAUUUUAUUUGUCUUUCUAUAUUUCAUGUAAGAGAGAAUUUAAGAUAUUCCCCAAGGCAAAGCAUUAGUUACCUGCAAUCAGUGGUGAUAAGGCUCCAAGCCAAUUUUGGGCCCCAUAUCUUAAGACAGUACAAUUUCCAUUUCAACAUUUCUGAUUUCUCAGAUGUUUCACAUACCACAGAAGAACAUUGUUUGUGAAAAUAUGCAUUUAUGUUGGAUUUUGUAUGCUGUGGGGACUGGGGCAAGGAUCAUAUGGAAGAGUGGUUGACUUUUUCUGUACUUUAACGGUUGAAAUAGGAUAAGCACGGGCAUUUGUGAGGCUUAAUUGAUUUUGAAGCCUGAAAUUGCGUUUCUGUCAUUUUGUCAAAAAAAUGGCAGAUUCCAUACUCAUAUGUUUGGCCUGUGGCCAUGUACAGAUGCCAUUUAGUGACCAGUUUGUAACUGUCAAUCGUUGCGUUUUGACUCUGCCUCAACAACAUCUGCCAUUGACGGGUUUUCAUACUUGCAAAUCAAAUAGUCUUUCGUCCCAUCAGGAAUUUCGGUUUAAAUAUUAUUAAGCAUACGUUUGGCUGACAAUCAUUAUCCAGUUCAUGAUUUGGUUUCUUACCCUUAAUCAAUGGUUUCUAAGUGAAUAUAUGUAGAAGGAAAUCCGAAGUGUAGACAGUAGUAUCGAUAACUCUCAAUAUUCUCUAUAUAAUAGAAUAAACAGCGUCAUAGUGAUCGUCGCCUACAAGCAAGGUACAAAUACCAAAACGAGUGACUCACAUAGACAUCUCCCAACAAGAUGUAGUAGUGACUGACACAUGGACACAAUUAACUCGUAGAAAAGGAUAAGACCAUUGCACAGCAGCUCUUAUUUUACAUACUACUUAUGCUAACCAAAGUCAAUUAGUUGGGAUGGGUGGGAGAUGGAGGUUUGUGCGGUGGCUUGUGGGGCGGAGUUGAUGGCUUCUUUCCAGGAGCUUCUGGCUUUUUCAUCGGAGCUGAAGGAGGCUCAAUCUUAUGAGGCGGCUUGUAUGAGUCUUCUUUACUCUCGACAGGAGGGUGGCCAGGGUUGUGAUCAUAAUGUGGUGGCUUCUCUCCCUUAGGUGGCUUGCCAACUGGGGUUGGUGGCUUGUGUUCAGGAAGUGGUUUCUCUCCCAUGGGAGGUUUAGCAAUUGGGGUUGGUGGCUUGUGUUCUGGGAGUGGCUUCUCUCCCUUGGGAGGUUUAGUAGGUGACUUGUGUUCUGGAGGUGGCUUCUCCACCGGAGGCUUGUGCUCCGGUGGUGGCUUCUUGGUUGGAGGGGGCUUGGGGUAAUCAGCAAGAGAUGGGGUGGUGAGAACCACCAGUCCAAGGAACAACACUAGCAAGUAUGUGGGAGACAUUUUUGAGUUUGGGCUGAUCAGAUGAUGCAAAACUAAAGCAUUACGUGACCUUUUAUAGCAUGUAGCUCCCAAUACCCACUAAGUAUUGUGGGGUCCAUUUGUGCCCUACGGGGUUGAAAACUUAGACAAUUGGGCAAGGACCCACCUGACUAUGGAGGACUAGUGAGGUGUGAUCAUAGCUUUAGGAUUUUUCUUCCUCUGCAGCCGUCGUGCCGUUGGCAUGAUUUUCUUAAUCUUAAAUAAAGGCAUAGUUAUAGAGUUGUUUAAUCUCUAAAUGGGAUUUUAUAUAUAUCUUCAGAUAGCCAUUAAUAUAUUUGAUGAAGAAAGAAAGACAAGUGCAUACAACAUGUAUACGACUAGCUUUCAUGGAGUUCAUUUAUGAUCAGUUUUCCUGUACAUGUAAACCAGGAUCAUAUAUAUGUUUCUGUUCCACAACUAUUUUGGAAUCUUGUUUAUCAGUUUUUAUCAUUAUAAUGUCACAUAGGCUGCCAACUUGGGCGCUAAAAGAACCAGUUGGGCUAGUUCGUUUCAGAAUUUCAAUGUGGAUUCAGGAAUUGUUUUGUAAGAUAUGCGAAAUAGUAGAGGGAUGAAUAGUGUUUCAUUAAUAAAAGUGUCCUGUAAAUUAGAAGGUGUCAUAGAAACUAUAAUCAAUAAAUAACUUUUUUUCCCCACGGGUGGUGUUUCUUGUGGGGAUCAGUGACUGGUUUAGGUUCACCCAAAAUGAGUUCAGACUAAAAUUGGUUUGAGUCAAUGCCGUGUCUCUUUUUUCCAGAAAUCAACUAUUUUAUGCAUUGAAUAAAUCAUACAAAGAAAAUAUGAACGCCCGCAAAACCUAAACCCUGGUUGCUAACUUUCUAUGUUUCAGUUCUAUUCACGCAAGAAUAUUAGUUUAAGUUUGGGAAAAAUGGCAACUUACCUAGUGAUUACUUGGUUUUGGUUUGCGACUAUUUACGCAACCAACCAUGAGUUUGACUUUAACGUCAUGGGUUGAAGCCUCCUACAGGAAGGGAGAAAGCUCCACAGCUAGCUCCAAAAGAGAAUUAUCACAUUGAUAGCUCCAGAGAUUCCCAAGGGGACUGAAUCAAAGACAAGUUCCUCACUUUUUCUUCUUUUGAGGCCAAAUAUGAACCAAGGAUCACACAACCUCAUUCAACUUCAUAAGUUUGAUUUCAUGCAGUUGAACACUGGGUGAAGGCCAUGACAAGAAUUGAUUCAAAAAUUCUAUCACUCUUUUAAGUAAUGGAAGAUUAUUAUCUCUGAUUGGCAUCACAACAGCACAUGCUCCUAGAUCUUUCUAGACACUCCAUGCAAUGAAAGCACAAUGGAUCUUGUAACGAUAGAAACUAAGCCAUGCUACAGUACUAGAUGAUGAGGUAAAACUAGUAGACACGGGUGGCAGCCUAUAUGGGAGGGACACAAGUCUAAUUGAUUUGCAUUUCAGCAUUAUAGAUAGGUAUGUUUUGGAAGAUUUGUUCUGGAAAUACCGCACCAAGUAGGAUUCUUUUUCUCUUUAGUGGGUCCACUUGCAUGCCAAUUAACGAGUUGAAAAGUAUGAGCACCUACCUCGUGCUCGUGGAACCGAAGGUCAGUGAAGUGGGGCUCCUUUUGGCCUCGUGUAAACUUGAUUCAGAAGUGAAGUUAAUAGUCUUCCAUUCAGAUGGAUACAUGGGAAUUUUUCUCUUUUAUUUAUUUAUUUAUUUUUUUUUUGUGUGUGUAUGUCAAAGGAUAAUGAAUGAAGCGCGUUAGCUUGUUUUCUGACUGGAACCGCAGAUGUCCAAAUUGGAGUUCCUUCAUUUCUUACUUAGGAUUGUUACAUGUAUAAACAAGGUAUAAGAAAUAUGCCAACGUGUCUUGAGGAGUUAUUGAUUAGAAAUAACAAGUCACCCGACUGUAGAGUUCCAAGAUUUGAAUCUUCAGACCCUAUAGCAGCCUCUGGGGUACGUGGCAUCCUAUAGCAUAUUAAUGAAGGCUUUUUCGAUUUAGACUUCACAAUACCAAUUAAUAUGUAUGCACAAAAUGGAGAUGACCCCAAAAAAAACAGAAUCGCCAUAGUUUAUGAGGUUAAGGUGAUUCUCCACUUAAUAUCUACAUUAGCUAAUUAUGUAAAUCAAAUGAACUUCUAUUUUUCCUUUUUUUUUUUGGUUUAUGUCAAAUAGUAGCCCAUAAUUAACCCAACCAUUAGCCUGUUUGAAUUGAUUUCACAUGCACAAUGUUGUAGUAGUUCAUAUUUUGAAUUUUAUUUUUACAAAGGUAGUUAAGGAAAAUGAAGUAUAAUAAUUAUAAAAGCAGACUAUAUACACUACAAUAAUUGUUAGAAUGGUAUCUCAAAUUCUAAUUUAAAAUAUUAUUUUUUGUAAAAGAAAUAUUAUAUAGAAUAUUUCCUAAUUUUAUAAAUGAUUAUAAUUAGAUCUUUAUAAAAUAAGGAAAGUUGGUAAGAAUAUCUUUAUAAAUAUUUUAGGUCAUGAGAGAAAGAAAUGGGAUAAAAAUGUGAUGAAGAGGUGAAAUAAGAGAGUUGAUUAGGAUAUAGAUGUGAAGAAGAAAGGGAUUCAAUAUAUAUAUAUCUUUCAAUUACCACAUUAAAACCCUGUGAACCUUUUAUAUGGUUUACUUUAUUUUUAUAUUCCUCCUUUAAUAUAUUUACAUUAAUGCUUCCAUUGGCACAACAAUAACGAAUUACAAAUACAAGCAACAAGUCCCAUGUUUUAUUACCAAAAGCAGGUAAAAUCCACCUAAUAUAUUACAAUAUAUUCAUCCAAUAUUUUAGACCAAUUCUUCACCAUAAAUAUCAUAAUGUGGCUUUUGUUCUUUCUUAAAUUUAAAUUGAAUUGUCUUAUAUCAAUUUGUUUGUGAUUUUUUCAUUAACUUCACUUUCAUUUGGUUAUCUUUGGUUUUUGAAAAGUAUUAAGGAAUUAAUUAACAAAAUAAUGUUAAGAAAAAUAAUUUUCUCUCUUUUGAUUUUGAUUUUGUAGUAGAAAAAUAUAAUUAAAAUUAUUUAAAAAGUAUGUAAUUUUAAAUUAUUUAAUAUUUAGAUAAAAAAAAUAAGUCUAAUGAGUUUAAAAUAACAUAUAAAAAUAAUUUAUUUAUUUUAAAUUUAUUUUUUAUUUUCCAUUAUGUUCUCUUUCUCUUUUACUUUUUCAUAUUUUUUCUUACGAAGAAUCAAACACAACCUCAUAUUAUAUGUCAAGUGUUUGUCUAUAUUUGAGCAAUGUUAGAUACGGCCAUGGAUUCAUCAAACUAAACUGAUUUUAAUAGAUACUUCACAAAUUGAUUUAUACACUAAAUCAUUGGAUAGCAAUGAUGCAUUGGAAUUAAACGUAGGAUGAAGCUCGAAGAACACUGUUUGUGUAACAACAUAUUUAUGAAAUUAUGCAAAGGAUGAGCUUCGGGGUAGUAGUACAAGGUCAUUAAUGGAGAGCCGUGUUAAACCUUGAUUGUGAUUGGAUUCCGUUAUCAGCAACAGCAACCUUGUUUGUAACCUUGAAAGUCAUUCUGUCCACAUCGAAACUCCAAUUUGACGUUUGUAAUUACCAUUCCUGGAGUGUUCCUUGAUUGAAAUUUAAAUAAUAAUUGCGGCCCACAAGGAAUAUUUUCGAUUCUGUGGGAAUUUGACAAGGUUUGUUAGAGAAGACUGGUGACAUGUUGACUUCAAUGGUUCAAAUAGGAGACGUAUGUGGAUUUGGGGGGUUUAAUUGAAACUGAGUCCCUAUGGCUUUUUAAUAUUUGCAUUGAGCAGUCUCCAUGUGACUUCCUAAUUCCCACCAACCCUCCUGUCCAUGCUGUGAAACUAAAUUGUAAUUUAUCAGCCUUUGUCAAUGGUUUCUAAAUUAAAGAUAUAGACCAUGCAUGUACUUUAAUAAAAGCAAAUCUAAAGUGUAGAUAGCAGCAAUGGUGACACCCAAUAUUCUCCAUAAAAUAGAAUUAGAAUAAGCAGUGUUACAUUGUUCAUGAUCACCUACAAGCAUACAAGAACUUCCAUGAAUAACUCAUAGCAAUUGCCAACAGGGCGUCGUAGAGACUCAUACAUAGAACACUAUCCACCCAGAGGAAAGGACAAGACCAGUGCGCUGCAGCUCUUAUUUUUCACAUGUAUACCACCACUCGUAAUAACCAAAUUCACUCAGUUGGGAUAGGUGGGAGAUGGUGGUUUGUGGGGUGGCUUGUGGGGAGGAGUUGGAGGAGGCUUUAUUUUCUGAGGCGGCUUGUAUGAGUGUGCAGGAGGAUGCCCGGGAGUGUGACCAUAAUGUGGUGGCUUCUCUCCCGUAGGUGGUUUGCCAAAUGGGCUUGGUGGCUUCUCUCCCUUAGGAGGUUUACCAAUUGGGGUUGGUGGCUUGUGUUCUGGGAGUGGUUUCUCUCCCUUGGUAGGUUUGCCAAUUGGGGUUGGCGGCUUAUGUUCUGGGAGUGGCUUCUCUCCCUUGGGAGGUUUGCUAAUUGGGGUUGGCGGCUUAUGUUCUGGGGGCGGCUUCUCUCCCUUGGGAGGUUUGCCAAUUGGAGUUGGCGGCUUAUGUUCUGGGAGUGGCUUUUCUCCCUUGGGAGGCUUGCCAAUUGGGGUUGGCGGCUUAUGUUCUGGGGGUGGCUUCUCUCCUUUAGGAGGUUUGCCAAUUGGAGUCGGCGGCUUAUGUUCUGGAAGUGGCUUUUUUCCCUUGGGAGGUUUGCCAAUUGGGGUUGGCGGCUUAUGUUCUGGGGGUGGCUUCUCUCCCUUGGGAGGUUUGCCAAUUGGAGUCGGCGGCUUAUGUUCUGGGAGUGGCUUCUCUCCCUUGGGAGGUUUUGUUGGUGGCUUGUGUUCUGGAGAUGGCUUCUCCCCUGGAGGCUUGUGCUCCGGAGGUGGCUUCUGAAAUGGCGGGGGCUUGGGGUAAUGAGCAAGAGAUGGAGUACUGGUGAGAACCACCAUUCCAAGCAACAAUACUAGCAAGCAUGUGGGAGACAUCUUUGAGUAGUUGUAGCUAAGAUGGCGCAACACUGUAGGCAUUGGGUGGCCUUUUAUAAAGGGCUGGACCCAACAGCCAUAUGACACGUGUCAUGAUGACAAAUGAAGUUGAGGGGAUCCAGAUGGGUCCUACUGAGUCGAAAACUUGCACUAAUUGAUCUGGUGAGAUGACUAUUUCUGUCCUUUUGCCCUUCUCGGCCACCCUGUGCUGUUUUCCUUUUGCACGAUUUUCGUUGCCAAACAAGCAAAUAAUAUUUCGCCAAGAAAGAGGAGAGUGAAUGUGGAAUGCAUCAAGUCCCAUCAAGGAUGGCAGAGAAGAAAUAGAAGAUUGCCCAACUGUGAUAAACAUAGCAUACACGUAGCACCAGGAACUUCAUUUACUUCCAUCUAAUGGAACAUAACAAUCUUCUAAAGUUUUUGCAUGAUUUUGUUAUAUGUCUCUUAGCCUAAAGUUGGAAAUGCGCAACAAAUUUUGUCACUUCUCUAUUUCCCACUGAUGAUGUUAAUUAGCCUUCAUAGAUAUCAUCCUUUCUACAAAGUGCUUCAUUUGUGUGUUAUUGUAAAGUGUAAGAAAAGUAAUUGAACAUGUUCUUUUUCCUUUCAUAGAUGACUUUUGAUGUGCAUUUUAAAAGCAGCGCUGUGAGUCGGUGACCUUGAUUCACACGGAAACUAAGGCUCCUAUAGGACCCACUUUUAGCUGGUUAGGGGUGAAGAAAAUAUCAACUUUUCAGAGUGAUUUAAGUCAAGGCCAAGCCUCACUGUGUCAUUACUCGUGUGAAUUUUAUAUGCACAUACAUACAUAAAUAAAGUAUGAGACCCAAAUAACACCUUCCCUUUACAAACUUAACCCCAGCCGCUCUCUUUCAAUUCUUUUCACACAAGGGUAUUGACUCUAUAAAGGUCAAGAAAAUCAUAAUUUCCUAGGGUUUACAAGGUAAUUGGCUUAAUGCUAAUGUGAAAACAUAAAAGAUAAUAGUAUAUUGUAAGCUAACGAAUAUUCUAUAGUUAUAAUUAUUUGUGAUGUGCAUAAAUAAAUCUUCAUAUAUAUAAUGGAACAAUGAAUAAAGAACCAAUGAAAAAAUACUAUAUAUCAUUGCUUGGCAUUUAAACCGUAUAUGCUGCUCUUUCUAGCUACUCCAUCCACUGAAAGACAACAAGGUAAUCCAUGUUAUAAUGAUAGAAGAUACUGUCUCUAGGCUUUUUGUGAUGAAAAAUAUAAGAUAUGGGUAGGGUUGACCCUUGUAUGUUUGUCCUAUAAACACUUCAAAGUAACAUAUUUUUCUUCUUUAGCAACUCAUAAUGAUGGGGUUCAUUUGCAUGUCACUGAGUUGAAAAGUUGGACAAUUGCCCAUGUCGCCUUCCUCCUAGAUUCCGUAGUUCACGGGAAGGUAACUCAAGUUUGACAUAUUUUGAAUUCUUUUCACUCGGACGUCUUCAUAACCUGACAAAACAAAAAUGAAAAACAGAGGAUUGGUAUAUUAUUCAUGGUAAGCCUCAAAUUAUAGUAGUAUGAGAAAGGAGAAAAAGAUUUUGGGAACUCCAAUCUGGAUAAUUCUCGUUUCUUCUCUUGAAUAAAAAUUUCACUUACCUAACUUCGUUUGGAGAAAUGGCAUAUUUUAAUUUUGUACGUCAUUGCUAAUAAAUGGAGCAAUUUAGCAUGUUUUGUGACUGAAACUGCAAAUGUCCAAUUGGCAUUUCUUCAUUUCCCACUUAGGAUCUGAUCUUGUAGACCAUAUAACGAUAUGUAUCUGUGCAAGCAUUGAAAACUAAUGUGAACUAUGAGGAGUUACAAGCCACUGGACUGUAGAGCGAGUGCCAAGAUUUAAAUCUUCAGGCUCUAUCUGGGUAAGGGGAGGAUAGCGACCUAACCUUUUACCAAAGGCUUAGAAUUUAGACUUUUGGAAAAAAAUUUCUCAUGUUUUGGCUGGAUUUCUUGUGCUUGGCGCAAAAAGGAGAUGGCCUCAAGAAAUAGCAGACUCACUUUUGUUUUCAGCCCUUAAUAAUUCUCCACUGCUUUCCAUAACUACAUGGGUUAUACAUGCAGUCUGCUGCAAUAUUCCAGUUAUAUUUAUUAUUUCAAAGAGGGUGAAUGACUUCACAUGCAAUAUGUUGCAGUAACAACCCAAAUUUUGGCACACCAUCUUAAGAAUAGAAAAGUAUAAUAAAAGAAAUCAAUCAGAGAAUCACUUUGCAUGCAGUUCAUAGAGUUCGCCCAAAAUGGAGCCACAUGUACGGACAACCCCACAAUAGACAAUCUUCUCUAUACAGUAAUAAAAUACAGAAAUGGUUAAUGAAGCUCUGUAUUUCCUUAUCAUAUAUGACCGGUUGAAAACUCAGCAAGUCUUCCUCAAUCACAGACAGUUGGAGUUGCUUCAUCAAAAUCAUGCCUUCAUUACUGGCUUCAUUUUGGUUUCAAUGUCUGUUCUACCCUUAAAUUGGGUCUCUGCUUACUACCGGGAUAUCCUUUAGCGUCCUGCAAUUCUACUAGAUUAAAGAGAAUGACUUAAUUCUGCAUUCUGCCGUCCCUAGUCCAAGUGGUACUAGAAUUGAUGUUUCCUUUAGUGUCCUUUCUUCAUACUUUCAGGUUCUUCCCUUGUUUCAAUAAUGCUGUUUUCCUUCAUGUUUAACCUCUGUUGAACCACUUAAAACAACACAAUUUGCACACCAAUGUUUCUUUACAGAAAAGACUGUUUGCAAAAAUGCACAUGUUAUAAGGUUAAUGGAAGAAUUAAUUUGGGGAUAAGGGACUAGGAUUGGGCCAAUGAAGUUUGGUGUUAAAUUUUGAUUAUGAUUGCUUUUCAUUAUCAGGUACCUUAUAUUUGCUGAUGCUAUCUGGAACUAAAUUCAAAUCAGACAUUAUCCGAUUACUAACAGGACAUAUCAUGUCCCUCUGCAGAGUUUCUAAACUAACAUGUAUCGAAAUGUGGCCCCAAAAGGAAGGCUAGGAAGAUGGAGGAUUUUGUAGGAAUCGACCAGAAUCAGAUGGAAGAGAGAUAGUCCUGUUGACUUUAAUGGUUGUGAUAGGAACAUGCAUCAUUAUAUGAGAAGUUGCAUGAAUUUAUGUAUCCUGUUAUCGUUCCUUGACGAUUUCCCAAUGCAAUUUCACUGUCCACAAGACUAACCUCUCCAUGCAGUCAAAUGAAUUGUAAUUUCUCUAUUGGUACCAGUAGUACAUUUCAUACCAAACAUAUAGUAAAUAUAAAAUAUAAAUAGAUCAAGGAAAUCUGAAUUGUAGAUAGCACUGCAAGUAACACUCAAUAUUCUCUAUAUAUAAUAAAAUAAACAGUGUCACAAUACUCAUCACCCAGUGGCAAGGGAGAAAAACCUACAAUGAGUACUCAAAUCACCAUUCUCAAACAGAAACAUAGCAGUGACUGAUACAUAGAACCUAUAUGCUCACAGGGAAAGAAUAAGAUGACCAGUGCACAGCGGGCAGCAGCUCUUAUUUUACGUACAACUCAAAUCCCAAACUAACCAAAGUCGCUCAGUUGGGAUGGGUGGGAGAUGGUGGUUUGUGGGAUGGCUUCUGGGUAGGAGCUGGUGGCUUCUGUCCCUUUGGUGGUUUGCCUAAUGAGCUUGGUGGCUUGUGCUCCGGGAGUUGUUUCUCUCCCUCGAGUAGGUUUCGAGUCUUGUCAGAUGGCUUGUGUUCUGGUGGUGGCUUCUCUCCCUGGGGUGGUUUGCCGAAUGGGCUUGGUGGCUUGUGUUCGGGGAGUGGCUUCUCUCCCUGGAGAAGGUUACGAGUUUUGUCAUAUGGCUUUUGUUCUGGUGGUGGCUUCUCUCCCUGGGGUGGUUUGCCGAAUGGGCUUGGUGGCUUGUGUUCGGGGAGUGGCUUCUCUCCCUGGAGAAGGUUACGAGUUUUGUCAGAUGGCUUGUGUUCUGGUGGUGGCUUCUCUCCCUGGGGUGGUUUGCCGAAUGGGCUUGGUGGCUUGUGUUCGGGGAGUGGCUUCUCUCCCUGGAGAAGGUUACGAGUUUUGUCAGAUGGCUUUUGUUCUGGUGGCGGCUUCUCUCCCUGGGGUGGUUUGCCAAAUGGGCUUGGUGGCUUGUGUUCGGGAACUGGCUUCUCUCCCUUGGGAGGUUCAGUUGGUGGCUGCUGUUCCGUAGGUGGUUUCUUCACCGGCGGCUUGUGCUCCGGAAGCGGCUUCUCUACCUGGAGAAGCUUACGAGUUUUGUCCGAUGGCUUGUGUUGUGGUGGUGGCUUCUCUCCCUGGGGUGGUUUGCCAAAUGGAGUUGGUGGCUUGUGUUCGGGGAGUGGCUUCUCUCCAUUGGGAGGUUUAGUUGGUGAUUGGUGUUCCGUAGGUGGUUUCUGAAGUGGGGGAUGCUUGGGGUAGUCAGCAAGAGACGAGGUAGUGAGAACCACCAGUCCCAGCAGCAACACUAGCAAGCAUGUGGAAGACAUCUUUGAGUUCAGGCUGAGAUCUGUGCAAGGAUAACAGAAUUAGGUGGCCUUUUAUAGAGGCCUGGACCCAACACCCAUAUGACACGUGUCAUGCACUCAUGGUGACACAUAAUUCUAUGGGACCAUUUGGGUCCUACAGAAGUUGCAAAGUUGGACUACUGAGGUGUGAUCACAACUUUUGUCCUUAUUGCUUUCUCUGCGGCCAUUGCACGAUUUCCUUUAGCAUCAUUUUCUUGGCUAAAUAAGCGUAUUAUAUUUGUGGCAGACCGUCCACGUGUCAUAAACAGAUAUAUUAUAAUAAUGUAGUAUGCUUUUCUCCAAUGGAACAUGACACUCUUCUAAGUCUUGUUUUAAAUAUUGUGCAGGAUUACUUUAUACGUUGCAGUUCCAAGUCAAAAUUGGUGGGCAAACGUUGGCCUUUUUUCAUUUCACCUAAGAUUAAUGCUCACCUGGGAUAGGCACUACAUGACUUAUCUGCUCUUUUACUGUAAAGUUGCUUUGUGUAUGAGAUACACCUCCCCUGCACACCCUCAACAUUCGUUGCUCUGUUUUCCUUGUGUCCAGACGAGGAUAUUAAUUGGAGGCUGACAAAACGACUGCUAGCCCAGGAUUUACAAGGUCCUGGUUUGAGGCUUCGGUGAAAGUAUUUUUGAAAAGACACACAUAGAGAUAGUGCGUUUGGUGCAAUGCAGCACUGUGAGCCAUUCUGACGCGUUCUUAAUUUCAAAACUAAUGAAUGCUUCAAAAUUUUAAGAAGUGACAUUUCCAAAUAUUUGAGUUCGUUUAAUUGAACAUUGGAUAACUAGUGAUCAUAGAUUAUUAUCUGUGCUUGGCACUAUAAGAGGGUAUAUGCUUCUUUUUCUGGCCCCUCCUUCAAGGGAGGAGGGACAAUGUGAUCUGUAACGUUAGAAGCUAUUCCAUGUCAUCUUUGGGCUCAGUUCAAAACUAAAAGAUAAUGGGGGGGGGGGGGGGGGGCAUAUCAUUUUAUAUUUCUUCUAGAAGGUUUGUUCUGGAAAUAUUUCACAGGAGCAUAUCUUUUUCUUCUAUUACGUCAUCCGCAGCCUCCAAUAGGUCGGUUAACAAGCCACCGAGUUGAAAAGUUGGAAAAAUGGGAACACAGCCCGCCUCUUGUAUUCAGUAGUUAAAUAAAAGGUCACUAGAAGUGAGAUCCCUUUUGGCGUCUUGAUUUUCAAUCCAGCACCUCUGUGACCUGACAAACCAAAAAAACUAAAAAAUAAAAAACAGUACGUGGGUUGGUGUUAAGCAUCAAGACAUGUUAAUGAAAGAAGGUAGAGAAUAGGAUAUUGAAAUCCCAAUCCUGAUAACAUGAUUUUCUUUGCUAACAACCAUAUUAUAUUUUAUCAAGAAAGAGUAAUGCAUGUGGCGUCCAUCAAGACCCAUUAGAGUUCCGCUAAAGCUAUAGUUCUGUCAACGUUAUCAUUUACGUUUCCUCUAGAUAAUGGCAUUUUCCUCUAAAGCUCUUGCACCAUUAGGCUUCAAGUCAAAAUUUCACAUGUGAACUUUGGAAAUUUUCUCCAUUUGCCCCUAAGGAUACAGUUAGAAUUGACUUAAAAUCCUGAUUGAUAUGUACUAUUAACCAAAGAAUAUUGUAUAUAAUAAUUGAAAUAUUGUUGAUUCAUCGUGGAAAUACAUUUUGUAAGGAAAGUUGUUGAGAAUUUAGUAUGCUAUAUGGAGAAAAAAGUCAUGACUUAAGGUUGUGUAUGUAUAUUCUAUAUCAAAUAUUAGGUAGGAAUGUGGGAAAGAGCAGAGUGUAAUGAUAAGAAACAAAGAAAUAUAAGAUAUUCUUGAAAGUGGAAAAUAUAAAAUGGCUAACGAGUCAAAUUUAUGAUGCGUAAGGGGGAUCAUGUCACAUAAGAAAACCAUGGCAUACUAAAGACGUACGUGUGGUAUGGAGUAAUAAUUUUGUUAAAAUAAGUUUCUUGUUGGAGUACAUUAGGUGACUAUUCAUAACGUAUCAAAUUAAAGAGUCAAGUGCAUCAAUGAAGGCAUAUGUAGAAAAUUUGUUUGUGACAUGUACCAUAAAGAUAAGAUUGACUUGAUAGAAUUUAGUCUAAGUAGGAGUUGUUAAAGGUGUCUUAAAUUUCUAAUUGAUGUAUAUUUUUUUCUAAAAAAAUAUUAUAUAGAUAUUUUAAUAAAUGAUUAAUUCUUUGUAAAAAUACUUACAUAAUAAAAAACAUCAUUAAAAAUAUCUUUAUAAAUAUUUUAAGUUACAAGAAGGAAAAAAACCACUGUGAGAUAAUGAUGAACAUGCAACACUGUACCAAGUAAAUAAAAAUGUGAUAAAAAAAAAAGAGAAACACUCGAUAAAGGAAGGCUCGUAUAUAAAGAGUAAUAUUUUUAAUCAUAUGAUAGAAUGAUUUUCUCUCAUUCAUGAAUAUAGGCAAGAUUGGGGAACCAUUAUAAAAUUUUGUACACCUCGUGUAAAUUGAUGUUUGUCUUCAUAUUUUACACCAACAAAUGACAUUGAAGUUGUCAUUGAUAAAAGGGAAAAGGCAUGCCUCCACACCAUGUGCUUGAUUCGAAUGGUUCAAGUUUGAAGAAUUUUCUCCGGAAGAUCUAAAACAUUUUCGCCUUUAAAUUUCAUUUGAUUAUUAAUAUCCGAAAAAAUAGUUAAAUACUCUUUCUAUUUUUGAGUUGUUGAAUUUUUUGAAAGUUUUUAUAUUUGUUAUCAAGAAUUUCUAUUUUAUUAAGGGUGAAUAUUUAUAAAUAAGAUAUUAUAUAAUAUUUGGAUAAGAGAGAAUGGUGGAAUAUAAUAAAGUUUUAAUCCUUCCCAAUUUUGAACCUUUUUUUUUUUUUUUGAUAUAAUCGCCUUUCUCUUGCAAUCCUAUUAUCAGGUACCUUAUAUUUGCUGAUGCUAUCUGGAACUAAAUUCCAAUCAGGCAUUGUCCAAUUACUAAUAGGACAGAUCAUAUCUCUCUGUUUCUAAACUAACAUGUAUCGUAAUGUGACCUCAUAAGGAAGGCUAGGAAGAUGGAGGAUUUUGUGGGAAGCGACCAGAAUCAGAUGGAAGAGAGAUAGCCCUGUUGACCUAAUGGCUGUAAUAGGAGAAGCGUGUGGUUUUAUGGGACUUAACUGAUACUAAACCUGUAUGAUGCUUGGAGUGGUGUUUCUUUCAUUUUGUUAAGAAAAUAUGGCAGCAUACAUGCUUUCAACUGAGUGCAUCAGAGCAUCCAUAACAGAUGGUCUGCAACCCUAGGUGCAUGCCACUUUCUGACUGAUAAUGAAAUUGUCAGGUACCUGGCCUUGACUAAGCUCAACAGCAUCACAUAAAGAGAAGCUUUCAUACUUAGAUUACUGUUUAAAGUUUUUGCUUAUUUGAUUUCUUAAUGCCAUUAUGACAUUAUUGAUUCAAUUCUGCUUCCGAUUUUCGAAGUUCUGGGCAUCUACUGAUUGCAUCAUUAUAUGAGAAGUUGCAUGAGUUUAUGUAUCCUGUUAUUGUUCCUUUGCGAUUUCACUGCUCACGGGACUAACCUCUCCAUUCAGUCGAAAUGAAUUGUAAUUUCUUUACUGGUAGCAGUAGUACUUUUCAUAGCAAAGAUAAUAGAAAAUAUGAAAUAUAAAUAGAAGGAAAUCUGGAUUGUAGAUAGCACCAUAAGUAACACUCAAUAUUCACUACAUAAUAAAUAGACAGUGUUACAUAGGUAGAGAAACCUACAAUGAGUACUCAUCACCAUUCUCAAACAGAAACAUAGCAGCGACUUAUACAUAGAACCUAUAGGCUCGCAGGGAAAGAGUAACAUGAUAAGUUCACAGCGGGUAGCAGCUCUUAUUUUACGUAUUACUCAAAAUCUCAAACUAACCAAAGUCACUCAGUUGGGAUGGGUAGGAGAUGGUGGUUUGUGGGGUGGCUUCUGGGUAGGAGCUGGUGGCUUCUUUGUUGGAGUUGAAGGAGGCAUAUUCUUCUGAGGUGGCUUGUAUGACUCUUCGGCACUCUCUGCAGGAGGGUGCCCAGGGUUGUGACCAGAAGGAGGUGGCUUCUGUCCCUUUGGUGGUUUGCCUAAUGGGCUUGGUGGCUUGUGCUCCGGGAGUUGUUUCUCUCCCUCGAGUAGGUUUCGAGUUUUGUCAGAUGGCUUGUGUUCUGGUGGUGGCUUCUCUCCCUGGGGUGGUUUGCCGAAUGGGCUUGGUGGCUUGUGUUCGGGGAGUGGCUUCUCUCCCUGGAGAAGGUUACGAGUUUUGUCAGAUGGCUUUUGUUCUGGUGGCGGCUUCUCUCCCUGGGGUGGUUUGCCAAAUGGGCUUGGUGGCUUGUGUUCGGGAACUGGCUUCUCUCCCUUGGGAGGUUCAUUUGGUGGCUGGUGUUCCGUAGGUGGUUCCUUCACCGGCGGCUUGUGCUCCGGAAGCGGCUUCUCUACCUGGAGAAGCUUACGAGUUUUGUCAGAUGGCUUGUGUUGUGGUGGUGGCUUCUCUCCCGGGGGUGGUUUGCCAAAUGGACUUGGUGGCUUGUGUUCGGGGAGUGGCUUCUCUCCAUGGGGAGGUUUAGUUGGUGGUUGGUGUUGCGUAGGUGGUUUCUGAAGUGGGGGAUGCUUGGGGUAGUCAGCAAUAGACGAGGUAGUGAGAACCACCAGUCCCAACAGCAACACUAG